rnacentral:lncRNA from 1 species
CCGGUCUAACAAUGUUAUAAAGGAAAUUUUGAGUUCUUAAAUGAUUCAACAAGUGUACGUAAAAAGGUUUUUUUAGUAGAAAUUUGAGGUUCUCUUAUACUAUAUUAACGAUGUUAUGUUUGAUUGGGCGUGGUUGCAGCGUGAAAUGAGCGACAGUGUGAUGAAGCUUCAGGGGACGUUUCGAAUAUUAUAAUAUGGAUCAGAAUAUUAAAUAAGAUAUGUUCGAAUGCAUGUUUUAAAAAUGUUUUAUAAUUUCCUUCUUUUUUAUUUUAAUAUGGUGAUCCUAUAUUCCUAUGAACUGGUCGUUUGUACUAUGUUAUCGAACAACGUUAUAUGAAAUUCAGAUUUGAAGUUUAUAUUCUUCCGUGUUGUACCGCCUCUUCACGAAGCCUUAAUAUAUAAACAAAGAAAAAGUAAUGGGAUAUUCUCAAAUGUUAACUGUAAACUACAGUUUUAUUAUCAAUCAUUUGAAAAAAAACAAGAAGAUAAAACUAAGCUAUGGACGUAUACAUGUCAAAAAAUUCGUAUUUGAAGUGUUUUUGUAUUUGGAGACUUUUAUGUGGAGAUCCAUGGCAUGUUGAGGAAAGCAAAGAAGUAUCGUUCUGGUGUUUUAUCGGCCGAUCAAGUCCGCAGCAGGACAACGUACGUCGACAAAAUGUUCAUCGGUCAGAUAACCUAUGCGUGGAUUAGUAACUUUCUAUUUUCAAAGGCACUUACUACCUUCAAAAUAAGAAUUACCUUGUCUAAAAUCUUGAAAGUUCCCGAUAAGAUGUAGUGAUUUGUACUAGUAAAAGUAAAACAUACAUAUUUAAACAUACAUAAGAGUAGAAAUAUAUGUGGAGUGACGAAGUGACGGCCAUGUAAACCAAAGCUAAUUAAUUGCAUGGUAGGCAAUCGACAGUGAUACAAUUCUACCAAUUUGUCCUGCCAUUUAAUUUAUCAUGCAUCAGUCUUCUCUUUCACAUAAUGACGAACCUUUUACAUACACUCCAUGGUUUGGGAGGACAGACAAACCAACAUCUUCUCGUGUGUAUCCGUCCCGAGAAAAAACAUAAAUAUUUAUUAUUGAGUAUUUAUUAUUAAUUUUUUAAUUUAUUUGUUUUUUUUAAUUUAUUUAGAGAUCACAUAAAAGAUUUACUACAAUACUCAAAAAAAUCUCCAAUAUUUAGGUUGAAUUAACAGAAAAAAUCACGUUUGAUAAAUUUCAAAGUUUUUCAUUUAAAAUAAAACUUCUUUGUAAAAAUUGCCAUGCAACCUAAAUGAAGAGCAUAUUAUUGAAAGCAUGAGAAUGCAACAUAUGAAACCUUAAUGAUAAUUACGUACCCGUGUCAAAGAAAAUUACAGGCAAUGAGGUGUUUGGUGUAUCUGCAUUUCUCAGUCACCAUCACAGAGAAUUUUGUUAAUUACUCCCUCUUCGUAAUUAAUUACUCCCUCUUCGUAAUAAGCUUCACUUUAUGCUUUUGCAAGCUGUAAUUAAUUACUCCCUCUUCGUAAUAAGCUUUAUUUUAACCUUUUUUUUUCUUGUUAUAAAAAAAAUAUCACUUUACAAUUCAAUGCAAAUCAUAUAUACUUUCAGCUGAAAAUUAAUUAAAAAUUGCAUUAAUUUUGUAAAUAAUUUUAUUUAUUUCAAAUACUAUUAGUAAUAGAAAUAUAAUUAAUAACAACUUACAUUUAUGUCACUUUUUAAUUUAUGUGAAAAAUGUACGAUACUUAUUUAUAAACGGAGGGAGUAUUAUGAUUGGUAGAUAGAUGGUAGUCUAAUGAUAUGUUUAAUUUAGUUUUGUAUACUUAUUAAAUAUGUAAAAAUUACCGGAACGAUACCAUGAAUUCGUAAAUAUAGUUAUCAUUUAUCAAAAUAUCUAAAAUUGAUUCUUCUACUUUACCAAAAAGAUACUGACACUCUCACUCUUCUUCUGCCAAAAAGAAACUGAAAUGUUGUCGAGGUUCCAGUUGGUUUAAAUUUUAAAGUGAGAAAGGCUCUACAUUGUUUAGAGAGUCUACUACUUCUGUAAAAGUUGUCCAAGCCCAUCGAUAUACUCAGGUAUUUUCCAAAAACCACGACGUCGUCGUUUAAUUCAUCUUCUUUGCUUCCUAGUUGAACUAUACACAGCUCUCAUUGUUGAGGUGGGGAAAGAGAAGAGUGAUCUAGAUGGUGGUGAUGAUACAUAUCAGGAAGCAUGGAAGCAAUCUCGUAUUUUAAAGAGCAGGUGUCAAAGGUGCAGAGCUUGUCAUCGGAGCAAUACACACACUGUUAACUCCCAAAAAGCAAUGACAAUCUUGAAAGAUACUUCUGAACAACUUAGGAUUCAAAGAAACAAAUCAUAAGUGAGAGCUGAUAUCCCCCAAAUAGUUCCUGCUUCAUUACAACCACAAAUGUUACUUUUUUCUCUAAAGCUAAUCCUACACAAACAAAUGAUGAGUAGAUUCAAUCAGACCAAUUUUGUGCCAAAAAGAACCAGAUUAAUAUUUGAUAGUACAAACUGGAGUGGGCCGAUCAAUAUAAGCACUAUCAAUAUAAUACACUAUAUUGACUGAUCAAUAUAAGCACUAUCUUGACUGGCAAAUGCUUAGCAAAUCAAAUACACAAUGAACAUAUUGGUAACAAAGCAAUAUAUAACUUAAACUGCUAGUAUAUAUACUCCUCUUCCUUUGGAAAGCCGUUGCUUGCUUUAAUUUUUGCUAAGCAUUUGCAACUUGCAAGUCAAGAUAAUGCUUAUAUUGAUCGACCCCGUUGCACCGACCAAAACAGUUCUGCUAACUUCUAUCAGCUCAGCGUUAUGGGCCUUUCGUGAACACAAACUCUAUCAGCAGAAACAUAAAACACACAUAAAUAUAUUUAAGCGUUUUAUACAAAGAAUGUAUCACUCACGUAAAGAAUUUGGAGAUUCUCUUUAUCUUGUUGCUUAACGAAAAGCUUUAUGUUGAAUUUUUUUAUGAAAUCAACUUUCUUGUUUCGGUUAAGCAUGUGAUUGAAGGACGUGGGAACCGUCCCAUCUUUGACUGAUAGAAUUUUCAAGGGAACAUGUCUUGUAGCUCUCGUGAAAACAUUAUCCGAAGGUAUUUAGGGUUUCCAAAGGCCCAUCUCAGCUUUGAUUGGUAAUAAACAAUAGCCUAGUAAUAUAUUAUGGCCUCGAUAUAAAGCUUAAUGAUUAAUGAAUAAAUCCUCCUGUACAUUAAAAGAGAAGUGACUUCAGUGGUUUCUACUGACGUGGUAAUCACAUAGAGCUUCUCAGAAAAAUUCUUAUAAUUCUAUUGGUUGAUUUUUUCGAAUUUUCUUCUUCUUUUUUAUUCAAUCGCGCAUCAGAUAAGUUUGAAACCGAUAAAGACGGUCCGAACAGAUGAGUUUGCUUCUCGACACUCUGAAGACUCAAUCAGAUCAAUGGCAGCAAGGAGCGACGAGUAGAUGAGUUUCCUUCUCUCCACCAUCGAUCAGAUCGAUGAGGUGAAGUUUGUCGAUACUCUGUUAAUAUACAGAGUUUUUGGUUUCUCUGAUUGGGUUCGAUAGCGAUUAUCGCCAGCUGAGAUUGAAUUGAAAUUUACUCUCGAACCGAUUUAAUUUGUAAGAUAGAAACUACGAUCUGCUUAUUAAUAUUUUGAUACUUUGUAUCUAAUUGAGUGAUUAACCUGCAGAGAUCAAAAGGUUGAAGAAGCUACAUACAUAAUCGUUAAACAACUUCGUUAACCAGGUAUUAUUAACUUUUGAAGUAAAAUGAAAUAGCCAAUAUGCAUAAGCCACGUAUGGGGUGUUUACCAAUCCUACAUUCUCUUAUUUAGACAGCGGUUGUGUCAAAUUAUAUCAUUUUUGAUUUAUUUUUUUCCUUUUUCCUCUUUAGAACCUCAACUAAAAUCCACCGUUGGAAGUGGUCUUAGCUCUAAACAAAUAUUAUAAAAUAAUCAAGACUAGUUCUACUAAUCACCAACCAAGUAAAGGAGGAGUCAACGAGGGAUCAUUUGAUUAUACAAUAUUAUAUGCCUAAGCUAGGUUCAUGUGGUUAGCUCUAAGCUAUUAUAAAAUAACACAAUCCAAAUCAACAACGUGAUCAUGGCUAAAUCUAAUCAUUAAAAGUGACUUAUAUCAAUGUCAAUAGUAACAUCAACAGAGAGAUUAGCUGCCAUCAAGGCUCUGGAAGCAAUGAAAUCAGAGACAAACCUCUCCAUGAACCUGAAGAUAGAAGAGAACGAUUGAAUCAAAUAAGAUGAGACUGAGAUUGGAUCAAAUAAGAUGAGACUGAAACAGAAAACAGAUCAUCAGGAUUCAGAAUCAGAAUAAUCACCCUUGGGGAAGCUCCUCGAGUUAUCGCUCGCAAACUCAACGAUGUCUCCAGCCAUGUAUCUCUUCCACAGAUCGUUGAUCUUAGUAUCAAGAGUCUGUUUGUUCACCAUCGUUUCUUUUCUUCUGGUUCUUAGAGAAAGAGUGAGAGAGCAGGAGAAUAGAACGUUGGAUCAGAUUCCAAUCUGGCUUCUUCAACCAUUAGAAACUUCUCUUUAGUCUUCAGAAGCUCCUCUUCAGACAUAAAGAGCUGUGGGCAACAAGAGUUCAAGUACUGAACGUAGCUGAACUAGUCACAAAUUCAUAAUAACAUACAUAAUAACAUCUAGCGAUCGAUUAGAUAUACCAAAUCGUGUGAAUCAGAGUGACUUACAUUAGCGAUGUCAGCAGCAACAGGGAGGUUAGCAUUCAUCAACGCUCUUAAACCAAGAAAAUCAUCCACGAAGAUUCCGUGAACCUGCAAAAUAAGAGAUAGAGAGAAUCUGUAUCAAAUAAGAUGAAAGACUGAAACAGGAAACAAGAGAAUCAUCAGGACUUAGAAUAAUCACCCUAGACAAAGCAUUGACUGAUAAGUACGAUCUGAAUGUAUCUCACAUGUGGACAAUCUUUGUAAUUUAUUUUCGACAUAAAUGUUGACAUUAGACAAUGGUAAAGUGCAGCUAGAAGGGAACAUAAAAGUUUAUAGCAUAUCCAUUGAUAAUUUGGAAUUGCUUUGUAAAGAGUUGUUUUAUACAUUUGCAGUAUAUAGGUAAAACAUUAAACUUCUUGUUUUUGUUUUGUUUUGUUUUCUUUGUACUCAACAUCAAACUUUCAUAACCGACAAAUAGCAGGCUUAUCACCAGCCUCAACAACGACUCCUUUUGCUGAACACAAAAGUUACAUCAAUAAUUGACUGAACUUAUGUACUAUCAAGGCGAAGAAAAAAAAACUGACAGCAAAACUUGGCUCGUUCUUGUGUAACAUAUAAGAAAAACACAUGCAUAAAUUACACAAUAACAGAAAAGAACUAAUAUUACUUACAAAGCUUAAAAAAAAGAAAAUUCAAUAAGAUCUAAACAUUUGGUCGAGAAUGAUGGUAAAUGCCAUGGCCACAUGAGGCUCCAUCUCCGAUUCAACUAUUAGUUUAAAAACAUCUUUUCCAAAGGCAACUCCUCCGACCAUUGCCUCUUUCCUCUUGAUCUCAGCUGCUUUCUUCUUGUUCCUCCUCUCGUCCAAUAUUUUGCAGCUUCUUUGGCCGAAUGAUCCUUCUAUCUCGUAUAGUAAUGUCUUCUUGGUGCUAACCCACGCCAAGCUCCUCCGGUUUGUCAUUAUACUAACGUUUUUUCUCGCUGUGAAUAUUGGGUCUCUUUGUGUUUCUCCAUCGUAUACCAUCCAGCAAUCUCCCAGGCUCAGUUUCUAAUCAAAUAGGUUAAAAAAAGGAAAAUUCAAGAGUUAGUUCCAUAAUAACAUGGUUAUAUAAAACAAACAUUCAUGUAAAGAUUCAUUAUGUGAAUCUGUCAUGUACUUAUAAUGGUUGACCAUUGUGGAUGUUUUAAAUAACAAGGUUAUUUGGCUCAAUACUUAAUACUUUUUUUAACGCUGAUUUAUUUUGCUAUUGCAAAUUGUGAGAAUUAUUACAUAGACAAGUUUAACAACUGACAAUUAUUUGGUUCAAGACUUUGGUUAUCAAAAAGAAUAUAGAAACAAAGAGAGAACAUGUACCUUGCGCCGGAUAGAGAGUAGGGGUAAGCCAUAAGCGUCCAUAAGGACGAUGUUGUCUUUAGAAGAGUUCAUGUAGUUGUCAACCCUAAAGACAAGAUCUCCAUUAGAGUUGUAAACUGUGAAUCCAUCACAGUUGAAGAGAAGGGACUUCUUCCACACCGUCAAAACUGCGGCUGCUUUACUAUCACACAAGCUCUCCUCGCAAGUGUUUGGGAGCUUUGGGUGAACUUUUGUCAUCUCUUUUCUUUGUUUCUGUCUUGUUUUCGUUUGGUGAGGUUUGAUGAUUGUUGUUGGAGUAGAUGAGCUGAUCUUUGUUUGUUGGACAAAUGAGAAGAGGUCGUUGCGUGUUUAUAAAUACUAUUGUAGAAAGUGAGAAAGAAUGUGAUGCUUAAAUGAAAAGAAUGGUGUCAUCUUCUUGUUGUCCACUAGAGAGAUAUCGUUGUCAGUCUAUUACUAUAAGAUAUCUACUAGUCGCAAAUUUAGGUACUUGUUAAAAAUAUAUAUAUAUAAAUUAAUUGAUUCCUUUCAAUAAACAAAUAUUAUUAAUUGUUUAUCAAUACUUAAAAAAUUAACGUAUCAUUUAAUCUCACCUAAACUCCAGCAAAAUAUCAUUUAGCAACCUUGUAUUUUGUCCCUGCAAAAUAACGUAUGGUUUCACACGUAUUAUAUGCUGCUGAUAUUUAAUCUAACGCUCUAGUUAUAUAUAAAAGAAAAUAAUUCAUAAAUAACUCUAGUUUCUAAUUCAUUUGGCCGAUAUUUUAGAGAACUUUACAAAAUGAACCGAUUAAUAAAUAUUGUUGGUAACUGCAUGGCGUUUUUAAGUAUUGAUAAACUAAGUAAUUUGUUCAAGGCAAAUCUAAAAAUACGUUUAAAAUAUGUUCUUAUCAUCAUUUAUUAACGAUUAUUUCAUGCAUCUUAUUUUCUCUUCUAUAUACGUUUUUAUAAUUUAUAGAAAAAUAUAAUUUACACGUCAAACAUUUGUCAAAUCUUUCUCUCUAUAUUUGUGUGUACAUUUUUGUUAUGAUCACUGAUAGAGAAUAUUAUUGUCUCAAAAGAAAGGAAAAGAAUCUAUACCAUGAAAAACCUACGGGCCAUAAUCCAUCGCCAUUUCGAGUGCAUCUUUUUACAAUGAAAAGACGAGUUUCUAUAUGAAAUAUACUUCCAACUUUUUGCAUUAAUAAGUAUUUCUGCUGGAUUAACGCAUUAUUCUCGAAAAAUUGAACCCAUAGGCCAAAGUAAUAUAUGAUAUAUCUUCUCUAUGUGGAUCAACUUGUAGCAUGUUCCAAAUCCCAAACCUGGUUAUUGGCUCGAUAAGACCAAUUAUGUUGCAAAUAUCAGAUAAUAUAUAUUUAUUAACAUCAAGCUUUGAAUAAUUACCAGAGACAUUUUGAGCCAAGUGAAAAACAUAAUCUAGUGGGAGGAUAAGAACGGGUGGAAAGCAAAGUUCAAAUAUAUAUAAAUAAACAAAAGGCAAUUUCAAAGUUUCAAACAAGGACAUGACAUAGAAACGAGUUAAGAAAUUGAGUUUUGAACCAAUCCUUGGUUUUAAUAUGAUGUAUGAUGAAUAAUCAAAGCUUAAGAAUAAAAUUAUGUGGCUGAGAAGCGAUUAGCGGUGGGGAAGAGAGAAGACAAAGCCAUCCCAACAAAAUUCCACCAAUUAUUUUACUUAAAAAGUUUAAUAUAAUAUUUUCCUUGUGAUAUUUUUCCCACGUCCAUUGUUAUAACAAAAUGUCCCACUUACGUUGACAUCUCUCUUACAUUUUUGUAUUCCUUUCGUUAUCUAUCGUUUGUUUAUAAACAAAAAGAUUGCGGUUUAUGCGUCAUAUGCACACAAAAAGUGAUUACGACCUUUGAGAGGUAAGACACGUCCCACUUUUCACCAAGUGAUUGAUAACUACGCUCUGAACUUGGAACAAUAUAUGUUUCUCUUUGCUUUCACACUAUGAAUACAACCUAAGUUGUCUCUCCUACUAUUACCAAAUAUUCUGAUUCCUCACCUUGGUAGCUGUACCUUAUUGUGUGUUUUGUAUUAUAUGAUCAUUUUGCAUCCUACUAUCUAGUAAAACUCAAAUCCAUUAUAGAGUCAAUCUAUUUCAAAAGAAAAUAUAGAAUACUACAUUUGAUAUGCUAUAAGUGAAUGUAGGUGUUUGAGCAAAUCUAUGUAACCUGGUAGUAGAUAUCAUGGGAAAUCGGCUAAUUCCUACAUCAACACAGUCCAGCGGUCCCGAUCAGUACAUAAACACAUAAGCUGUGCAAAUACAUACAUGAACACGUAGUUAAUUCAAAUAUCUUACACGAACUAACAAAAUUCGGUUUUUGCAUACAUUAACCAAUUAUCCGUUAGUCAAACGUAACGGAAUCUGAGCUGUCCGUUAUAUACCAUUACGUGGCUUUUUACGUUUUUAAAUAAUGAAUAAAUUAAUAAAAAUAAAAUAAAAGAUGGUUACAAGGGGGAGUCGAACCCUGGUUUGAGAUAUACCAAUCACAAGAAGAAACCAUUGUGCCAGACCCAACCUAUUGUUUAUAGUCCCAGUUGUUUCGUAUUUAUACAAAUAUUUCAUUCACAUAUUUCUUUUUUUUUUCUUUCCAUGUUUGACUUAUCAUCCAAAUUGUUCCAAAACAAAUUCAAAUACUUUUUUGUUCUCUUUCUCCUUUUCUUGUGGAAAAAAUAAUUUUUGUAUAUUCAAAAAAAUAAAAUAAAAUAAUAUAUAUUAUUAAAAAGGAUUACGUACGUUGGAAUUGUCUUCUACCUUUAUUAUCUCUUUGUGAAUUUCUAUUUUUAAAAGAUAAUAUUUACUUUUAAUAAUCAACCCGAUAAACAAAAUUUCAAAUGUCCAUUACAAGCUUAAAUUGAACAAAACAAAACUAAUUCAAAUAUUGCACGUCUAAUUUCGUUCAACUACCACACCGGCGCGUUCCGCUAAACCGAUCUAUAAUCCUUAGUAAAAUCAAUUCCCUUUUUGAACUAGUUCAUUCUCUUGUUGAAAUAUUUAAUAUGCUUUUGUUUAAAUUUUGAGUAAAUUUUUUUUCAGUUUCCAGUAAUUGUAAGAGAACGUUAGAAACAUAAGGGUUUGCAAAUAAACUCAAAUUCAAACAAGAGGAAAUUAAAAAAUUUCAGCAAGAGAACGAUCUUUCGAUCUCUUUCUCACAAAAAUAUAGUAAAGCUAGAAAUAACUUCAAUGUAUAUAUUAUUAUUUUAUUUUUUUGAAUAUAUAAAAAGGUUAUUUCUUCCACAAAAAAAACAAAAAAAUAUUUGAAUAUUUUUUCAUUUUGUUUGGAUGAUAAGUCUAUUUUCUGAACAAUUUGGAUGAUAAGGUCUACCACAAAAAAUAUAUAUAUAUAUAUGUGAAUGAAAUAUCCAUUAGGUAUAAAUGGGAAAUCAUUGGGAGUACAAAUAAUAAGUCUGCCUUGGCACAGUGUUUUAGCAUGUGUUGGAUAUUGCUUAGACCCAGGUUCGAUUCCCCCCUCUAACCAUCUUUUAAUUUUUUUAUUAAUUUAUUCAUUAUUUAAAAAUGUAAAAAGCCACGUAAGCAAUAUAUAACGGACAAUUCAGAUUCCGUUACGUUUGACUAACAGAUAAUUGGUCAAUGUAUGCAAAAACCGAAUUUUGUUAGUUCGUGUAUGAGAUUUGAAUUAACUACGUGUUUAUGUAUGUAUUUGCACAGCUUAUGUGUUUAUGUACUGAUCGUGACCGCUGGACUGUGUUGAUGUAUGAAUUAACCGUUUUCCCGUAGAUAUCAUUCUUAUCGUCUUCUACAUUGGUAAUAAUGAAAAAAACUUGCACAAUGACAAAUGGAAAAUAACGUGAGUAAAAGAAUGAUGGGACACCUCUCUUUACCAAAAAUCAUAUACAACAUCCAAGUUUCUUUUCGAAAUCAUAAUAUCAAAGCUGAUUUUGCAAUCAUCUUCAUCACUGUCUCUUAAAAAAUCAAUUUGCUAAUCAUUUUUUAACCCACUUCUGCUAGCUUCUUCCCCUUUCAGCAUUUCUUCUGCAAUGCAUUCGGGUUUAUUUACCCCCACAAAAAAAUGAGAUGCCACUCUAAAUCUUUUUUUCUUUGCGCGUGUGACUUGCUUCUACAGCAUUGUCCCCGUGUAAUUUCUUCUACUUACUCUCUUUCUCAUCAAGGAUUCACGUUACAGUCACUCAAGAAUCCGUCUUCCCUGUUCAGAUGCUUUCUCCAAUAGCUUUUGUACUGUGGGAUUCCCAUCUCUAGCCACGGCUUCAUGUUCCCAUUGUAGUGCAACGUCGCUGCGUUCUUUAUCGUUUGGGGUUUGAUAUAGUAGUCAUAACCAAGCCCUGAUAGAGCCCAUUUGUCUUCAAGAGCAUAUACUUUGUCUUGAAACGUAAGCAAGCUUGCUUUCAAUGCAAUUGCUUCUCUCGGCUCAGCUCCACCACUCAUCUGCCACACACCAAAACAAGAAAUAAGCAUAACGAAACACCCAAUUUCUCUUUCAGGUUUUUUCAGAAAACUGACCUGUUUGUAAAAUUUAUGGUAUGUUUCUGAGACUCCCAGCUCCCUCCAUCUAGCAAGAUCAAUGACAUUCAAUCCAGACAUCCAGAGACAAGCAUUAGCAUCAAAACUUCCUCUCUUGAGACUCUUUAGCUGACCUAAUCUCACAGAGCACGACUUCACUGCGCCGUUCACUUUUCCUUCCAUAUCAAGCUCCCAAAGAGGAGACAAGUCUCGCUGGACCACAACGUCAUGAUCCAGAACCACAACCUUUUCCAACUUAUGAAAUAUUUUCGGAAGAAGAUAGUGAGAUCGAGAGAAAAUUGAUAAGUAGUCUGCUCUAUUGUCACCACUUGGGAAGGAGACACGGAACUCUGUAGGCAAAGACAGCUUCAUAUCAGACUGAUCAAGCUCCAUUUUCUCAAUGUUCAAGACUUGAAUAGCUGCUUGUUUGCAGGGAUUCCUGAUGAACCAUUGUUUCAUCGCAAAGUAGUUCUGCUCGUCGGUCAGUACAUGGAAAACAAAGUUUUUACUUUCCUGAAACAUCAACAAUCAACCAAGAAUCAGACAUAACAUAAGGGUCCUAUGAUUGCAUGAACAAGAACAAAAACUGGAUUUAACACAUACCCUUGCGUGUACAGCCGUUGAGUUGAUCACAACGGAAGAUGCAAGUAUAUUAUCGGAGAUGAUAACAAAGUGAAGCAACGAGGGAUCUGAAAACUUCUCACUAUCCUCAAUAUCAACUGAGCCUGACUUGAAAUGCUCCACAGUUAGCCUCAUUGACAAGCAAUGAAGACUCUUAGGCAUUGUCUGCACCGCAAGCUGGUAGAGGAACACACUCUGUUUCAUGUGGAAACUUGCUUCAUCCUCAGUCAAAUCCAGGAUCUGUCUCAGUUUCUUGUCAACAUUGUUACAGUCAACCGGAAAAGACUUUGCCUUUGAAAUCACACCUUCCAUCUUCUCAAACUUCUUAUCAACCCUUGUAGAAUAGUGGAAAGAUACACACAAUAAGUAAGAUUUAAGGAAAUUAGCAGAGGAUCUACACAUACCCCAAACUGGUAAAGGACUUACUGUGGUGGAAGGUCACCAUCAGCUGAACUUUCACUAAGAAUACGCUCAAACUCUUGGAUGUUCUGUUUCAUAUCCCGAGUCAGCUUGCUUUGAGAAGGCAUUUUAGCAAUACUUGGGUAGUACGCUCUAGCCACAAAUAGCAGGUCCUUCAUAUGCUUCACCUUGGAAUCUUUCAUCGGUUCCUUAUUUUCCUCCCUCCAGAGACAGUAACUCCCGUAUUUCACUUGACAAGUUCUCUGACUUUCAUCAACACUAACUACCGCCCGCUGAACACCUUUGUACGAGACUUCAGUUUUUGUUUUCUGUUCACAGAAUAAAAAACUUAAGACGAAUUGGUGAUAGUAACCAAGAAAAAAGAUGUAUACUAGAGAAACCACUUAAUACAUUUGCAGGGCUUGGGUUGGCAACAACAGCUGGGGACACUGGUACUCCUGCAGAUUAAUUGAGGGAUCAGAAUCAAAAAUAAAACACUUGGGGAGGAAUUUUUAGAAAAAGUGAACCUUUCUUCUUAGAAUCACUGAUGCUUGUCCUAUUCAUAUCUCUGGAACCACCGUUUAUGUCCCUUUUCUAGCGCAUGUGAAACAAGAGGAAAAUAAAAAAAACUUUAAUUAACCAUCUCAUGAAUACAUGAAGCAACCUAAUUCAUGAAUAUGUAUUUCACCUUUCCAGACACAUAACACAGUCAAAUAAAAUAAAAUUAAAUUCACUCAUUCAUCUAAACUAGUCACUUUUCAUUAUUUCUUACUAAUGUUAGCAUUCACAUGCUUUAUAGUAAGAUCAAACUAGACAAACCACUAUAAAGAACCAACCUUGGGAAGCACUGGGUUGAGUUUUUGAAGAACCUGAUCAACUCUCUCGGAUACAUCUCUCUGCAAGCAAGCUAAACGACUUUUGAAACCAAUCAAAACGACAGAGAGGGAGAGAGUUAAACAAUUUACCUGUGAAUGUUGAGUAGCAUUGAUUCUGCUAAAGCUCUCAUACUGAUUCCAAAAGAAAGUUAGUUAGAACUUAGAACCAAAAAAAAAUAAAAAAUCAAACAAUUAAGGAAACAAAAUGCUUACAGGAGUAGAUGGUUGGAGAGUGACGACGAGGCCUGAAGAUAAUAAACGUAGAGAUUAUCAGAUGAGAAUAGAUCUGAAACAGAGAUCGAAGAGAGAGAGAGAGUUACCAGGAGAGUGGAAGCUGUUGUGAAGGCCGAGCAAGAAAGCUAGAGGAACCAGCAUUGAUAGGAUCACAAGAACCAUUACUCCUAUCACCAGAACUUUCCACCGCCGUUUUCCUCCGCCGCCUCCUCCUCCUCCGCCUUUCAUUUUUUCCGAUUUAGAUUUCAAUCAAUCAAUGCCUUUUUCAAAUUACGAACCGCAUUGGAUCCCUAAAACGACGGCGUUUUAUCUCCUCUGAUACACACUCUCGUUCAAACACUCAAGUGCUGCCACUAUGCCCUGAUCGCAUUUGCGUGUUUGCUUGCUUGUUACUUGGAAGGAAGAAGGAAGAGAGAGAGCACACCCCAACACUUUCCUCGCACGUGUGGAACUGUCUCUGCCGUUUGAUUAUCCCAACCCACUUGCGAGAUCUAUCUCCUGAUCACGACACGUGUUAUUUUCACACGUGUCGUGAGUAUUAUUAUUAUUUAGUUCGUUUUUAAUAGUCUCGCCGGUAAAUCCUAAAACGCCGAGCAGGCCUAGCGAUAUUCAUCACCACCGUCAACGCCAUUGACAGCUUAUACACUUUGGUAAUCUCUCUUCCUCCUCCUCCUCCUCUGUACCAUGUAAAGAGAAUUGAUUGUGAAAGCAUAUGACUUUUUUGGUUUAAUCUACUUUGCGUUAUUUGUUUGUGUGGAUGUAAUGAAGGAGAUGAGCCAUCAAAAGAUUGAGACUUGAUGUUAUCACUCUCUCAUAUGCAUUGUUUAAGCUUUAUCUGUGUAAGAAUCUCUUGUCUUGUAUGGUCUGUCUGUUCUAAUGAGGUUUCUUUCAAUGCUGUUCUGUUUUCUUCAUGUGAUUCAGUGACUGCUACUUUUCAUUUUCGAACAUGUUACUGAUCGCGAGGAAAGCUUUGGGCCUUUAUGUUACUUGUUUGUUCUAAUUAUGAAAGAUUAAGCCUUUAUGUUAUCACUCUCAUGUGCAUUGCUUAAGCUUUAUCUGUCUAAGAUUCUCUUGUCUUGUCUGUUUGUUCUAAUUGGGUUUCAUUUGAUUCAGUGACUACUGCUACUUUUUGCGUUUCGAGCAUGUUAUUAAUCGCGAGGAAAGCUUUGGCCUUGGCGCAUAACAAGACUAUUCGUUUAACGACAAGGGAAGUGCACUGCUUAAGCUCCAUCUUACUCUCUCCUCCUCUUGUGUCUCUUGACUUGCCUGAAAAUUGGGUUCCUUACUCUCAUCCUCCAUCCCCUGUUGCCUUCGGUAACUCUCUCUCUCUCCCUCCCUCCUCUAGUGUAGUGCAUUGACUUCUGCAAUCUUAGUUGUACACCUUUUGUUCUCUGUUUACUACAGAGGGUGAACAGAAGACUGUGGUGAUUGAUGGAAAAUCUAUCGCAGAAGAGAUCAGAACGAAGAUUGUUAGUGAAGUGUGGAAGAUGAAAAACGAUGUUGGCAAAGUCCCUGGUCUUGCGGUUGUGUUGGUCGGCGAACAAAGAGACUCCCAAACUUAUGUGCGGAACAAGAUCAAAGCUUGUGAAGAAACUGGGAUUAAAUCUGUUCUGGCUGAGUUGCCUGAGGAUUGUACAGAAGGAGAAAUCAUCACUGUAUUAAAAAAAUUCAAUGAAGACACAUCUAUUCACGGAGUUCUCGUGCAGCUUCCUUUGCCCCAGGUGUGUUUCACAUUGCUUUUGUGUGUAAUAUGAGUCAUGACAUUGUGAUGGUGGAUGAUGAUAGUAUAUUGUGUGCAGCAUCUUGAUGAAGCAAAGAUAUUGAAUAUGGUGAGGUUAGAGAAAGAUGUUGAUGGGUUUCAUCCAUUAAACAUGGGGAACCUUGCGAUGAGAGGGAGGGAGCCGCUAUUCGUAUCUUGCACCCCUAAGGGAUGUGUGGAGUUGUUGAUCAGAGCAGGUGUUGAGCUAGCAGGAAAAAACGCUGUGGUGAUUGGAAGAAGCAACAUCGUUGGUCUCCCAAUGUCUUUACUAUUGCAGGUAUUAUUAGUUUUUUGCUAGUUACUGUGAUAGGCUUCUUAUGCUUGAGCAUUUAUUUGUCUUUGCUGACAUUAUUGGGUAGAGGUAUGACGCUACAGUAAGCACGGUGCAUGCCUUUUCAAAGGAUCCAGAGCACAUUACCAAGGAAGCUGAUAUUGUGGUUGCAGCCGCGGGUGUGCCUAAUCUUGUUCGUGGAAGUUGGUUGAAGCCUGGUGCAGUUGUCAUCGAUGUGGGGACAUGUCCUGUUGAGGUAUUCUGCUACAUAAAAACUUAGGUUAGAGCCUAAAUAAAGAGACCAAAUGUUUGUUCUUGGGUAUGAUGUUUGGCAGGAUAGUAGCUGUGAGCAAGGUUAUCGUCUUGUUGGGGAUGUAUGCUACGAGGAAGCGUUAGGUGUUGCCUCAGCGAUUACUCCUGUACCUGGAGGAGUCGGUCCCAUGACGAUUGCCAUGUUACUAUGCAAUACCUUGGAUGCUGCGAAGCGGACAUCCUUGUGAUAAAUAUAGCUAUCUCUGUCUUAUAACUAAAGAGUCCAUGUUGUUGGGGGGUUGAUCACAAAUUGACAAUCCCUUUUGAAUUUUGAAUUAUCAUGUUGUUACAGACAAUGGUUGAUGUCUGAUAUAGAGAAGCUCUUUGUCAGAGUAGAGUUUAAUGAUUUUGUUCUAGUAUCUGGUUUCUAGAUAACAGUGGAAUGUUUAUGUUUCAUUGGCGUUUACAAGAUGAGGAAGCCAUGGUAGUUAUGCAUGUGGUAGUUGUUGGAUCAUGAGUAGUAGUAGUUUGCAUGUGACGUCAAAGGUUGAAGAAUGAGUGAAGCAAGAUGUGUCACAUGAAGUAUCACGGAACAAAUGCUUGCUUCAAUCGUUACACGUGAUGUUGAAAGGGGAAUAUUCUAAAGACACUCUUUAAAUCCCUUUAACCCGGUUUGCAAUUUCGGUUUCAUCAGCUGUUAAUUUUUUAUUUAUUUCACUCUUAUCUCUCUCUUUUUCAUCUUCAAGAUAAUUAAAACAAACACAAAGUAACCUAAUCUUGAUUUAGACCACAUUUUCCAUUAAUCUAGUCAUGCCAAAAAAUGUAUUUAGAACACAUUUUGAAAAUCAAUACUCUGACUUAAAAUCUUUGAGUAAUCCAAUUUUAUUAAAAAUACCUUUAUAAUAAAAGAGAACAGCUGUCAAUUAGUGAUGAUUUUCUUAAGUAGAUUUCUAAACACUAAUAUAUUAAUAUUUUAAGAAAUUUUAUUUGUAUGAUUACAAUUUUAGUGUUUUAAAAAGAAAUAAUAAUUACUUAGCUUAAUUACUAGAGAACAACAAAUGGUAUAUCAAUCUAAUCUUUCAGCAUUUUUAUAGAUUCUUCAUAUUCUUACCUUUCUUUUAUUUUUUUCAUUUUUAAUAGUAUUAAAUAUCAUAGAAAAUUAGUACAACUUUUACAAUUACCAGAUUUGGUAACUAAAAUAUUAAUUAUUUACUAUCUAAAUCUGAUUAGGAGCCAAAAAUAGUGUUUUGUCAACCAAACCGAAUAACUUACACCCGAACCGGUUAUUUAUAAUCACCCAACAAGCCCAAACCAUCAAAUUUCAUUUCGGUUUAGCUGCAUCAUCCAUCUCCAGAGAAAGAAAAAAAAAUUAAAAUGCGAAAAGCAUAAAUAGGAUUCCGAUUCCGAGUCUCAAGUUCCAAAGAGAAGAAACAAACAUCUCCUAGAGAUAGCGAUCUCGGCGAACAACGUGAAGGGAAACAAACGACGAUCCGAGAGCGAGAGCGAAAAGCAUUUUCCUCUGAAAACAAAAAUGGUGUGGGAGAAGGAGAAGAUCGUCGGAAGCUGUAUAAUCGGAGGAGCCACGUUCGCCGUCGGAGCUACGUUCCUCCACCUCUUCCUCAAAGGCGAACUUCCUCUAGGCCUAGGGCUAGGCGCGCGUUUGGUCUCGUUCAGAAAGCGGAGGCCCGUUCGCGUCUACAUGGACGGUUGCUUCGACAUGAUGCACUACGGCCACUGCAACGCGCUGCGUCAGGCGCGUGCUCUCGGUGACCAAUUGGUCGUUGGUGUUGUUAGCGACGAAGAGAUCAUAGCUAAUAAAGGACCUCCCGUUACUCCUCUUCAUGAAAGGUCUCUCUCUCUCUCUCUCUAUUGGUUGUUGGUGUUGUUAGCGAUGAAGAGAUCAUAGCUAAUAAAGGACCUCCCGUUACUCCUCUUCAUGAAAGGUCUCUCUCUCGAUCUCAAUUCAUUUGUUAAGGCCGGUCCUGAGAUGGUGAAUAACAAUGUUCAACGAACCGUUAUACAGUACUAGUACUUGGUGUUUUAUAGGGGAUUAUUGAUUAGGCGGGCGCAUAAACAGACUUUUUUGAUGCCCACAUUGAUUUUUAAAGGCCGGUCCUAGAAUUUAAGGGACUUAACAAAUGGUGAAUAACAAUGUUCAAUUAACGGUAUGUAGUAAUUAGGCGUUUUAUAGAAGAUUAUUGAUUAGGCAGGCGCUUAAACGGAAUUUUUUUUAUUUCCACACUGAUUUUUAAAGGCUGGUCUUAGAAUUUAAGGGACUUAACAAAUGGUGAAUAACAAUGUUCAACGAACGGUAUGCAGUAAUUGGACGUUUUAUAGAAGAUUAUUGAUUAGGCAGGCGUUUAAACGGAAUUUUUUUUAUUCCCACACUGAUUUUUAAAGGCUGGUCCUGGAAUUUAAGGGGCGUAACAAAUGGUGACUAACAAUGUUCAACGAACCAGUUUUAUAGGGGAUUAUUGAUUAGGCGGGCGCUUAAACAGAAUUUUUUUAUGCCCACACUGAUUUUUAAAAUAAAUCGUUUUGUCUAGGUUCAAUCUUUGGCCUAAACGGGCAAGUAAACGAAGUCUAGACCAGUUUUUAGAAUACUAAUAAAUAAUGUGUAUAUAUAAGCCGAGACGAGGCGAAUGUUUCAUCUCAUUACGUCCAAAGCUGGCUUUGCCUUGUAUAACAGUGACAAUUACGGAUUAGAACUAAAUGAUCAAUAUAUAUAUGUCUUAAAUAAUUUGGGGGUAAAUGAUGUAUACAUAUUAACCAUAUGGGGCCUAGGCGGAUGUUUCAUCUGGCUAUGACCAAAACCGGCUCUGCCUUGUGUAUUUAGUUGUGUUGUAUGUUUAUUUUUUUUAUAUGGUUAUCUCAGGAUGGUGAUGGUGAAGGCUGUCAAGUGGGUGGAUGAAGUUAUAUCUGAUGCUCCUUACGCCAUCACUGAGGAUUUCAUGAAGAGGUUGUUUGAUGAGUACCAGAUUGAUUACAUCAUCCAUGGGGAUGAUCCUUGCGUUCUUCCUGAUGGAACUGAUGCUUAUGCAUUGGCUAAGAAGGCUGGGAGGUACAAGCAGAUUAAGCGCACUGAAGGAGUUUCGAGCACUGAUAUCGUUGGUAUAACUUACAUUCAUUUUAGCUCGUAUCAGCUGUAUUUGUUCAUCAAUUCAGGAUGCUUAGAGGAAAGUGUCUUUCUUUUCAUGUUAAGGGGAGAUACGAACUGCAUCAUGUUUAUGUAAUCAAGUGCCAUGAUAGCUUAGAUCUUGUGUAAUUACAUUCAAGUUUAUAAAUCUUUGCAGGUCGCAUGCUGCUCUGUGUAAGAGAAAGAUCGAACAGUCAUAGUCAUUCGUCACUGCAAAGGCAGUUUAGCCAUGGACAUAAUAGCCCAAAGUUUGAUGACGGAGGUUCCUCAGCUGGUACUCGCGUCUCACAUUUUCUUCCUACUUCCCGCAGGAUCGUUCAGUUCUCCAAUGGCAAGGUACGAGAGUCUUGAAGAGUGCCCUCUUCUCAAGUUUAGCUAUUGCAUAUUUGGAAUUGUGUAUAUCUCUAUUUAUUUCUUGAUGAUCUAGUUGGUUGAACUGGUAGGUACAUGACUCUUAAUUUCUAAUAGCUAUGCAAUUUCUGACUCUCUUUUUUAGUUGUUAUAAUUAUUAAAGAGAACGGGUGACAGCUUUCAUCAUCGGUAUGGGAACACUGUCUGGUUGAGUCUUGGUUCUUACCUUCUGAAACAUAAAUAGUUCACCCUGUCUAUGAUCAUUUCACCGAUUACCGGAUACUUUUUGUGUGUUUAUCUGUACUUUACCUAUUGAGUGACAGAAAGUUGCUUCGCAUCUCGUUUUAUUGCCUAUGUUAAUUCAUGCACGCUAGAUUAAACUUAAGAUUAUACUCUUUGGUUGAUUCACUUUUCUCCUCCUCAUUUUUUUUUAUCUGGGGUUGAUUAAGAGUACAUGAUUAUGGUGACAGGGGCCAGGACCGGAUGCACGCAUAAUUUACAUUGAUGGUGCUUUUGAUCUUUUCCAUGCUGGCCAUGUUGAGGUAUAGUACGUUCAUUUGGGGGCAGACAAUUUAGCCAUGUUAACUAUGUUUGUCGACCAGUCCAACUAGAAUUCCCUAAAUAUUUUUGAGGGAUCAUCCAUUUUAUUACGCCAAUGUUGUUAAUUCUUUUUUUUUUCUUGAUUAUUCAAUUGGUACAGAUUCUGAGGCGUGCUCGAGAGCUUGGAGAUUUUCUUCUUGUUGGGAUACAUAACGACCAGACUGUCAGGUUCAAGAAAGCUCAACUUUGGCUGUUUUCUUUAUAGUGAUUUUUAUGCAUAAAUAUAUAGCUCUUGUCCCCAUUCUGGAUUAGAUGUGCAUAAUUGCAUCCCUGCUUAAAUUCUUCUGAUCAAAUAGUACUUGUUAUACGUUGAUGUGCAGUGCUAGAAGUGGAGCGCGUCACCCAAUCAUGAAUCUCCAUGAAAGAAGCUUAAGUGUUCUGGCAUGCCGCUAUGUAGAUGAGGUGAUAAUUGGUGCUCCUUCGGAAGUGUCAAAAGAUACCGUGAGCUUUCAUUCUUUACUUAAUAAUAAUACACAAUGGACUUUCAUGAAGAGCUAUCUUUGACACUGAUUUGGAUGAUGCAGAUCACGACAUUUGACAUUUCGUUGGUGGUUCAUGGGACAGUAGCCGAGAGCGAUGAUUUUCAAAAGGUAAAACAAGAUUCAGAUGGAUUUUAUAUAACAAGGCAGUAUACAAAGAGUUUAUUUCUCAGAAUGUGUUUGUUGAUGAUCUGACACAGGAGGAAGGUAAUCCGUAUGCUGUACCAAUAAGCAUGGGCAUAUUCCAAAUCCUGGAAAGCCCUCUUGACAUCACAACCUCCACCAUAAUCAAGAGGAUUGUGAACAACCAUGAAGCUUAUCAGGCAAGUUGCUUUUCUUCUACCUCAUUCAUUUUCUUAUUGCAUCACUCUGACCAAUCUCUAACUUCAAAAUCGUUCUGCAAUUUUUUUAGAAACGUAACUUGAAAAAGGAAGCUAGCGAGAAGAAGUACUACGAGCAGAAGGCUUUUGUGACUGGCGACUGAUAGAAUCUUGAAAGCUUUGUAAGAGCAGACCAUCUUUGGGAUGUGAAUCUGUUUCUCCUUAUAUUUAUAUCUCCGUAGUAGUCCGUACUGGCUAUAGUAGGAUGUUUCUGCAUCAGACUCGAAUGCUACAUAGUAUUACAUUUUGUUCUCUAGUUUUUAAACAUAAAAAGGGCAUUGAUGAUUUUAGCACCAAAUGCUUCUUUUAUUUUCUUCACGUUUGGGAUGUUUCAUCUAACUUUCUACUUUCGUUUUUGCGUACUGCAAAUAUGUUAGGAUUGUAUAUGUUCACUAUCUGAAGAUAAAACGAUGAACUUCAUUAGAAAUGGUAAGUGCGGUUGAGUUUCAGACAGUGGUGAAACAGCCAAAUCUUGUCUCUUUGAAACUGAAAUCAGAGAGAGCAUUACAGUUUCGAAUCACAAAUGCAAUGAUAAAUUAGGAGAGGUCCCAAACAGGACCAAUCUCGCAGGAGUUUGAUGGUGCAAAUCAGGACAAGGGCUUGCUGGUCCCAUUAAUAGCCGGGACAAGGCCUCUUGUGGCCUUCACGUAUGAAAGGUAUUCACUAUAAUGCAUGCUGAAUAAUGUGCUCUGGUAUCUUGUUAGCUGGAUUCGCCUACGCACUGCCUCAGUUAUUUCACCAUUGUAUCCGGCUUUACGCACCAGAGAAUCUAUUGCCUCUAUCUUUGUCCAGCCUGCCAAAAACUAGUCAUGUAAGCUUUGAUAUAUAUAAUAGUAUGAGAUUCAAGUAUUGCUCCAAACAAUGCGAAUGAAUCCUCAGGUCUAGUCAAACAUACAAACACCUAAGCAAAACUGGUACCUUCAUGAGCAGGCACCUCAGGGAGAUAUGUGGCGUUUCGCUUUAUAUUAGUCACAGGUUCAGUGAAUUCAAUGAUUAUACCAUGCGUUCCCACCUUCAUAGUCAAAUCAGACAAAACUAAGUGAGUGGGAAUAUCAACAUGAGGGAUGUGACAGGAGAAGGUUUAUCAGAUGUGUGGAAUGACUAGCAUGCUACUACUUGUCGGUACUAUAUUCUUAUUUUAUGUUUAGAAACAGGAGACUAAGAUGAAGAGUGAAGAGUGAAGACAGUACCUCCCAAUCAAGAUAAUCCUCUGCAUCUUCAUAAUCAGUCAAGACGGACACCGUGCAUUGCAGAAACGGCAGUUCUUUGGGUUGGAUUGGUGGGAACCUACGAUCCCUCAGGGCACUGUGAUAUUACAUAAAUCAAAAAGGUACAUUUAUAACAAAUGACAUUGUACAGAAGAAAAAAAAGAGGUAGAUUAAGCUAAUGGGCAAACGCCAAGGAAUAUCAAAAUGUGUGAGUAAGUUACCUGGUCAAGGCAUAGUCCUUGAAGCCACUGAUCAAGCGGCGUGCUUCAAGUGUACCAAUACAUCCACGCAAACGAGGCUCCCCACCGUUCACUAUUUUCUUCCAGGUGACAAACAAUGGGCUACAAAGAAAACAACCACUGGACUAUGAGUAAGAGAAGAUGAUGUAAAACACCAAAUCAUCCAAUCUAUUCUACAUAUUUACUACUACUGACAACAAGUGGGAGAUGAACUUGCAUGUCACUAACAUAACAAACACAACAGGAGUUUUAAUGAAACGUACUGAUUGGCGUCGUCAAAGGCAGGUGGAGGAGAGUCUUCGUUGUUGUAGUGAGAGACCAAAGUGUCGAAACAGUACACAGCCAUCUCUUUGUUCGCCGACGCCAUUGUGUGCUUUUGAAGAAAACAAAAAAAAAACAAAAUUAGCAAGUAGUAUAGUGUGAACCUGAAAUUAUCCAAAAUCCAACUUAUAAAAAUACAACUACUAAGCAUGUGACUGGAUUUAUAUAAAAGGAUUAUUUUCCCCCACAAAAAGAGAUUUAGUUUAUGCUUACAAACACAACCCAACACAACCCAAAAACGAAUCACACAAAGAAUAUAGCAUUCUCAGAGAUAAACUAAUAAAAUAAUAUGAACACUGAAUAGUGACGAUGAAGAUUGGAGAAGUAAAUUGAUCGUUUUUUUUUCUAUAUAUAUUAAUAUAUAUAUGGGGAUUAAAAUCAAAAGCCACCACGAAAUCUAGAAGGAGCAUAGAGAGAGAUCUGUGAUAAGAAUUGAAAAGUUCAAACAGAUAGAGAAAUCAAUUGGGAGGAGCAUAAUAAGCGGAUAAAACCUGAGGAAAGCGCAAAAAGAAUCGAAGAUCGGUGGUGAGAUUGUUAAAAGUGUGUUUUAUGUUUCAGAAGCAAAGCUUUUCUUUUAAGACACUGACAAUUGUGUUUGGCUGGUGUGUCUUUUUCUUGAAGAGGACUUUAAUAACUACUAUUUUAUAUCAGACUUUCACACUUGGGCCCAUUAUCCGGACAUAAUACCUGGACCCAAUAUCCAAACAUAACACUCGGGCCCAAGAAAUUUGUAUUUUUUUAAAUAAAAUUAAGAAGUUUCAUAUAUUAUGUUUAUAUAUAAAAUUAAGAAAUUUGUAUAUUAUGGUUAACGGUGAUGGUUCGCGUGAAAUCUUCCUCUCGGUGCUUGCCAUGAAUGAUGAUGGAUGAGAUCACGAACAGUUUUUGAAAUUGGGUUCACUUGAGUUGAAGACGUUUGCGGUGGUAAUGGUGUGAAGUCAGUGAGCUCUAGUGGAUCCGGGUGAAUCGACGGUUGGUUAUCCGAUGUUAUUUCGAAACGAGAGCGAUGUCGGAGCUGCAGCGUUUGUCCGCGCGGCGGCAGAGCCUCGUGUGUCCUAGGGUUUCAUAGUUGAACCUUAGGCCCAAAAUUUUAUUGUAUUUUGGUCCGUUUCUUUGGACUUCUGUAUGUUGUACUGUAGGUUUUUUAGGCCCGUUAAUCAAAUAUCUAUUGAGGGACGGUACUAUAUUCUUAUUUUAUGUUUAGAAACAGGAGACUAAGAUGAAGAGUGAAGAGUGAAGACAGUACCUCCCAAUCAAGAUAAUCCUCUGCAUCUUCAUAAUCAGUCAAGACGGACACCGUGCAUUGCAGAAACGGCAGUUCUUUGGGUUGGAUUGGUGGGAACCUACGAUCCCUCAGGGCACUGUGAUAUUACAUAAAUCAAAAAGGUACAUUUAUAACAAAUGACAUUGUACAGAAGAAAAAAAAGAGGUAGAUUAAGCUAAUGGGCAAACGCCAAGGAAUAUCAAAAUGUGUGAGUAAGUUACCUGGUCAAGGCAUAGUCCUUGAAGCCACUGAUCAAGCGGCGUGCUUCAAGUGUACCAAUACAUCCACGCAAACGAGGCUCCCCACCGUUCACUAUUUUCUUCCAGGUGACAAACAAUGGGCUACAAAGAAAACAACCACUGGACUAUGAGUAAGAGAAGAUGAUGUAAAACACCAAAUCAUCCAAUCUAUUCUACAUAUUUACUACUACUGACAACAAGUGGGAGAUGAACUUGCAUGUCACUAACAUAACAAACACAACAGGAGUUUUAAUGAAACGUACUGAUUGGCGUCGUCAAAGGCAGGUGGAGGAGAGUCUUCGUUGUUGUAGUGAGAGACCAAAGUGUCGAAACAGUACACAGCCAUCUCUUUGUUCGCCGACGCCAUUGUGUGCUUUUGAAGAAAACAAAAAAAAAACAAAAUUAGCAAGUAGUAUAGUGUGAACCUGAAAUUAUCCAAAAUCCAACUUAUAAAAAUACAACUACUAAGCAUGUGACUGGAUUUAUAUAAAAGGAUUAUUUUCCCCCACAAAAAGAGAUUUAGUUUAUGCUUACAAACACAACCCAACACAACCCAAAAACGAAUCACACAAAGAAUAUAGCAUUCUCAGAGAUAAACUAAUAAAAUAAUAUGAACACUGAAUAGUGACGAUGAAGAUUGGAGAAGUAAAUUGAUCGUUUUUUUUUCUAUAUAUAUUAAUAUAUAUAUGGGGAUUAAAAUCAAAAGCCACCACGAAAUCUAGAAGGAGCAUAGAGAGAGAUCUGUGAUAAGAAUUGAAAAGUUCAAACAGAUAGAGAAAUCAAUUGGGAGGAGCAUAAUAAGCGGAUAAAACCUGAGGAAAGCGCAAAAAGAAUCGAAGAUCGGUGGUGAGAUUGUUAAAAGUGUGUUUUAUGUUUCAGAAGCAAAGCUUUUCUUUUAAGACACUGACAAUUGUGUUUGGCUGGUGUGUCUUUUUCUUGAAGAGGACUUUAAUAACUACUAUUUUAUAUCAGACUUUCACACUUGGGCCCAUUAUCCGGACAUAAUACCUGGACCCAAUAUCCAAACAUAACACUCGGGCCCAAGAAAUUUGUAUUUUUUUAAAUAAAAUUAAGAAGUUUCAUAUAUUAUGUUUAUAUAUAAAAUUAAGAAAUUUGUAUAUUAUGGUUAACGGUGAUGGUUCGCGUGAAAUCUUCCUCUCGGUGCUUGCCAUGAAUGAUGAUGGAUGAGAUCACGAACAGUUUUUGAAAUUGGGUUCACUUGAGUUGAAGACGUUUGCGGUGGUAAUGGUGUGAAGUCAGUGAGCUCUAGUGGAUCCGGGUGAAUCGACGGUUGGUUAUCCGAUGUUAUUUCGAAACGAGAGCGAUGUCGGAGCUGCAGCGUUUGUCCGCGCGGCGGCAGAGCCUCGUGUGUCCUAGGGUUUCAUAGUUGAACCUUAGGCCCAAAAUUUUAUUGUAUUUUGGUCCGUUUCUUUGGACUUCUGUAUGUUGUACUGUAGGUUUUUUAGGCCCGUUAAUCAAAUAUCUAUUGAGGGAUAUGUUUAUAUAUUUUAAUAUACAUAAAAUAUAUGCUUUUUUUUCUUUUUGAUCAAAAAAUAUAUGCUUUCAAAAUAGAAAAAUCAAGUUUGGUUCUCCAAAAACCAAAAUGUUGAAAUUUCGAAUAUUAUAUUCUCUUAUUUUUUAAUAUAUAUCCAUCCACAUUCAAAAUUUGGAGUUUCUCCAGUGCACAAAAAUCGAGAUAGGGAUACAAAAAAAUUCUAAAUUACCGCCAAAAUAACAUUUCUUUCCAAAACUGACACUCGCUCUCCUCCUUCAACACACACACAAUCUCUCCUCGGGAUCUUCUUCACCCUUCAUCCUCUCUAGGGUUUCCCCCCCCAUCGUCGCGGAAAAAAAAAAGAAAGAAGAAAAUGUCUCUAUCUUCAUCCACCACCACCACCACUUGCACUUCCCUCCUCCAAGAACUACAGGUUCGAUUUUGAAUUCCCACGAUUCAAUUGAUCAGAUUCAAUUGCGUCUUGUUCUGUAGAAUUGAGAUUGUUUUUUUUCUUAUGCAGAUCAUAUGGGAUGAGAUUGGCGAAGGCUACAGCGAGAGAGACAAGAUGCUGCUUGAACUCGAGCAAGAGUGUCUCGACAUAUACAACAAGAAAGUUGAGAAGACUCGCGAUCACAGAGCUGAGUUGCAACGAUCGUUAUCUCAAUCCGAAGCUGAGAUCGCCACCCUCGUGUCUGCGCUCGGUGAACAAGCCUCCUUCUCGAAGAAAGAAGGCUCUUUGAAGGAGCAGAUCUCUUCUGUGAAGCCUGUGUUGGAAGAACUGAUGGUGAAGAAGGAUCUGAGAUGGAAGGAAGUGUCUGAGAUAGUGACGCAAAUAGCUGAGAUCUCUUCUAACAUUGCGGGGAAUGAUUCUCUUGUUAGCUCUGGUUUUGAAGUUGAUGGAAGUGACUUGACGAAGAGGAAGUUGGAUGAGCUUAGAGCUCAUCUCCAGGAUCUUCGCAGUGAAAAGGUGUUCUUAUAGAGUUAUAUGUUAGAAAGAGUAUUAUGGUUAUAGGGCUGUUCGUUUGGUUGCCGCAGGUACCGGCAGCGGCAGCGUCAACGUUCUGACGCCGCGUCUGAACACCGCGUCCUGCGACUGACGCCGAUAAAACCUGCGAUCCCCGUAUAAUAUGCGGCAGCGGUAGCGUCAGCGUCUGCGAAACGAACAACAACUGUCCUCAUUGACGCUGUCGCUGCCGCUGACGCCGAAACCUGCGGCAACCAAACGAACAGGGCUUAUGUGUGCUUAUCUUUUUUUUAUUUUUUUUUCAGGCUGUUCGGUUGCAGAAAGUGAACUCUUAUAUCAGUGCUGUCCAUGAGUUGUCAGAGAUUCUUUCGUUUGAUUUCUCCAAGGCGUUGAGUAAUGUUCAUAAAAGCCUUACCGGGGCUUCGAAAAGCAUUAGUAAUGAUACUCUUGCUAGAUUGACAGAGCUUGUAGAGUCUCUGAGGAAGGAGAGACGUCAGAGGCUGCUUAAGGUGAGCAAAGAAAAAAUACUUUCUCAAUUGUUUGGAAAACUAGUAGGGAUUGAUACCUUUGAGAGAUUCUUGUUUAUUUCAGCUACAAGGUUUGGGAAGAAACAUGCAAGAGCUGUGGAGCCUGAUGGAAACAACUGCGGAUGAGAGGAGAAGAUUUGACAAUUUGAGUAUCUUGCUUUCUGUUCAAGCUGAUGAUGCCUUGGGAAAAGGAUGCCUCGGUCUAGACAUUGUCCGAGAGGUAAUGUCAUCAUAUCAUAUUCAUUUGUUCUCAUCUGUCUGAGUCAGCGAGUAUCAAACUUUUGAUUUAAGUCUAACAUUUUGGUUAUAGGCUGAAGAUGAAGUGGAAAGACUGAAUGCCCUGAAGUCCAGCAAGAUGAAGGAGUUGGUUCUGAAGAGGCAUUAUGAACUAGAAGAAAUCUGCAGAGAGGUUCAUAUGGAUUUCAAUAGCGAUGCUGCAAGACAGAGUCUUAUCGACGUCAUUGACUCUGGUACCAUACUAUUCCUCUCUUGUAGGCUGACUAAUUAAUUAAGUACAAACUGUUUUCUGACUAAUGUGAAAGUACGAUGGACAUGGCUCCGCAGUUAAGUUACUAAUGUAUGGUUUAAAGUUAUAUAUUUCAUUGAGUGUGCAGUGACGAAGGUUUCCUUUGCAGGUGAUGCUGAUCUGUUUGGUAUUCUGGAAAGCCUAGAUGAGCAGAUCGAGAAGGCAAAAGAGGAAGCUUUAAGCAGGAAGGAAAUUUUAGACAAAGUUGAAAAGUUGAAGCACGCAAAGGAAGAGGAAAAAUGGCUUGAUGAUUAUGAAAAGGUGACUACCACAUCGCGUUUUAAUAGCUAUAUUUUAUGAAAAUAGGUAAAGAGAAGAUCUAUGGACCUUGGAACUGAUUGUGAGCAUUUAUCUGAUGAAAUAUAUUUGUCUUAAGAUUAACUGCAGAGAUUUUUUUUUGUAUAGUUUUGGUGUUAGAGAGUAUCUCAUUUUGUGUGAGUUUCCUAAAAAACUAGCUUUGUAUACGUAUGUGAUAUUGAUUGUUUCUUGUAAUUUGCUUUCUUAACAGGAUGAGAAUCGCUUUAGUGCUGUAAGAGGAGCGCACAAAAAUUUAAAACGCGCGGAGAAAGCUAGGAGCCUUAUCAGCAAAAUUCCUGGUGAGUCUUUUAUACAUGCAUUACUUGAUUAAUGCAAGCAAGUCUGUCUUCUGGAAUUGGUAACUAGAUAUCCCUUUGGAUUAGUUUUCAAUAAUCUUUUUUCUUUUCAUUCCAAGAUUCUUAUUAUUAACAGCUCAACUAGAGGACAGUUCCUUCCAGCUUAAACUCAAAAACUCAUUGUUAGAUGUUUGGAGUUUCUGAUGUUUUUCUUUGCACUGGUUAGGGUAAAUAGUGUUUGAAGGUAGUAAUAGUCAGUGCCUGAUUCAAAUCAAGUGAAGUUUCUGUAGCCUUUUUGUGAUGCUUAUUCAUCCCUCCAAAAGUAGUUGAUGUUUGUCUGUUGUAAAACUGAUCGGUCUUGAGAUGACAUUAACCUCUUAUGUUUAUUUUAUAAGCAAUGAUCGAUGGUCUGACCACCAAAGUGAAGGCAUGGGAGAAAGAAAGAGGAGUCCCCUUCCUAUGUGAUAAGGUAACGAACUGUACAUUUACUCAACUGUCCUUUUUAUGGUUUGAUUCAGCUUAUGUGAGUUAUGACUUUUUCGAUCCAGCACCCGUUGUUACAAACACUGGAAGAAGAAAUUGUUUUGCGUGCUCAAAGAGAGGAGGAAAAGCGUCAGUUCCGAGUAUGUGUGUUAGUCAAAACAAGGAUUUGUAGACAAUCACUGUGGUCUUGAACUAACACUUUGUUUGUUUUGCGUAAACAGGAGCAGAAAAGACUACAAGGUCAGCUUGCUACAGAGAAAGAAGCAAAGUAUGGUUCAAAAUCUGCAAAGAAGAAGCCAUUGGGACAGAGUCUUAACACAGACAAUGUGACAAAAACACCACUUGGUCGUAGGGUUGGGACUACACCUGGCCGUUCUGGUGUCAAAGAUUAUAGAGAAAGCGGCAGAGGCAAUGCCACCGCGAUACCGCUGAACUAUGUCGCUCUUCAGAAAGAAGAUUGAUUGAUACUAGAUACUAGAAAGGGGGUUAGGGUUUUACAUAAAGCUACAUUACAUGUUGAUGAGCUGAUAGACUUCUUAUGUGAUUCUUUUUGGUUUCUAGUUCCUUUUGCUAAUGAUGUUUUCAGAUUUUAGUUGGUAUGAAUAUGAAGUGUCACAUUUUUACUCAUAAUAUCCAAACCAAAGUUUAAAACAGGCUUUGCUUCUGGAAAUGAUGUCAAUUCAAAAACCAUCUGUCACAAUGCAUAAGGAUUACAACUAAUAAGCUCAGGGUUCUCACUACAUUACUCCUUCAGAAGAAAAGUUUUUUUCAAGUAGUGUUUCGGGUGAAAAAAAGCUUGUCACAUCUCACCACACUCUGUAAUUACAACGGCAAGCUUAGGGCGGUUGUUUGGUCCAACAGCAACGUUCUCAAUCUUCCGCAUCACCAAUAAGCCAUCUCCAAGCACCCUCUGUACAUCACAAAGAAGAAUUUGUAAUGAGUCAUAACAAAACUAUUACCAAACAUAUGUGCACAAGAGUUCAUGAUUCAGUGCCUUCUGCCUCAACUAUCUAUGGCUUUUAAGUUUCUACUAUUAAUCGAUGGAAGAAAACUGAAAAGCUUCUGGUUCAAUCAUAUGCAAUACGUGUGUAAGUGAAAAGAGAACAUACCCCAAAGACAACAUGCUUGUUGUCAAGCCACUCGCAUUUUGCACAGCUGAUGAAGAACUGCAAUGCAAAAGAGCAAAGUUUAAUUAUAGCCUUAAAUGAUAACAUAUAUAUAUAUGAUGGCCAACCAAGUAACUAUACUUCUUUUUCUAAAGCUAAAGUUUAAUAAAUUAGAUUAGCACCAUAGCCAAUUAGCCAUUACAGUUUAGCGAUUAUAUUGAGACAGAAAUUACCUGGCACCCAUUUGUGUCUGGCCCACUAUUUGCCUAUAACAAAAGAAGGAGAUGAGCAAAAUUAGCGAUCAAAGUCAUGCGUAUUAUAUCAGAAAGGUAAUAGGGCUGUUCGUUUGGUUGCCGCAGGUACCGGCGGCAGCGGCAGCGUCAACUCUUGUUCGUUUCGUUGAUGCAGGAAGUUGCGUCUGACGCCACUGACAUAAUAUGCGGCAGCGUCAGCGUCUGCGAAACGAACAACAACUGUCCUCAUUGACGCUGCCACCGCCGCUGACGCCGAAACCUGCGGCAACCAAACGAACAGGACUAAUAGCAUACCAUGGAGAGGAGUCCAGGUCCGGUAUGUUUAGCAGUAAAAUUCUCAUCAUCGAACUUGUGACCAUAAAUGGACAUGCAUCCAUUACCAUCAUUCUGCACAAGAGUUGAACAUGUUUGAGCAUUUAGUUAAACAAAGAAGCUGAAGCUCUAUAUGGAGGCAAAAGGAACAGACCUUAAGAAAAUCACCACUCUGAAUCAUAAAGUCCUUGAUGACCCUGUGGAACUGACACUCCUUGUAACCAAGAGGCUUCCCAGCCUUUCUGCAUUUUUUACAUUACACCCACCAGAUAAAAAAAAAAAGGUUAGCUUUUUAAGUAGCAAGGUGAUAAUAUGAUCUACGCUUAGCUAGCAAAGUGCAUCAAGACAAGAUUUUGAGACAUGCCCAUCUCACAGAAUCCAAAAAAAUCGAAUGUACCUGAGUUCACCAGUACAGAACUGCCUGAAGUUCUCGGCGGUUUUGGGGGCGAUGUCGGCGAAAAGCUCCAUCUUGAUGCGACCCGCGGGGAUGCCGCCGAUAGAGACGUCGAAGAAGACGACUGGGUUUUUAGGGUUCGGUGGUCUCACGUGCCACUCCACGUUUCCUCCGCCGCCGCUUGACGGAGCUGAGGCUGGUGCUGGUGGUGCAGCUACGAUUCCUCCUGCUCCAGAACUCAUCGCAACUCAAAAAGCUAAGAGAGAUACUUUCUUCCUUCCUUCCCCGUUCUCUGAUCAAGGAACCUACUUGGGCUUUUAAAUUCGAACCUAUUUGGGCUUAUAUUCGAUCCUACUUGGGCUUAGAUUCCAAGUGGUGAAAUGAAAGUUGCAAUACAACCCUCCAACUGUCUUUGUCUUUUCAAAUUUACCUUUUUACUUAUGAACAUUUCAAUGUAACCCUCUGAAAACUUCUACAAGAAUAAGCUGUGAAGAGGAACUUGAGUGUCACUACAUCAUUCAUCAUGUAAGAGACUACCUUAAUGCUCUCUAUUAGAAUGCACAAACUCUUUACAUUUUCAAACCACUAAGAUUUAAACAUAGGGAAACAUGUUUAAUAUAGCCCUAUUAAUCAUACAUAUAUAUAUAUAUCUUCAGUCGUCACGUAACCAAAUAAAAACAGAGGUUUUAGUAUUCUUCCAUUGACAAAAUGCAUGUGGUUUACCAUACAAAACAAUAUUAUUGAAAGGUAAGUUACCAACUUAGAAUUGAGCAUGUAAGAGUUACAUACGUCAAAAGAAAAUAGAAAAAGACAGCUAAAUUUGAUAAUUUGGAAGUUGGAGAAGCUCCUCCACUGUCAUAAAAAUCCCCAUUCAACAAAAGAUAAAAAAAGGGUCUGCUCAUGCGUGCGAUGGCUAGACAAGUGAGACAAGACUUCUAAGAACUCUUCUUGCUAUCAAGCUCCUCCAACACACCCAACAGUUUCGGAUCCGCAUAGUUCUCUAUAAGAAAAGCAGGUCUAGCUUGCAUCAGCACGCUUGCUGGAUUCCCUGUGGUAAGUCCAACCACAGGCAUUCCAGCCGCAACUCCAGCUUUUAUCCCAGAGACCGAGUCCUCGAACACCAGCGCAUGCUCUUUCGACACGUUAAGCACUUCGAGAGCCUUCAAGUAAGGCCCCGGGUGUGGUUUGGGAAACUCACAUUCAGAGCCGAGAAUCACUGCCUGGAAGAAAUCAGUGAGACCAAGUUUCGAUAUGAUGAGCUCUGCGUUCUCUUUUGGAGCGUUUGUCACGGCGGCUCGUUUCAGUCCACGGUCUUCGAUCCAUUUGGUUAGUUUUAGAAGUCCGUCAAGUGGCUUUACCUUCUCUGCUACGAGUCUAACCAAAAAAACAAAGUUAACUUGAUAGUCAAGACGGUUCGGUGAUUUUCGGGGGAUAUAAACAAUUUAGUAAAGGUUUUUAUAAGAUAAUUUUUAUACAAAUUUAAAAACCUAUUUCUAUGUAAAUUAAUUUCAAAAUUUUGAAAGUUAUUGGCCUAUGUGUUCACUUGGCUAUGCUCAGGACAACUAGAGGUGAAGCCAAGGCAUCAAUUAUGGUGGCAUGUACAACCACAAAAUAUUGAAAAGAAAUUUAGUGUGCCUAAUCAUAAAAUGCCAGCUAGAUUAGAUGGUUAUAACGAUAUUGUGCACAAAUAAUAAUGUUCUCGGGUUCAAUAACCAAUUUGUCAUUUAUUCAAUUUUAGUACAAUUAUCAAUUAAAUCUUUCUAGAUUCGCCCCUGAGGACCACCCAUAUCAAUAGGGAAGCAAUUUUUAAGACAGAAACGUGACUUACUUGCGGAAGAGAGCUUCCUUGUCCUCGCAAAACUUUAACCCUUUAGCAACAUCAUCAGGGAAGAGAACGAGAGCAAUCUCAGAGUUGUGUUUUCCAGCAAUGUUGGCAAUGAAGAACUUCUCGUCGAUUGGGACACCAUUGUUAAAACCAAUCUGUGAGUGAUUCAAGAAAGCAACAUUUUGAGACAAGAACUUGAAUGUAAGUAAGUAUUAUAUAAUAAGGUUCCAAAGCUGAAGAUAUUAUUCAAAAAGGAAUUAAUAACCUGUUGGAGCAGUUCUUGGAAGGCGAUAAGGUGGAUGGGAUCAGAGUCACAGAGUGUUCCAUCAACAUCAAACAGAAUGGCUUCUAGUGGAGCAAGAUGUGAGAGCGAUGGUUUGCUGCUUCACAACAGAAAAAUGAAAUAGAGUUGAACAAAAAUAACAACGUAUAGAUCAAAAUCUCAACAUAAGGAUCAAAUUUGUUAUUAUAUCUAUCAUCUAGCUUUCAGUUUGGUCUUGAUAAUAUAAGGAGAAAGAUCGCAACAGUUUUGUACCAUCAGAUCAUGCAUACAUAUAUAAUAUAAGUUAUCAUUGACUCUGAAAGUAGGAUCAAGCACGUUACCUCUCGGAAGAAGUGAGAUCAGAGAAGCCAUUCAUUGCGAUGAAACAGAGAAACAAAACCGGAUCUGUGAUUGCAGAGAAGACACCAACCAAUAGCUUUUGAGUUUUGAGAGAAAGUGCGAAGAAUAUUAAAAGGUACAAAAUGGGAAUCAAAUGGGUGCACGUCAGAGGAAGAUUCGGCCGGGGCUUUUUCAACACGUGGUGCCUUUUGUAUUUUUUAAUAACGAACGCAUUAUGCCAAAACUGGAAACCUGGAUUUCAUACCGUCUUCCGGUUUAGAUAAUUCAUUUGAAUUUAUUAGGCAUUUUGGUUGAAGAGGCGGGUAUGAUAAGAUCACGAACAAUAACCUAAGGAAAAUAUAUGAUUUUGUCUUUUAAUAUGAAAAAUAAAGUUUUAUAAAAUUACAUAUAGUAACUAAAAUAGUAUGAAAUUUAUAAAAUUACAUCAUAAUCUGGACAAUAUCUUAUUCUGUAAUUUAUUUAGAGUUUUUAGAUAUAGUUUUUUUUUUAUAUAAUAAAAACAAGAUUGCAACUUUUAUUGGUUGGCGAUUCAAAUUAAAACGGAAUGAAGUUUUGAACAGGUAUUUAACGACUUAUUAGCCGAUUAAGGGCUUGACUGGUUCAAACGCAGCAGUUACGGUUGCGGUUGCGGGAGUUUGUGGAUGCAUGCAGUUGCGGUUUCUAGCGGUUUUAACAGAUUUGUACGAUUGUUACUGCAGUUAAAAAUUGAUGCGUUUGCGGAUGACUUAUGACUGGUUAACUACCAAAUGCGGUAGGUUCGAAGCGGGUUAGAGCGAUUUGAGUGAUUGUUGCAAACCGCCGACAACCGCUACCAACCGCAAAAGCUCGUUUGCGGGUCGUAGCGAGAAAACCAGUCGCCCCCUAAUACCACCCUUCAUAUGUCAAAGAUCCCCUCUAAGUGUUCCCCUACAACACAUUUACUUUUAUACUAUGACUAGACUUUCACAAGUUUUAAAUAUUUUGCAACUCAUGAUAUUUUUUGUGGGUUUUUUUAAUCAUUAUAGCUCUUUUUUUAUUGAAUAAGUGAUGAUGCAAUGGUUCUCGUUUAGUGAAAACAAAUACAUGUUGUCUCUAAAAAAAUUUAACAGAUCCAAAUGACAUCUAGUCGUCAUCUGAAUAUCAUGUUCAUGUGCAUAAAAGUGUUAUGUUUUCAUAUAUUGGAAUCGUGAUCAUAAUUAGACAUGAAAACAGAGUUUAACAUGAACACACUCUUUUUCUCUCACUGAAUCAUGUCACCAACGACAAGAACUCUUUAUUAUCAAAUCAAAAGGGUAUAGAAAACGCAAAUGUUGGAAUAGAAACACAACCAAAAGGAAACCAAACGUUUAGUAACAAAAAGUCUUGAGAAUACUUUCUCGACCGAGAUCAGUUCGAUUUGGAUAGCAGUGUGAGCAAGAAAUCUCUGUAGUUUCCUCUAAUCUUCUCUUGAAUAUUUUGGGCUAACGUCUCACCGUAGCGCUGAUUAUACUCUUCUGCGAUCUCCUUCAUCUCAUCACUAUGAUCCGCUCUCGUAACGAACACUCUUGUCAACCAUUUCUUGGUGCCCUUGUCCGCAUCUUUGUUCAAAGACGCAUUCAAAAUCUAGCACCAAAGAAAUAAGAGACUUUAUUAAAACAUUAUUUUGUCGUUAUUAAAAAGAAAUAUUAGAAGUUUAUAUACGAAAAUACAUGUGUAACCAUAUAAGUUUAUUGUGUUACAAAAAAAAACCAUACAAGUUUAUUACCUUGCUGAAGUACACAGAGGGUUUGAGCAAGCAAAGCAAUGCAUCAUUGAGGAUUGAAGAGUCAGAUACACCCUAAUGAUCAUGCCACAAGAUUUUCUUGACCCAUUAGAAAAUUUAUACAUGUGAUUACAUAAAUAGUAUAACAAGUGUAAGGAGUCAUAUAUAUGUAUGUUACCCCAAGAAGAUCAGAGCCAUUGAUUUGGUUAAAGUGUUUGUAGAGUUGUUGGAUAUGAAGUUUGCUUCUUGUGCUCAGAAUCCUAACAACCUCAUCAUUCUCAAUGGCUUUCUCUCCUGGAGAAGCCACCGCCUCGGCCAAAAUCUUAGCGUCAGAUUUAGCUAAAUCAUCCUUCACCUUGUUCCCUUCGUAUCUGUAAGCACUCACGAGGCCUACAAGCAGCUGCAUGCACAAACACAUACAAGAGACAUGCCAGUGAGUAAGAAGAGAUCUAGAGAGAUCAGGUGUGGGGGGGUGUAUGGUAAGAAAGAAUGUUACUACUGACCUUGCGGCGAGAGCCGUGGAUGUUAGAGGCAAUGUCUUCUUCCAUCGACUGGUCGAAGAGUGAGUGGUAAGCUUUGCGUGCGCCUAGGAGAUCAUCAGAGGAGCGAGUGCAUGCCACCUCCACGAUGAGGCUGUAACAUUCAUCUCCUUUCUUCAGUGCUUUCUUCACCACCCUUGCGUCUCUCUCCCAUGGAUGCAUCGACCACAUGACCACCGCAUUCUACACAUCAUAUAGACUAAACGUUCAUCAUUUCCAUGGAGUGAUAAGGUUUACCUAUUUUUCUCUUCAUAAGGAGUGUCUUAUUAGGACUUCGUUAGGAAACGCGAAAGGACCAAUACUAGUAGUUUAUCAAAGUUCAUUUCUUGAGAUCAAAGCACAUGAUACUUUACAGAGUAUUUGAUAAAAAAUUAUAGGAAUAUAUUCUUCGUCAAGUAACAAGCAUCUACAUCUCUAACCAAGUUCUUGAGAGUAUAUGAGUAAAUUCUUCAUCACGUGUUCUUGAGAGUAUAGGAGUAAAUUCUUCAUCACGUAACAAAUAGCUACUACAUCUCUAACAAAUCGCACACUAAAUAGUUGCAUAACAAACAAUCAAUGAAUACAAAAGGAUGAUAAUGAGCUAGUUGUUAAUUUGUUAAUGUUAAUUACUCUAAUAUAUAAAUUCAGAAAUUUUAGAUUUUUAGUCUUUCACUAAACUGAAAUAAAUUGUUUGUUUUGUACUUUUAUUAGGAAAAACAAUGAUUGGUUUGUUAUUAGGUAAGAAGUAAGAAUGGUGGGAAACUAGUUAAUUAAAUAGAUUGAAAUAGCAAUAACUUUGCCAAAAACAACUAUAAUAAGUAUUAAUAAAAUAUAUUUUUUUUAGAAAAACCAGAAAACGAAAGAUAAAAUUUGAAAAGAAAAAAGAAAGAAAGAAUGAAAGAUGUAAAGUUUUGCCAAAACAAAAAGAAUUAAAUAGUACAACUUUUGCCAAAACAAAAACUAGAAUAUAUAGUAAUAAAAUGUUAAGAAAAGAUAUAUAAAUAGAAACCCCAGAAAAUGAAAAAUGUAAAGGUGUAAGAAACUGACAUUGAAGCGGGAGAACUCAAGCUUGAGAUGUUUGACAAAUUGAUCAUGGCACUUCUCAAAAGCUCUUUCUUCAUCUUCCUCAAAGAAACCUUUGCUUGCUUUCCUAAACAACUUUCGAUGAUCCUUGUGUGAAUUCCCCAGUGUGCUUAUCAAUGCUUUCUCAUCAACUCCCAUUCCUACAUUUUUUCCUAUAUGAUAUCCAACAUAAUUGAUUAACCUUCAAAAUCAUUCUUAAUUGGUUUUCUCACGAUUUUGACAUUCACUGGUUUGCCAAAAUUGACUUUUAAGAAGUACCUGAGAAUGCGUCAACAAUGCUUUCAAGAUCGAGUGUGUGAGCCAUUUAUCUUAAUGUUGUUUUUUUUCUAGCUUUGAUUUGGUUUUUGUGGAGAGCUAUUGAAGAGACACAAGUCAUUUUAUAUGAUGCGGGGAUUAUAGAGAAAAGGGUGUUUUCGGUAAUCAAUAAGUAUUUGUUUAGUUUAAUAGUUUCGUGUUCAGAUUUAAGACAAACGCUAGGUGCAUUGUUGUAACAAGAAGUAACGCUCACGAAAUUUAUUAUUUUACAUCUUUUAAGUUUUAACAACUGUUUUGCAAGCACAAAUUGAAUUACAGUAAUCCAAGACAAAUUAAAACUUACUGUUUUUUUUUGUUUAAACUGAAUUUUUUAAGUUUGACCAUUACAUAAAACGGUCAGUAUAUACAAUUAUACAUAUAUCAUCAUAUCUAUAAUUAAGUAUUGUCUUUGCGUUUCAAUCUAAUAUAGUAAAUAUAAUAAUUUUAUCUAAAAUGUAUAAUCAUUUCAAAAUUUGUUUUUUAAAAUACUUUACUAUAUUAUAUAAAAUAGUUACAGGUUAUAGAUACAUAUGUUAUAUAUAGUAUGAACAGUUUGAAUCAAAAAAUAGAUUUAAGAAGUUAAAAAACAAUUAAAACACUAGACAACAUAUUUUAUGUCGUGAUCUAAACUUGCGUUAGGAAAUUUACAACAAAAACUAAUCAUAAGUAACACCUGCAUGUGCUCUGGCAGAUAAUAUAAGAUACGAUACAGAAGGUUAAGAUCCAUGUGAUUUUAAGUAGGUCGAAUCUCAGAUAAUUAAAAUAAUAUAAGACUAGGAAAAGUCAACUACGUGGGAUUCACUCCAUCUUAAACGAAUGUCAGAUAACAAUUACAAUGAAUAAACAGAUGAAACGAUUAAGUUGUAGAGGUUUGCAUGUAUAACGUUAUUGGAUGUUAAAUCAGAAAAGGGCGAUCAAACCAGCAUUCAUGAGUUGGCUUCGUUUGUUAUAUUAUGAUUCCUGGAAAAAAAUUAAGACAAAAAGUAAAUAUUGAAUCAUUUGGUACGUGCGACGAAGUUUCAAAGAUCAUAAAUCUUUCACAUAAAUAAACAAAAUAGGUUCGAAGAUCAUGGCAAGCUCUUCUUCUCUUAAACUAAUAUUAAUGUCUUCUGUAAGGUUUGAUGCGUUCUCAAUUUGUCCAGACUGUCUCUCAGCGAUUCAAAGGAGUAGAUGAGAAGCCUCCAUCACGUUUCCUUAACGAGGCUAAUAAGUGAUUAGGUUAUUAAUAUACAACAAGCAUCACACAUUCGCAUGGUGUUUAAAAUAAAAUAAAAUAAAUUAUUGCUGCAUAUCUGUCAUCGGGGUUGUACAAAAACCUUAUUUUUUGGCAUACCUUCAUAUGUCCCUAUCUUAAAAGAAAUAUUUGGUCAACCAAAUUAAUAUAUAGCUAAAGACAUGGUGUGUCGUUUGCAGACGUGCAUAUAAACAAGAUCACGUUUAACACGACGAGACGACUUCACAAUAAUUUAGAGGGGACAGAAUAGCUGUGUCUAUAUAUGAUUUGCAUUUCGCUAUCUCUUUUAAUUUGAUUUGGUUAAACUUAUUCCUCAGUCAUAAGAUCCCGUCAUUUUCUAUCCUCUUAAAUCUAAUAUAUACGCAUAUGUCACAGAGGCAGACAUGCUGUUGACUUGCAACAUAGUUUUUCUUUUGGCUGGAAUGUGAAUAUCAUUAAGUAUGAAAAGUUUAGGUUUUUCAAUAUAGCCUAUCUAAUGUAAGUGUUUGUUGUAAGAAAAAAGAAGAAGAAAUAAAAACAAGGAGAACCUAGUUCAUAUAUACAAACACAAAAUAUCCCUAUUUUCUUGUUAAAAACAUUUGAUAGAAGUAUAUCAUCGUAUUAUAUAUUGUUGACGUGUAAGUUUUUCUAUCUGAUGAAUUGCAUACACAUUGGGAUUAUUUUAAAUUUACACUAGUGUGAAAAUUUCAUAUAUUCUUUAAAAGUAAUUAUUUAGUUACAAUUUAAGGAAAUGAUGAAAUCAACAUUUUUUUAUGAACUGAGGCUUUCUAUUUAAAUGUAAAGUUGUGCAAUGGACAAUUCGAAGAUAAUUUCACUAAUUAGUUGCGAUAAAUUAACUUUUAGAAAUUUUAUUUUCAUUAAUCUAUAUAAAUGAAUAAAUUAUUUUUAUGGAUUCAAACUUUAAUUAUUAUUUUUAAUGAAUCCUUAGUUAGAUUAUUGGACUAAGGAGAUUUUCAUAAUUAAAACAUAUCUUAAAGAGCUACUUGGUGGUGGGUUAAGUGGUAAGUAAUAGAUAUAUGGGACCCUAGAUAUAUUAAGAAAAUAGUUAUAGAAAUAUGAGUUUGACUACUAAGUAAUACACAAUUAUUAUUGAACCGUCAUAUUCAACUUCUUCUUCGAAAUUAGAAAAUAUUAUUACAGUUCAAUCAAAAAAGCUAUUAUUACAGUAACGUCUUAAGGGGUAUUUACGUCAAAUAAGAUUCCCUGAUUACAUAAUUACACCCAAGUAAAUAACGGAUUCAGACGAAACAAGAGAGAUAAAGAAACCAAAAGAGAAACAUCUCUCAAAUGGCCACCAUUAGAGUACCAGACGAAGUUCCUUCUCCAGCUCAAGAUUCCGAAACUCUCAACCAAGCUUUCCGCGGUACGUUUACCAUCGGUUUCUGCAUUUUUGUGUUGUGUGUGGUUCUCUCGAAACAAGAUGUAUUGUCUGUCUUUGUAGGAUGGGGAACAGACGAGAAGGCGAUCAUACGCGUCUUAGGAAAAAGAAACGAGAGUCAAAGAAAAAGAAUCAGAGAGAGUUACAGAGAGAUUUACGGCAAAGAUCUUAUUGAUGUUCUCACCUCUGAACUGUCUGGUGAUUUCAUGGUACUAAAACAUUGAGGUUAUAGAUUGUUUGUGUAUCUUCUAUAACGUGAAAACAUGAAAACUUGUGAUUGUAUUCGCAGAAAGCUGUGGUUUUAUGGACUUAUGUUCCAGCAGAGAGAGACGCAAGGCUAGCUAACAACGUCUUGAAUGGGAAGAAGAAAAGCAUAGAGAAACUUAAGAUCAUCGUAGAGAUCUCUUGCACAACUUCUCCUAACCAUUUGAUUGCUGUGAGGAAAGCUUACUGUUCUCUCUUCGACUUAUCUCUUGAAGAACACAUUGCUUCCUCUGUCCCUUUCCCUCUUGCAAAGGUAUACCUUCUUUUGAGUUUUGAUUGUUGUCAUGAGAAGCUAAAGUCUUGAUAUGGUCUUUUAUUGUAUAAACUGCACACAGGUACUGGUGACUUUGGCAACUUCUUUUAGAUAUGACAAAGAUAUGGCUGAUACAGAAGUAGCUACUAUUGAGGCCGGUAUGCUGCGUGAAGCGAUCACAGCGAAGCAACUAGAUCAUGAUCAUGUCCUAUACAUAUUAGGAACUCGCAGUAUCUACCAGCUCAGAGAAACCUUUGUUGCUUACAAGCAGAGUUAUGGGAACACGUUAGAUAAGGUGAGUUUGGCUUUCAUUUAUGUUAUGUGUAUUCGUUAUCUCGAAUGAAAAUGACCCUAGCAUUUGUGUCGGAAGUUCGACUGCUUUCGAACUUCCGGAACAAAACUAAUAUUACAUGUUGUGGUUACGGCACUGGGAGAUUACGGGUUUCUGCCCGAAUCUCUUGGUUAUUUUUUUUUAAAGAUUUUAUAUGUAAUUCUUUACUUGAUGCUUGAUGUUGUGUUGUUAUAUGGACAGGAUGUUGAUGGAUGUCCGGGAGAUGCUGAUCUGAAAAGUCUAUUACAGAUGGUGAUCUUGUGCAUUGAGUUCCCUGAGAAACACUUUGCAAAGGUACUUCAAAAACAUUUGAGCAGAUGUUACUCAAGUAGACAACAAAGGCGUUUUAUCUUCUUUCCUUUGACUUUUGUGUUUUUUGUUUAUGUUUAAUUUACAGGUUGUAAGAGACUCCAUUGAAGGGUUUGGAACAGAUGAAGAUUCGUUGACGAGAGGGAUUGUGACGCGUGCAGAGAUUGAUCUGAUGAAAGCAAGAGGAGAGUACUAUAACAUGUACAAUACAAGCAUGGAUAACGCUAUUAUUGGUGAUGUUUCCGGUGACUACAAGGACUUCCUCCUCACUUUGCUUGGUUCCAACAUCUGAUCUUUGUUUUUCUUUUAAUAUUCUUGGCUUGUGAUUUGUGUGACUUGUAAGAAAAACUUCUUUUCUCUCUCCGGUUUGAACAAAUGUUAUAAAAAUAAUCAAACUACUCUUGUUUCUUGAUUUUUAAUGAUAUGUUGUAUAUAUUUGAAAAAGUACCUAAAACUAAAAAAAAUGUAGGUAGAGCCAAAUACAAAUCAGGCCUGCCACGCCAAAGUGUAGUUCACAUGGACGUCACGUUCGGGUUAUAUUUGGAUUGGAUUGAUAUAUGUUCGAGUUAGGUUUGGUUAAUCAUAUUUUUGAUUAUAAUUUUUUUUUUUUAUAAUUUUCUAAAAAAUUUCAUUUCAAAUUAAAAUUCAUUUUGGGUUCAGUUAAUAAUAUUUUGAAUUUAAAUAUUUUACAACCGGACCAUGAUAGAUAGACAUAAAGUUAAAUAUUUGAAAUAUUUAUUUAGUAUUGUGAAUAGUCUCAUUUCAAAUGCUAAUUUAAUACGGACAAGAUUUGGAUAAUAUGAAAAUCCAAAAUAUUUUAAUUAAAGUUUGUUUUGGACAUGGGUUUCAGUUACUAAUGUCCAGACUUAGUAGUGGGCCGCAGAAACAAAACUCAAGCCCAAUAUUAUGAUAAGCAAGAAUGGCACUCACGUGACAUCUCCAAAACGGCAUAAAGUCCGGCGGGAAGGCAGACUAUUCCGAUGUGACAAGCACACUCUUCGUUAAUCAAAUAUGGUAAAAAGAUUUAAAUAUUUUUCUUGAGAUAUUUUGUGCAGAUUGAGUUUUAAAAAAAUGUGUGGCUCUUGUCAUCUUCCACCAAAUCACACAAGGCUCCAAAAAAAAAAAAAAACAUUUUCCUCCAGCUUCUUUGGAGUCAUCUUCUUUAUUUCAUUUUCUUCUCUUUCUCUGUGAUCCUUAAACCCUUUCCAUGGCCUCUAUCUCCAGAGUUCUGCCAACAGAUGGCAGAUUAAGUCAUUGCACUUCAUGGGUUCCUGUAACUCUUGUGAGGAGAGCUCAAACUCCACCUGGUAUAUAACAUCAGCGAUCCUUUUAAUCUAACACAAAGUCUCUGGCUUUUUUUGUUGCUGAUGAAUCCAUUUCUCUGUGUUUAUUUCAGAUUCUCUCAAGUUGUUUCCCGUUAGUAAAGCUGGAGUAAGUUUAAGGAUUCAGAACAGUAGUAGACCGUUACGCUCUGUCUUUGCUCUCGAGUCACCUUCCUCCAGGUACUUUAUUGGGGACUAAAUAAAAUUCAUCUAUUGAUGUAAUUUUCUCUAGUUAGAUGCGAGAUUUUGAAGGCCUGUGGCUAUGUUUAGUUAUGAAAAUUUAUUUUACAAAUUUGGAAAUCUAAAUUUUUUUUUUUGAAGUCUAUUUGUUUGUAAUUUUUUUAAAAAAAAUUUAGGGGUCUGUGGCAAAUGUUUCGGUUAGCAUGGCCAGGGCCGACAUCUAACUUAGAUGUGGGUCAAGUUCAAGUUAGCUUCUUGUUUAACAUGUUCGUUGUGAACUUUACAGGAGCAGCCGAGUUGCUUGCAAUGCUGCUGCAGAUAUGUCAGGUGAUGCACCUGAAAGCACUCCUAAGGAACUGAGCCAGUACGAGAAGAUUAUUGAGCUUUUGACCACCCUUUUCCCACUUUGGGUACCUUUUGAUGAACUCUAUAUGCGUUUGAUAUCUCAAAAUGGUGGAGUGAAUGUGAUGCUUUCUUUUUUGUUUGUUGGUGUGCAGGUUAUUUUGGGAACACUUGUUGGCAUCUUCAAGCCAUCUUUGGUAUGCUUUCUUCCAUGCUUCUUAUUUUUUAAUCUUAUGUCAAUCUAAUAGAUUGUCUUUUUAUGUAGGUUACAUGGUUGGAAACAGACCUCUUCACUCUAGGUCUGGGCUUUCUCAUGCUCUCCAUGGGAUUAACUCUUACCUUUGAAGAUUUCAGAAGAUGUUUACGUAACCCCUGGACGGUGAGACCCUAUGACCAACUGUGUAUCUACUCUCUUUAUGUUAACAUUUGGACUCCUCUUGCAGGUGGGUGUUGGUUUUCCCUUUUCUUUUGGUUGUUGAUGAUUGUUGAGGAGCCACCUAAUACUAAACCUUUUAUCAUAGACUCUUAAGCUUUCAGCACCUCUUGCAACUGGUCUUAUCCUGGUCUCAUGCUGCCCUGGAGGACAGGCGUCAAACGUUGCCACCUACAUUUCCAAGGGCAACGUAGCACUCUCUGUACUCAUGACAACGUAUAUACUUUUUUUUUUCACUUGUUUUUUUUUUCGUUUUUUGAAGGCCUCUCAAUAAUAUGUUCUCUAAUUUUAUAGGUGUUCAACAAUCGGAGCUAUUAUAAUGACUCCUCUUCUCACUAAGCUUCUUGCUGGCCAGCUUGUUCCCGUUGAUGCUGCUGUGAGUUUUUCUUUGUAACCAGAAAUAAGCAAAAUAGAAUUGUAUAACAAGAUAGUUGCAUCCUGCCAUAACAAAGGCUUUUUUGACAUUAGGGACUAGCUCUUAGCACUUUUCAAGUAGUGUUGGUGCCUACUAUAGUUGGAGGUAAAGUAUUGAGCUCAGUGUUUCUAGAACAAUGAAUUUACCCAUGUUUCCUUAUGGACUAUAUAGUCUUCUUUUAUUUGUGUGACAGUUCUGGCUAAUGAGUUCUUUCCUAAGUUUACGUCCAAGAUUAUAACAGUGACACCUCUAAUUGGAGUCAUUCUGACCACUCUUCUCUGUGCUAGCCCUGUAAGUAAAAUUUCAUAUAACCAGAAAAAUUGAAUUCUUUAGAAGUGAAAGUAGUAUUGACUCUUGUGAAAAGAUUGGACAAGUUUCAGAGGUUUUGAAAACGCAAGGAGGUCAACUUAUACUCCCAGUAGCACUCCUUCAUGCUGCGGCCUUUGCUAUUGGCUAUUGGAUUUCAAAGUUCUCUUUCGGCGAGUCCACUUCCCGCACCAUUUCUAUAGAAUGUGGAAUGCAAGUAAGUUAACUUCUCCUUCACCAACAAAUAUAUUGCCGUUUGUUUGGUAAGAAGUUCCUUUUUUCAAAGAAACUUUUAUUUGUUUGGUUAGAAGUUCCUUUUUCAAGAAAGUUUAUUGUUUUUGGCAAAUUGUAGAGUUCAGCGCUGGGGUUCUUGCUUGCACAAAAGCAUUUCACAAAUCCUCUGGUCGCUGUUCCUUCUGCAGUCAGUGUUGUCUGUAUGGCGGUAAGUUUUCAUAGGCAUUGUUCUUUGAACCAAUGUGUAGUUUAUGUUUAGUGGCAUUGCUGUAAUCAUGGUCCAUUGCAUUAUGCAGCUCGGCGGGAGUGGAUUAGCUGUGUUCUGGAGAAACCAACCGAUUCCGGAAGAUGACAAGGAUGACUUCAAAGAGUGAAAAGCUAAUCUGUGUCUAUGGGAUUGUCUUGUUUGUAGACAUGCUCCCUUGUGUUUGAUUAAAGGACAUAACACAAGAUCUUUAUUAAAAAAAGACAAAACAAGGAUAUCAUUCUCUAUUUUAAGAGGUGAAUAUAGCAAUGAGUAGGAGAUGCUCUUAUGAAAACAUUUAUGCAAGUGAAGGGUUGGUUAAAGAAAAAAAAACUGCAAGAUGACUUUUGAUUGUUUGCUUACAAGUUAAAAGCCCAAAUUUUUAUUUUUUUGAAGUUUAAAAUAUUUUUGUAAAAAAAUCUUGUGUUUUAAGGAUAACACAUUUUUUUGUGAAAGGGAUAAAACAUCUAAUAAAUAAAAAACAAGGAGCAAAAGAGAAAAUAUUUUUUUCUUAAAAAAUGAGAAAAUAAAUUAAAACAAUCGUUUGAACAUUUUUUUAUUUGACACCUUUUUUGUUUUCUUCACUUAACUGCAUUGCUUUAUUCCUGCUUUUAAUAUUAGAAAACAAACGUGACGUAUAAUCAACUGUUACAUACCUUUUUUCACGAGAAAAUAAAUGUGUUUGAUUGCGUGUCAAUUAGUAUCUCGUUUAAGCUUCUAGAUUAAAAAGGGAAAUCAAACGAUGAGAUUAGCAACCCCGCAGGGACGGAGCUACAUUAGGUAAGUAGGGGGCAGUUGCCCCCCAUAAAAUUUUAAAAUUUCAUUUAAAUGCUUAGGAAAAAAUUGAUUGCCCCAGUUGAAAAAUAUUUAUUGCCCCCCCCCCUCCUCCCUCCCAGCAAAAUCAGCUCGCAAAGUUCAAUAUAAAGUUUCCAUUAUUUCUGUUUUGUUAACAUUAUUAUGUUGCCUUAUUUAAUUUGAACAUUAAACCAUUAUUUCCAUUUUUAUAUAAUGAAAAUGAUUUUCUUUCUUCAAGAACAGUUUGCUUGAUAGUUUUACUGAACAGAAAAUUAAUAUAUAUUUAUCUAAUAAGUAAAUAUACUCAAUGACAAUAAAAAUACAAUAUUUUUAUUUUAGUGAUUAUCUGUUUAUUUUAUGAGUGAAAAAUUUUCUUAAAAAAAAUUUCUUUAUGAUUUUGUUCUUUUCAUCAUUUUGAAGUACCAUAAAUUUUAAGGAAGACAUUUUAAAUUUUAAUCAAUACUUUUUAAAAAAAAAAAUUGGUUUUAUAAACUAUAUUCUAUAAUGAAUUUAUAUAGUUGACAAAAUGAAUUUAUUAAAUAAUUAAUAUUUAAUAAUAAUUUUAUUUAUAAUUAUUAUUUGCUCCCGGUAAAUUUUUUUUCUAGCUCCGCCACUGGCAACCCCUACAAACAAGUUACGGUAUACGGAUAUACUGUACUAAAAAUAGGCGAAUAUACUUUCGUACAAAAGCAAAAAGUACGAACUAAAACUACGGAGGGGCAUUUCCGUCAUCUUCUUUAUCAACUUAUUCCGGGUGGAUCCGUUAACAGACUCCGGCACAAGUGGAGUCGCAGACACGUCCGGAUCUUUGUCACUUACGAAGAACCAACACCCUUAAUCUCACGACACGUGUUCCUGACCGUCUUCGAAGUUACUAAUUUUGACACGUAGGACAACCACGUGUGCACUAUAUCCUUCCUCUUUAUAAAAACCGAACACAAAGCCUUAUCCUUUGUCUUCUUCUUCGUUCAGUUUCAGAUCAGAGAGAUUUUGUUCUGUUUUCUUUUUUUUUCGUUUUCGAAAAUUCAGUUUUUCUUCGAAACUAAUGAUCACAAAAAGCAUAAAGAUCUAACGUUCUCGCGUCGUCGCGUAUCUCGGUGACUUUAUUACCGUAUCUAAAGACUUGAGAAUAAAGCAAUCUUUCUCCUCUUUUUUUCUUAUAUAUUUAUAUUUUGGCUCAAGUUCGAAACCAUCGUAAUGCCGUUUCACACGAAGAUCCAACCGAUCGACUUGUCGGAAGAUCUACCGACGAUGAAGCAAAUGCCGAAGUCGCGUUUGAAGCGCCUCUUCGAGCGUCAGUUCAGUAUCAAGAACGCCACCGUCGACGAGUUCGACGCGCCGCCGCCUUCUAGAGGCAACUCCGGAGAUUUCGAGCCUAGUUCCGUCUGUUUAGGGAAGAUGGUUGUGAACUUCAUGGAGGAUAACAAGGAGGAGGAGGAGAAACAGAGGUGCGGUCGUAGCCGGUGUAGCUGCUUUACCGGGAGUGGAACAGAGAGCUCCGGCGAUGAAUCUGAAUGGUCGGAUAAUGUCAAGUGUUCGUCUGGUGAAGCUUGCGUGAUGCUCAAGGUAUGUUCUCUAGGUUUUUGCUUUAUAAAGGGUAAAGCAGAAACCUGAUGGAUCCAGAUUCGUUUUUGUAGAGUUUGGUUCUGUGUACGAGCAUCAGCGAGAGGAAUGUAAUGGCUGAUGUGACCAAGAUUGUGGAGACAAGUAAGCGUAAAGACCAAUCUUGCUUGAAGAACCUGGUCAGUGUGUUGGUGAGGUUAGGUUACGAUGCGGCUAUAUGCAAAUCUCGUUGGGAGAAGACUCCUUCCUAUCCUACAGGGGAGUAUGAGUAUGUGGAUGUGAUCAUGGAAGGCGAAAGACUGUUGAUCGAUAUUGAUUUCAAGUCCAACUUCGAGAUUGCUCGUGCGACCAAGACCUACAAGUCGAUCCUGCAAACUAUUCCUUGUAUCUUUGUAGGCAAAGCGGAUCGGUUGCAGAGGAUCAUCAUGCUUCUAUCUAAAGCGGCAAAGCAGAGUUUGAAGAAGAAAGGACUUCAUGUGCCACCGUGGAGGAGAGCUGAGUAUGUUAAAUCGAAGUGGCUGUCUACUUACGUUCGUGGAGAGGAGAAGCAGGAAACGGUAGAUAUGUUGAGUGCAUCGGUAGGUGGUUCCAUAGUCUUUGGUGUUUGAAGAUUGUGUGGAAGGUUUUGUUAUAAUGACAUAAAAAGCCUCUAAGAGAGGUGUUGUGAGAGAUAGGAGUGUUCUGAGUCCCUUAAUAGUUUUUUUGAUACUUAAGGGUAUGAACUGAUGAAUCACAGUGUCUCCCCUUGUCUUUUUUUUUGGUGUAAGGGAGACUGUGUUCAGACUCUGUGACUCUGUCUUUGCUUUUGUGAGAUUAAUGGAUUAUAAUAAUUAACCAAUAAUUGUUGCACCUAUUGGUUUUAAUAAGACAUUCAGAAUCCUUUGAGAAGAUAAAAUGCUCCUAUGUAUUUGAUUUGCUGAUUUAGUAUGGGAGGCUCAAGAAGAAAUUUAGCUAAUAUGAACUGAGAGAAUAUGAACAUAGAAAGAAGAGGUUAGGUAACAUCAUGAGGCUAAAUACAUCAUUAAUUACCAUGAUGGGUUGUAAUAUUUUAAUCUGGUGCUAGGAGUUUUUCACCUUUUCUUAAAUAGUUCACCAAUAUUUUUCACCUGCAUAUAGUUUCACUGCUACAUGUACACACGGUCUCAAAGUCUUAGCAGAGAAAAAAACAAUGAAAAUUCUUGUCAAAGCUAAUGGCCUUGAAUGGAAAUUGUUUUUUUUAUAGGUUUCACAAAUGAAAGAUGAUAAAGAUUUGUAGAGGAAAAGCUGAAAUGAGAUAAUAUCAAAGCGAAGACAAUUCAAAUGUAAUGGCGAGGCAUAAAGCUGAUAUAGAAGUAAAAAAGAGAGGAAUCUAGAGAAGCACAUCAUCAGAGUUAGUAAAACUGGACCACCUAGCUAACAAUGUGGUCCAUUUCACCUAGUUCACAAUAAUCUUUUAGCUUUAGAUUAACUGAUUAAGUAAUAAAGACAUAAACUUCCACAAAAUAAUACAGAACAGUCACUAUCCUUUAUUCCGUAAGCUUGACUCAACAUAUCUUAAGUCCUUUCAUUGUGAAAACAAUAGAAUGAGGUUUCAAAACCAAGAACAUCACAAAUAGCACAACCAGAUUUAGCCUCAAAAUCAUCAUCAUCAACAUCAUCAGCCACUGGUCUUUUUUCCCGGUCCUACACUGAUCCAGAUCAGAAUGACUUAUCAGAAAGUCUGAUCCAGCUAUAGUUGGUUGCUUUGUGGGGUUAAACAUUACUUUAGUCACUAUUAUAUGUUUUUGAGACACUCAUAAUAUCAUUUGAGAAGAGAAUGAGCUGGCUUCUAUUGAGUUGUUGUUACUACAUUAUUAUUAAAGAAGUAAACCUAUAAUGUCACGUACUUUGCAUAUGUACAGAAUUAUUAAUAGUUUCGUUGACGAAAUUAUGUACUUCCUUGGCGUGGGGAGCAAGAUCCUCGUUGAUCAGUUUAAUACUCAGAUAAUGUGAUUAUAUAAGAACAGAAUACUUGCAAAGUAAAGAUACUAUCAAAGACUUUUUGUUAAUAGCAUUCACAAACACGACAAACAGAAAAGAGGCUAUGGAUUAUACAGGCAACAAACUGGAGAGACAUAACUUAGAAGCUGAGAAACGACUCAAGAGGGUGGAACAAGAUUAUCUCCACACAAGCCAAAAGUACAUAGAAUCAGAUGUAAGUUUUCAAGACAUGUAAGCCCUGAAACAUACCACCCAAAACAUUAAAAAUGCUUUAUCUUUUUGUGUGGCCAGUCACAGUUGCAGAGCCUAUACAAUGAGAGAAGGCGUGCCGACAGUCUCUGUUCCUCGGCUGAAGCUUUCACUGACUGGUGCAACAAUCUGGUAAAGAAACUACAUGAGGCUCUUGACAAGAUACCUACAACAGAAGAAACCAUUGAUCAUGUAAUGAUACUCUAAAUAACAAAUGUCAUUAUAACACAAAUCAAUCAUAACUAACACACACUUUUUCCUUAAACUUGCUUUGGACAUUUAGAGCCUACAAUUCUCGAUGUCCAACAGCGUUGAAAGAUUGGAAGAUGAACAAUGUCAGAAGCUGGACAGUGAAGCAAUACGUGAUUUCAGAGAAGUUAGCCGUGAGGUAUUACUAGUACUAUUGUGUGCUUACAAGUAUCAUAAGUGCCCUUUUAAUAUUUUGUCUUUCCAUAUCAUUAGCUCUACUACAUUCAAAGAAAAAUGCCAAGGAGUGAGAGCAGAAGAUCUAUACAGGGUCUCCUAAAUGAGGUUAAAGAGAAAAACAAGUGUAAAGACAAAGCUGUUUUAACUUGUACACUGGUUUAUAACCCUAGAAGUUGUGACAAUUUGAGAAAAUCUGUGGAGCUGGAAAUAAAAGUAAGAAUAUCCCUUUUUUCAUUUGAGACACCCAAUGUAAAACCAAUUAACGAUAAGUAGAUUGACCUAAAUCUUUUAUAUAUUACUUAGUUUUAUUGAAACUCCCGACGUGUGAGUUUAUAUUCUUACACUAUUUUUAGAGAUUCAGCCUUAUUAAUCUCUACAUAAUUUUAAUAGACUAGCCAAUGAGAAAAUGUCUGCCAACUAUCUAGGUUCUAAAGAAGCUGAUCAGAGAGAUUCAAAAAGACUGGGAAGACAAACUGCAGAUUAGGCAAUGCGCAAGGGAUCUAUAUAGCGAUUCCAAACGAAAAGUGAAGCAUCUGUGGAAGAAAAAGGACCACCUAUCUGGACAAUGGGACGAAGAAAAGAAACACAUGCUCGGGAAUAAGGAAAAGCAUGAGAGGAGGAUAGGUGCAUAUCCUGAGGCUGAAUAUAUCAAGAUGGUGAAUGAUAUAACUUAACCAUGAUCGGAUGUAAUAUAUAAUUUCAUCUUCAUAGUUUCACUGCUGUGAUUGUAGCUAACGUUCUUUAAAAAUACAUAAAAGACUUGGCAAUCAGCAGCUAUAUAGUCAACGUCAAGUGAUUCUAAAACGAUUGUUUUUAGAAUUUAGUUACAAAAGGUGGACCAAGCCAAUAUAUAGAAUAAACUAAACACAUGACUGAUUCAGUGACAGAGAUAUAAUCUAAGAAAACAAAGGAUAAAGACCAAAGUAAACUUCCAAGAAACAACACAACAAUCACUAUCCCUUGUUCUCUAAGCUUUGACCAACCAACAAAAUCUUAAGUAAUUUUCAUAAUAUAAAACAAUAAAACUCAGGAACUCAAGAACAUCAUAAAAUAGCAAAGAACCAACCCAUCUUUGGCCUCAAUGGCAUCCUCGUCAUCAUCUUCUCCACUAAAAUUCAUAGAGAAAGCUCUUCUUGCAACUGGUCCAUUUGCUCUGUCCUACACCGAUCCAGACCAGAAAUGGGUCAUAAGAAAGCAUCUAACUUCGUUCCUCCAAGACUUCUCAAACUUCGACCUCUCUACUGAUACUUUCAACCACAACAACGGAACCACAGUUCAACUCUUUCGUCUUGAUGGCUCUCUACGUACUCCUCAACAAAGCACAGCUGUACAGUUGACUAUUUGGGUUCACGAGAACUACCCGUUGACUCCUCCUCUUGUCUUUGUGAUCCCUCCUGAUUCAAUGACUCCUGUUAGGACCAACCACCCAUUCGUCAGCUCCUCUGGUUUCACAAACUCUAACUACAUCGAGACUUGGGAAUACCCACCGUGCAAUCUCCUCAACUUCGUUCGAAACCUCAGGAGAGUUCUUGCUAAUGACCACCCGUUUGUUCAGACAGACUCCAUCCCGACCAAGACUCGGUCGGUUUCAAGACCCGAAGCUCUAGACAGGUUAGUCACGAGUCUCCACUACGACGUGUUGGCAAUCAUGUCAAGAUCAGAGGAAGAGAUUGAAAGCCUCUGGAGACUCCAGACAGAAGUGAAGCAAAGAUCAGAGUCGGUUAGAACGAUCAUCAGCGACCUUGAGACAGAGAGGGAGACACUUAAAGAGAAUGUUUUGAAGCUCGAAGAGGACACAGAUGUGUUGGCUAUAUGGGUGGAGAGGAACUAUCCCAAGCUGAUGAAAGCGACGUCCAAGGACGUGGGAGUCGAAGAGAUGUUUGAAAUGGAAGAAGAGAAGAAACUGUUGGUGGAGAGCUUGGCGGCAGAUAAGGCUAUUGAAGAUGUGCUGUGUAAUUUGGAAGAAGCUAGUAGAAGGGGAGAGAUGGAGAUUGGUUCGUAUCUGAAGCAUGUUAGAGUCUUGGCUAGAGAACAGUUCUUCUCGAGGCAUCAUCACCUAUAUAUGUAAAUAUAUACUAAAAUGAGUUUUUUUUUGGAUUUCAUCUUUUAAUCUUCCCUUACAUUCAUAUAUAUUUACCCAGUGUUAUAAAAGAUCGGUUUAUCCUCCGUCUAUUCGGUAAAUCAAACCUAAACGAAAUGAUUUUUAAAAAUCAGUCUAGGUACUAAAAAAAUGGUUUAGGUGCCCGCCUAAUCAACUAGACUCUUAUAAAACAUCUAAUGUAUGCCUAACGAUUUCUUGAAUAUUAUUGAUUUUACAUGAACUUCGAGACGCUUAAAUAGUACAUAACAUAUGGUCCCAAGUGCAUUCUUGGCACGUAUGUUAAAAAACAAAUAUACUACUGUGUUCACUGUUCACUAAUGCUAUCAGAACAUGGAUAGGUCUUCAUAUUCAUAUAACUAAUUAAUUUUCCGUUACAUUUCAUAGUAUUGUUUUGUAUUUCCAAGAAUAAUAUAGUAUAAGUCUUCUAUGCAUUUUUAGUUAUAAAUCAUAAAUUUUCAAAACAUAUUUUUAAUAUUGAUUUAAAAUUUAAAGAAGUAAAAAAUUAUGUAUUUGUAAUGGGAAAGUGCAAAUAUAUUUUUAUAUAAUUUUUAUAUUCAUAUUCCCCGUUACAAUAAUAAAGUCCAAAAAGGAAAAAGAAUAAUCAUAUCUUGAUGAUGUUAACAUUAUUUCAUACUUAUCCAAAUCUGGAAUUACUGUAAAACCGGUGAUGACUUUUUAGUUGCCUCACAAAAACUAUUCUUGAAAAAUUUAUUAUCAUAGAUUCAUAGUUGACAUCAACUCGCUAUAAACAUUGUGCUAGUUUUUAAUUCGUGUUGAUCACACCAACGGUUACAGUAAUAACAAAACUAAUGGACUUUUUAACAUUAGCGUAUAAAGUAGUAUUUAUUAAUCUACGUAAGCAUGUCUACGAAACUACGAUUUAACCCUCCGAAUCGAAGUCAGCACAACUUAGACAUAAAAGGGUAAAACCGUAAACUAGAUAGGCAUAUAAAGUAUUAAUCUAGUGUUCCACAACCUAAACUAAGAUCUGGUGCAACCCUGUUUCCCUCCUGUCUCUGCUGCGAGUGCACGGGUUCUUAACGUACACCCAUCUCCCCCCUCCUCCGAGAUCCCUUCCCCCACGAGUUUGAAUUGAAACAGCCAGCAAUUGGGUUUAUUUAAAUAACGGGUCGUGUUCUGUAAUCGGGUCAAAGAUCAUGGAUCGGGCGUUUGUUUUCUUACUGUCUCUCUGCCUCUUGUUGCAAACGUCUCUCUCGAUUGAGAAUUUUCACCAAGCGUAAGUGUGUCAUCUCCUCUCUUAGAUUUGUUAUAUGUGAUAAUGUGUUAAAGCUCCUAGCUUUGUUCGGUUUCUGGAUUAUCCGACCGCAUAAUCUUGGAAAAGACAAGUGCAUUGUUCUUUGGUCGGAAUGAAUGUAGAGCCUUUGGAUCUUUCGUAUAGUUUUUUUUUUUUUUUCAUUGCAAUCUGAUGGAAAUAAAUGUUUUUUGUUUUGUUUGUGUCCUCUUGAUAAUGUAUUUAAUUUUCUUGCUACUAGUAGUGUAGACUAGUAGCAGUUCAUUGUCAGCAAAAUAUGUUUUUUUUUUUUUAUAUAGCUUUUGAUUGAUUAUAAGUGAUUGAUACCAACUGGUUCAUUGUUGCCUAAUGCAGUUUUCCUAUAGUGGAGCCUGAUCCGAAUCAUACAAAGCUUCGGCUUAGUAGAGAAGGUUUGGAAGCAAUUAGCAGAAUCACUACUCCUAUUGCUGCUGUUGCGGUACGUCAGAGAGUCUGAUGUUUGUUUGACUGCUUGUCUAUAUUACUUUUUUUUUUUCUGAAUCUAAUCUGUUUUUUUUUUGUUUUUUUUUCAAAACAUUAGGUGAUUGGCCCAUACCGUUCUGGAAAAUCUUUUCUACUCAAUCAGCUUCUUUCCCUUUCUUGUUAUGAAGGUGCUUAUUAACACUUGUGUGACAUUGUGAAUAAUCACUUUUUUUUUUUUUUUUUGCAAAUUUAACUUGCAUUACUUUCAUUUAUUAAACAGGUUUUGGUGUUGGACACAUGCGUGAUACAAAAACAAAAGGUACAUGCUUUGUUUGCUAUUGAAAGGUUUUAACUUCUUUUUUUUUUUGUUGGGAUCCAACUUAAUUGUUUUGUGAACAGGUAUCUGGGUGUGGGGAACACCACUAGAGCUAGAGAUUGAUUCUGAAUCUAAUCUGUUUUUUUUUUGUUUUUUUUUCAAAACAUUAGGUGAUUGGCCCAUACCGUUCUGGAAAAUCUUUUCUACUCAAUCAGCUUCUUUCCCUUUCUUGUUAUGAAGGUGCUUAUUAACACUUGUGUGACAUUGUGAAUAAUCACUUUUUUUUUUUUUUUUUGCAAAUUUAACUUGCAUUACUUUCAUUUAUUAAACAGGUUUUGGUGUUGGACACAUGCGUGAUACAAAAACAAAAGGUACAUGCUUUGUUUGCUAUUGAAAGGUUUUAACUUCUUUUUUUUUUUGUUGGGAUCCAACUUAAUUGUUUUGUGAACAGGUAUCUGGGUGUGGGGAACACCACUAGAGCUAGAGAUUGACGGAGUUAAAACUUCAAUUAUUUACCUUGACACUGAAGGAUUUGAAAGUGUUGGAAAGUCAAAUGUUUAUGACGAUCGGUACCCUUUCAUUUCUUUUUUUUUUCUCGAAAAUUUAGACAUUUGUUUGAUGAAGCUCUGAAUAUUUAAUCAAUUUUUAUUUUCAGAAUAUUUGCUCUGGCAACAGUUAUGAGUUCUGUGCUUAUCUAUAAUCUGCCUGAAACCGUAAGUUGCCCUGCCUCUGUCUUUGUUCAGAUUGCUUAUGAUUCUAGAAACAUUAUACGUAAUGAUCUAUAGACUAGGUAGCAAUCAUCAUUUAAUUUCUGAAAGUGUACAAGUAAGGAUUGUGUAACGUAGAGUAGUAACUAGUGUUUUAAAGAAGUUCAUAUACAUUUGUCUUUUUCUGAUAUGAGUUCUCAUCAGAUCCGCGAAGCUGAUAUUUCUAGGCUCUCCUUUGCUGUUGAGUUAGCAGAAGAAUUUUACGGAAGGUUUGGUUAAUAGUACUCUGCACUUCCUCUUUUCUUAAUAAUAAUAAUAAUGUCUUUAUGGAUACUGACUGACUAAGCUUCUAUUUCCAUUGGCUCAUGCUACUCGAUUGAUUAGAGUAAAGGGACAAGACGUUGCUUUUGAACCGUCAAAGCUUCUGUGGCUUAUCCAGCGUGAUUUUCUGCGUAAGUGCAUAAUAGUGUGAUUAAACUCUUAUGUAUUUUGUUUCCAUUUCAAUGUGAGCUUGUCAUGAUUAACGCUACUCCAACUUCAUUGCAGAAGGUAAGUCGGUGAAGGAAAUGGUGGAUGAAGCUCUCAAACACGUCCCUAAUGAAGAUGGUCAGAGUUCCUUUUCCAUUCUUUUUAACUGAAACCAUUUCUCAGGCAGCAGCGUAACUGAUUGUUUUUUGUUUGUUAUGUUUUUUUCAGGUAACAAAAACAUUGAUCAGGUGUGUUCUUAUUUCUUCUGCGUUGUGCCAGUAGUAGUAAUCAUCAUCAUUAGUGUCUCAGAAGUUAUCCACCCUUGGUUCAGGUUAACCGGAUCCGGGAUUCCUUGGCGGUUAUGGGUGACAACAGCACUGCCUUCAGCUUACCACAGGUUAACAAAAUCGUUUACAUGUUUGAAAGUAUUGUUGUUAUCUCUAAAAGUAAUAUAACUUUUUCUCCUUGUAUUUGUUAUUUAGCCUCACCUCAUGCGGACGAAGCUGUGUGAUCUGAAGGAUGAGGAACUGGACCCUACCUAUGUGGCAAGGCGUGACCAAUUGAAAAAGCUCGUUGCUAGUAUCCUCCGCCCAAAGAUAGUGCAGGGGAAAGCACUAAAUGGAAAGGAGUUUAUUUCUUUCCUGGAACAGGUAGGUGUGUGUGUGUGUCUUUGAGAAUAUCUAUUCCAGUUUUAAUUUUCUCUCUAAUUUGCAGAUACUGGAUGCGCUAAAUAAAGGAGAGAUUCCAUCAACAGGGUCACUAGUUGAGAUAUUCAAUAAAGAUAUCGUUGAGAGAUGUGUGAAGCUGUACAAUGAGAGGAUGGUGAAACUGCGGCUACCUAUGUCUGAAGAGUAUCUCCAAAGUGCACAUGAAACAGCGCAUAACGAAGCUAUCAAAGCGUUUGACGGUCAGCAUUUCGGAAGACAGCAUGCGAAGAAAUCUGUGGAUCAGUUGGAUGAACAGAUGCAAGAGGUAUGAUGAAUCAAAAUCCUUAGUGGAUGGAUGAGAAUGAGACGAAAAGGAUGAUUCCUGAACAAUCAAUCUUUGCACCCCACCUGCAGGUAUAUAAGAAUUUUGUUCUUGCAAAUGAAUACCAAUCGUCAAAGCUCUGCGAGGCGCUGUACACAAAGUGUGAAGACGACAUGGACCACUUGCAAGCUCUCCGGCUCCCUUCCAUGGCGAAAUUCAACGCAGGUUUCGUGUACUGCAACCAGAGUUUUGAACACCAAUGUGUCGGUCCUUCGAAACAAAACUAUGAGCAGAGGUUAACCAAGGUAGUAAUAAUUAUACAAACCGUAAUCAGAUUUGGAAAGAACAAGUAUAGUGAGGAUUUUACAUUUGAACGGUGUGUCUUGCAGAUGAUGGGGAAGGCACGGUCAUUGUUCAUCAAAGAAUACAACAACAGGCUGUUCAACUGGCUGGUUGCGUUCUCUCUGGUAACGGUAGUGGUGGGACGGUUCAUUAUAAAGUUCAUUUUGUUGGAAAUGGCGGCAUGGAUACUCUUCAUAUUCUUGGAGACGUACACAAGGAUGUUCUGGACAGCGGAAUCUCUUUUCUACAACCCGGUCUGGCAUUUCAUCGUUGGGACUUGGGAGACUGUUGUGUAUAGUCCCGUUCUCGACUUGGACAGGUAACAAACAAGUCCUCACAAAACUUCUCUCAACCUCUCUGCUUGUCUAAUUCUGUGUUGUUUUUUUGGUGAAUAGAUGGGCGAUUCCUAUAGUCUGCAUAAUUGCAUUGUGUGUGCUAUACUGGCGGUGUUAUGGAAAGAGGAAACACGGGUCUAGUUGGCUUCUUCCGAUGUACAACAAGAAUGGUCGGAGCAGGGAACGGUCAGAGUAAAACACAUUGCGCCUCCUUCCUUUCCCCCUUAUAACUUAUAUAGCAUCUUCUCGGGCAUGCUCGUUGCUUUUGUCAUCGGAAGCUCUCUGCCCGUUACAACCAAUUUUUUUGGACGCAGAAGAAGAAUUUCAGUUAACAAGUGAAGAAAGAAUAGAGAUGAUGAUUUGAUUGAUCCAUUUUGGUUUUGCUUUGAUGCCUAUAUUCGCUGCAAUCUGUACCAUUUACAUAGAAUUACAUUUAUCAUGUUUUAACUUUUUGUUAUAUUAAAUUAAAUACUUAUUAUAAUACAAUAUUUUUCAAUUCACUCUAAUGAAGAAAAAGGCAAAAGACAGCCGACAUAUCAAUAUUUGUUAAGAGUAUUUGCACUCUACACACAAAUAUGAUAGUGUAUUUAGCUAUAUACACAUUUCAAUCCUUUCCCCAAAUAUUUCUAAUUUACAAUUACUUUGUUGUCCGUAUUGCCUAUGUACAUACGCAAAAAAAUAUUUGGGUGAGAGUGAAAAUACUUUUUUAUUUAAAGAAAAUAAAAUUCAAAGAAAUAUUAUUGAAAUAAAAAAAAUGAAAAAGGUUAAAACAUGAAGUGCCACUAGAGAUGGUUUUACAAAAGUGAAAGGAGAGAAAAAAUAUGAAAGAAAAUCAGAUUAAUGACGAAAUAAUAUAAAAAAGAAUCAUUUUUAGAGAAUACCAAGGACUAUUUUAUCAUAAAGAUUUAGUUUUGUGAAACUUUUGAAAAUAUAUAAAUAAAUUUUUAACUAUAUGAAUAUUUCAUCAUCAACAUGGUAUAAAAUAAAAAUUUGAAACAAAUAGGUACUAAAUAGGACAUGAAUUUUAUUCACUUUCAACCAUUACGUUAUACAGAGAUUUAUUUAUAAUUUUGAACAACGGUAACCUUUCGGGUAACGAAAACCCAAAUUAUUCAUGUAAACGAGAAAUUACAUAUAUAGUUUUAUUUUACUGAUACUAAAUAGACAUAAUAACAGCGUGGUCGGUAAACAAGACAAGUCUAGCCGGUCGUAGGGACCUGGACGACGAUACGGUUUCUAUCAACCCUAACCCUGACCCGGUCGCACCUGAAGUCUCCAGUCACUGGAGUUCCAUCCAAGAUCACCAUUGCAUCGACUCUCGAGUUCUCUCUUUCUAUCACGGAAGCCGCAUGGUCUCCAUUUGUUCCCAAAAGCUCUGGCCAUGAGUUCUUCCCUGUACGCACUCAAAGCAACCACAUUAGAUAUAUAGAUCGUCUAGUAAUUUAUUUGCAUUUUAGAGAUCAAUAAGUCCAUCUAAAGAUUGAUUUCCGUGGAACUAAUUAAAACAAUAUGGUCCCUAGACCAUGCCUGAUGCCUCCCAGGUCAUAUUCGGUAAAAGUAACAUUUUGAAGUUAUAAAUGAAACACCAACAUGCAUGGCGAGGCAAAAAAAUCAGCAUGGCUUGGCCAUACAAUAUCUAUAUAUUAACGGAUUUUAUAGAAGAGACUUCAAAUUCAUAUUAUCCUCAAGGUUUGUAUCAGCUCCUACGACAUUUAUGAUAAAUUUAAUUAUUUUCUAGACGAUUGAAAACAAAGAAAUUUUGUUUAAACUUCUACUAAUUAAGAAGCGAAUAGACAUGACGUCCAUUUGAAUUUGGCCAACUAGAUUAAUCGUUGGUAAAUAUUGCAUGGAAUUGGUUUCUACUAUUUAGCAAGAAGAACAAGUAACGUUUUAGUUUCAAUGCACAUGGUUUUGUCUAUUGAGUUAAGUCGACCAUUCCUUGUUACACGUGCAUGGUGAGAAAGGUUAAAAGGGUAGGGUUAGUCUGCUCAACCUAUAGACAAUUAGGUUAGAAUCAAAAGAGGAGAUAAAUCCGGAAAUGAUUUUCGACUUGAUUUGAAUGGGCCGGGAAUAAGCAAUAUAAAAGAGAAUUGAUUUAAAGCCGUAACACUAUCAAAUUAUAUACAAUAAGCAAAAUUACCAGCACAUUCGGACGACAUGUUGCUACCCCUUUUCUUAUCUUUGCAGUGCUGUGAUGUAUUUGUUAUGCUCGUCUUUAGGAAUCUGAGUCCAAUUUAUAGAAUCAGAGACGUCAAUGUCAGUGUCGGUGUAGUAGGUGAGUGCUUGUGUAUUCAAAGUCGAAAACCUUGACUAACGGGUUUGAAAUACAGUCCUUUGACAUUUAUAAACCUAUAAGCUUUGAAAGUUAUACCGUUUUCUUAAAAAUUGUCGAUAUAUUAUAUCAGUACUGGUAGAACCAUAUAUUAUAUUGGAUGGACAGUCACCGGUCCCUGAUGCUAGCUUAUCUUGAUUAAUGUUCUUACAAGUAAUUUUAUUUUGAAAAUUUCUCUAAGCAUAUCCAUCGACAACAAGUUAAAAUUUCAAAAGCAUAGAUAAUGUUGAAAGAAAAAGAAUUAGGUGAAGAGAAUAUUCCCAAUGCUUAAUGGAUUCUGUUUACAUAGCUAAAGUUUAUAAUUUUGUAAAUUUUCUCAGAAGAAACGCUUAUACAUUUUGAACAUUUCUUUUAAUAACUCAUUCAUAUAAAUAUAUUCUCUAAAAUCAUCUUCCACAAUAUUUUUUCGUUCUUUCAUCUCGAUAAGCGCAGCAGGACUUGAGGAUGAUUUAACGUUUUAAUUAACCCUCUGCUCACUAGAAGAAUAUUACAUUAUUGAUUUUCAUAGGAUAUCAGAUCACUUGUUUUAUAGAUAUAACUUUGGGACGUAAGUAAUAUUUGGUGAACGAACACCGAAAUUACUUGGUUUACAGAUAUAACUGAGACAUAAGUCAUAAGUAAUACUGAGUGAAACAAACACCCAAACUAUUUAAGCAGGUGAUGCAAACUACAUUAUUAUUGUACCAACCAGCUACACAUUGUCUACAUACUUAAGUCUAUAUUACACAUAAUGUUCGUAUACAAUUCUAGCCAGCGGUAGGGACUUGGACGACGAUACGAUUUCCAUCAACACAAACCCUUACGCGGUCGCACCUGAGGUCUCCAGUCACUGGACUUCCAUCCAAAAUCACGACUACAUUGACACCUGAAUUCUCUCUUUUGAUCACUGAAUCCCGCAUAUAACAUCAAUGGUAGCCGUUAGCUGUUUUAAGGAACUACACAUCAAUAUUUAUCAUAUAUGAUGGUAAAUGAAGCAACUAGAUGAUAUUAGAUAUAACAUCAAUUGUUGAUCCCAAGUACCCAAACUUUCUUAAGUACUGUAAAUAGGAAUGAAUGAAUUUUAUUUACUUGCAACUAUUACGUUAUACAAACAUUUAUUUAAUUAUAAGUUUAGACAUUAGUAACCGUUCGGGUAACGAGAACCGAAAUUAUUCACGGAAACGAGAAAUUACAUCGUGACCAACUAACCAUAAAACAUUGCAUAUUGUAUUUAGUUUUCUUUUAUUGUAUUCAUAUCAUAUAGACAUUAACGGCGCGGUCCAGUAACACAAGUCUAGCCGGCUAUAGGGACAUGGACGACGAUACGGUUUCGAUUAACCCAAACCCUGACCCGGUCGCACCUCACGUCUGCAGUCACCGGAGAUCCUUGCAAAAUCACGACUGCGUCGACUCUUGAGUUCUCUCUUUCUAUCACCGAAGCCGCAUAGUCUCCAUUUGUUCCCACAAGCUCCGGCCAUGAAUUCUUCCCUGCAACUGCAAGCACUCAAAGCAACCACAUUAGAUAUAUCGGUUAGUAACUUACAUUUGAUAUUUUAGAGAUCAAUAAGUCAAUCUCUCGAUUUUUAUUGAACUAAUCAAAAUAAUAUGCCCCUAGACCACGCCUCCCAGGUUAUAUUAGGUAAAAGUAACCUAUUGAAAUUAUAAAUGAAACAUCAACAUGGAGAGGGGAAAAAUCACCAAUAUGGCUUGGCCAUACAAUAUAUCUCUAUAUAAACCGAUUUCAUAGAAGAGACUUCAAAUUCUUAUUGUCCUCAAGACUUAUAUCAUAAACUUAAUUAUUUUCUAGAAGAAUGAAAACAAAUAAAUCGUUAUUUUUUUCUUUUGAACAAAAAAUCGUUAUUUAAACUUCGAAUAAGAAACAGUCAGACGUCUUAUCGAUUUUUUCCAACUUAAGAGCAUAAUUAGAUUAAUCGUUGGUAUUGUCAUAUUACAUGGACUUGGUUUCUACUAUUUAACAAAGAAGCAAAAAUAACGUUUUAGUCUCAAAGCACACCGUGGUGUCUGUUGAGUUAGGUGUACCAUUCUUUGUUACACGCGCAUGGUGCAAAAGGAGCGGUUAGUCUGCUUAAGUAAAGCCGUAACAAUUUAAAAUUUUACCAGGACAUUCGGACGACAUUUUGCUUCCCCUUUCUACCUUUGCAGUGUUGUGAUAUAUUUGAUAUGCUCGUCUUUAGGAAUCCGAGUCCAAUUUAUAGAGUCGGUGUAGUCGGUGAACGCUUGCAGAUUCAAAGUCGAAAACCUUGACUAACGGGUUUGAAAUACACCCACCCCUUCGACAUUUAUAAACCUAUGGAUAAGCUUUGACAAUUUAUACCGUUUUUCUUGAAAUUUUUAUAGUCGAUAUUCAAGCUUUGACAACGAUAAAAAUAGACCAUCAUCAGUACCAGUAGAACCAUAUAUUAUAAUGGAUGGAGAGUAACGGUUCCUGAUGCUUAUCUGGAUUAAUGUUUUUAUAAGUAAUUUUACUUUUGAAUAAUUUCCUCAUAUUGACAAUUAGAUCAGAAUUCAAAAGCGUAGAGAAUACCAAUGUAAGGACAAUUAUUAGACACCAUUUUUCUUCCCUUUUUGUUUCUGUAUAUACCAGUGACAAUGUUUGCUAGCUAUGCUUGUUUUCCAUAAUCUGAGUCUAAUUUAUAGAACAUGAUGAUAUACCAUAGCUGUUGUUUUAAUCAAUUUUUUGUUAUUUAAUUUGUUUCGCUACUACUACGUAGAAUAUCCGAGAUUUUAAAAAUAUUUGUGAUCCUAACUGCUGUUUUGAUCAAAAUAGACCAUGACAAACGAUGUCGUGAUAAAAAAACCAUACUCUUUUAUGUAGUUAGGAUCACAAAUAUUUUGGCUUUAGCUCCUUUUUUGCCGUCUGAAGUUUUUUUUUUUAAAUGCACAAACUCUGUGCUUUCGACUCUUUUGCUGGUCUUGUGUUUGAUAAGUGGAUGUUAUAUGUUUUUUUUUUUUGUGAUAAUCAGGGCGAGUGAUAAGUGCCAGAAAGAGAAGAGGAAAACUGUGAAUGGUGAGUAUUUGUUGUGGGUAGUGACAAAACAUUAGGAUUUGAGGAUUACCUACCUGGAACCCUUGAAGCUGCAUUCACUUCUUCACCUCUCCUUUUUCAAAGCUUUUAUAACUCAAAUACAUUACUAGUUGUUGUUGGUACUCGACAUGACAGAGAACUGAUUGGGUCUUUUCAGUUGUGUUAGUUUGAACUUCGGUUAUUUAUUUCCAGUUUAGUUGGUUGUUAUCGGAAGGUUCAUGUUAGAUAUGAUAACACACUAUUUGAAAGAAGGAAGAAAGUUUUGUCAUCAAAGCUUCUUUAUGAAUUUCAAAAACUCGAAUGGUAAGACUUUUUUCUCAUCACUUUGAUCUCCACUGUUACAAUUGUCCAUAUGCAUCAUUAUGUAUUAGAAACAAUGGUGCAUAAAUUACAUUUAAGGCAGUUGAUUUUUUUUAAAUAUACUGAAGAAUAUUAUCCAAAAUCAACUGAGUAAUUAAAAGCUUAAAUAACGGCAAAACAUUUUUUUCUCUCCUUAAAUUCUCUUAGGGAAGUCCUCUUUGCACGCCUCAACCGCAACCAAAAGUGUAUCAUCCUUCAUCUUCAAUCUCCAAAUCUUGGACUCCUCCUCGUCAAGCUAAACCUGAGAAGAAACUUGUUGCGACUGAACUCUGUGGGAACAUGAUUUCAUUCUUCAUAUUCUCUUCAGGAGGGGAAAGAUCAAUGGCCUCAAAAAGUUUUACAUCUUCUUGUUUGAUUUUGAAGGGAGAAGCAAGGUAAACACGCAAAAAAAAUAAUGGGUUUUGACGAGAUCUGGAUCAAAAUCUAUCACGAAGUCAUUGUAUUCAGGAUAUACAGGUAAGAAUACGACAUCAUCAGCAUCAUCUGGUUUGAGGUUACCUUCGACUCGGUAUGCUUCGAAAGAAAAUAUGUUUAUACAAAAGUUAGCCAGUAUCACAAGCAGAACACUCAAGAGGUUGGUCUCACAAGCCACAAUAUCAAGCAUCUGGACUGAGAGGAAUAAACGGCUCCAUGAUUCAGUAUCUCGGUCCCCAGCAGCUAUCUUCAAGAUGAUAGAUCGCUUCAUCAGGGACGCCCUUCUUGGGAAGAGGAAGCUCAAACACUUUCAGCCUCUGAUGCAGAUUUGGUUACGAUAUGAAUAGCACACUUGAUUUAAAUUCAUUGUCAGCUUAGCCUUGUUUAUUUUUUACCUUGGCUAACUUGACCUAGUCUUACCUUUUUGUAGUUUACAAACUCUUCUCAUAUUUAAUAUGAAAUUCACAUUUUGGCAAAAAAAAAAAAAAAGUUAGCCAGUAUAUCCUGUGGUGAUGAAGGAGAAGCUAACUUAAUGUUACAGCAGGAGAAAGACGGAGAUAAAGAGAAAUACAAACCUCAAAUGCUGCAAAGAGAAGUAGAAGAUACAAGUCGAGACUUGAGAACACGAGAAAGUGAAACGUGUAAUAAUAUGUUUUUGUAUUGAGUGAGUUGCAAGGAACCGGGGGCAUUAGAUUACUGAGUCAGUGUUUCUUGUAGGGGAUAAGUCAAAAGUUGCAGGCGGUGAUUUGUUACGAAUAUUUUAUCUAAGGAAAAUGACAAUUUUUUUGUUAUUGAAGUUUAAAAUUACGAUAUAUAAGUUGCUGUAAAAAGUAAUAACAUCUUUAAAUUAUUGAUAAGGAUUUCAAGUUGGCCUGGAAUUAAAUCUUUUCACAUUCUCUUGUUACUUCAGUUGUUAGCAAAUCUUUGCUAUGUACACUGCCACUACUUGUACAUUUUGUACAUUAUAGGGAAUUAGAGCAUACAAUUGGCUAUUAUAUGAUUAAAUCAAAUCGAGAAAUGUUAAGAAUAAGAUUUGCUAGACCAAUCCGAAGCUCAUAGCAGUAGAUACUUUGCAGAUCUUAUAAGAAAAAGUAGGGCUGUUCAAUAUGGUAAAACCGAACCGUACCGAACCGAACCGAAAUAGACAAUAUGGUUUGGUUUUGGUACAUACCAUAUAAACCGAAUGGAUAUAAUUUUAUAAAAACCGUAGGAUUUGGAUAUGGUUUGGUAUAUAACCGAUUAAACCGAAUAAACCGAACAAAACCGAUUAAAAGUAGAAACAUGUAAAUAUGUAUCUAUUUUAUAACAAUACAUGAAAAUUUAUUUGUUACAUAAGUUAAAUUUGUGUUAAUAACUAUUACCAUAAUUUUAUAGUAAUAAAAAACCUUAAUUUGUAGAACACUUGAACUAUAACUAAAUAUUAAAUAACAAUACAUUGCAAUUAAGACAUCUUAUUUUCUAAUUCUUUUUUUUUAUAUCUUUUUGCUUUAUUUUAGUCUUCACUAAAUUAAUAUGAAGAUUAUAAAUUUGAUGGACAAUAAUUAAUGGAAAAUUUUCAAUUGAAAAAGCAUGACAUGAACACUAAAUAUGGAAGAGUGGAAAAACUUUUCUUUUUUGUUUUUGUUUUGUUUCAUAAUUUUAUUUUUCAAAAUUUCAAGCUUUGAUUUUAGUUCUAGAUUUGAUUAUUUUAUUUGAUGGUAGAAGCAUUUUUAUUUUUUUGUUCAUUUAUUUGAACAUAUAAUAUAUUUUUAAUAAAUGACGGUGUUCACAAUAUGACUCUAAAAUUCAUAUAAUAUGAUCUCAAACAAAAUAAUUAUGUUUUUUGGUAUAAAACCGAAUAAACCGAGAACCUACGGUAUAUAAACCGAACCGAACCGAAGUAAAUAUGGAUUUAGAAUGGUAGUUAUAUUUUACUAACCGAAAUACCGAAAACCGAAAAUAACCGAACCGAAACCGAACCGAUAUCCGGAUUGAACACCCCUAAGAAAAAGCCAUAACAAAAAAAAAAGAGAGAGAAGGAAAACAAUAGAAUUUAUUAUUUAGGGAGAAGGCAAGAGGUUUUAUUACAAGGUGAUGAGAAACAGCAAAGGCUAACUCAUAUGAAAACUGUACACGAAGAUAAUUCAUUUGGUGAUCAUACCACAAGAACGUAGAUAGCAUAAAUGAUCCCAGGGAUGUAACCCAACACAGUCAACAACAAACAUAUCCAGAACUCUACCUGCAUUCAUUAGAUCAUUUAGUAAUUAAUUACGAGAAACAAGAUAGUAAUUAAACUAAUGAGUGCAAUUAGAAUAUUACUGCUUACCCCACAACCAUAUCGAAGGAAAACGCCGACGGGAGGGAGAAGAAUCGCUAGAAUCACUUCCAGGAAAGUCUCUGAGCCCAUUUGUUUUUUUGGAUUCUUGAAGAAGAAAAGGAGCGAGAAGGGUUGAUUAGGAAGAAGUGAAGGUCAGUAAAUAAAGAGAUUAUUUGACACGUGUGGUUCUUGCAGUGUAUCAUGUACCACGUGUGAUGUUUUGGAGAUGCAUCCAUAACAAUGUGGCCUAUAUAUGUGUUGCGACCUUUUCCAGUUGAAACUAAAAGACAGAACACGUCAAAGUAUCUGCUUACUUCGUAGCUGCUUUCACUACUUAGACGGGAUCUUAAAGAUAACAUUUAUUAUUUUCAAUGUCAAAAAUAAGAGGAGAUUCUUUAUUUAUUUGACCUAGAAGAGGUAUUAAUUUUUUUUAAGUAUGAAUGGUAGCUUCUUAUGCUUAACUCCAGUCUGUUAAUUAUUAUCGGUUUACUAUGUAAAUUAGGUGUUGAUUAUACUGUAUGUAAAAUUAUAUUUUAGUCGCUUCAAAGAGAACCGUUAAUUUGGAAUGUUCUUGAGAGUGAGCCAAACAUGAACCGAGCAGAAAAAUGGUUUCCAAAGAACUCCAAGGUGGGACAAACAUUAGACAGUCGUUGACAUGCCAUAACCUUUGUUGGAUCACUCAAUUCCGAGUUGGUUCAUCAUGUUUUCACUUCAAUAACUUUGUCAUAGUAACAAAAAUUUCCAAAUUUUCUUUGUCUGGCAUGAAAACAUGCAACAGCAACAAAAUUUUAAAACAUAUGUAUUAUAAUUUGAUUGUAACAUAGUGAACAUUAUACGUUAAAGAUUUUCUAGAGUAGAUUUACAUAAAUUACAUUGACCUGCUAAGAAUAUAACACAGAAAAUGAAUAUGACAUUUCUAUAGCUUUCUCCUAGUUAACUCGUGGGAGAAUAAGAAAUAUGAAAGAAGGAAGAAUCUGCUCAAGAAAACUAAUGCUAAGCCCAUACAUAUAUCCACAAAUAUUUAUGCUUAAAUCAAAUUAAAAAGCUUAUAAAAAAUGGUGGAAAUUGAGAUGUUUUUUUUUCUUCAACUCACCACUAAACCCAUUUUGCCAAAUCCAGUGUCUUGCAUCAUCUCCACGAACUCACUGUAGUCUAUUCUUCCAUCCUGACCAAAAACCAACACACACAUUCAAUUUUGGAACCAUUUAAACAACAACGGUGGUUCUAAGUGAUUACUGAAAGCAAAACCAAAUCUUUUACUUACAUUAUCUUUAUCAACUUCACUUAAAAUGUCGUCAAGAUGAACAUCCACUCGUCUCUAGUUAUAUAACCACUUCCAUCUUGAUCAAAUAAAGAGAAAGCAGUGAGCAUAUGGUCUUCUUUCUCUAUUUUGUUUAAUUGCACCAUCGCUGCUAUAAGUACUCUCCAUAGUCUAUAGUACCACUAUUAUCUAUAUCCGCCUGAAAAUGUAUUCUCCAUAUUAUUUGAUAGUUUUGUACAUGAUAUUGUCUAAGGCGAGUAGAGAUCUGUGACUUACUGCUUGCAUUAGUCAUAAUAUUUCGGAAUCUUUAAGGUUAGCGCCAACUCUGUCUAAACCUUUCUUAAGUUCUUCUAGAGUGAUAUGUGUCCACUACUGUCUGCAUCUAUCAUCUAAAACAUUUCUUUCAAUCCUGCUAUCUCCUCCUCUGACAAACUUUCUGCUAUCACCUGAUCAAUAUAAACAUCACAAGAAGUCACGUCAAGCAAGGUUGGCUCUGAGAUUUUGAAGCCUUAAAACAAUCUAGUAAGAAUUUAGGCAAAACAAAUUCUGACAAUUUGGAGGCUUAUAUUCAUAUAUAUUAUAUCAAAAAAAAUUUGGGGGUCAAAAUCUAAUGUUUCACUUGGUUAUACCAAAAUCGGCUCUGACGUCAAGAUAAAUUGGUAAAAAUACUAAGUCCUGGCAUAUAGAAAUGUUCUCAGUUGUUCACCUUGACAGCAAUUUUAUUGAGCUUGUUCAUGGCUGAAAACUGUGUCAAACGAGUGAGGACAGCAGAAUCAAUAGGUUUAUCAAGAGCCACACCAUCCACUCUGGCCCAAGGAUGACCUGCAACAUAAUUAUCAUUACAGUAUUUGUAAGUAUCUAUGUGCUAAUUAACCAGGAUAGGUUUUAGACAAGAUUGGAUGAAACAUUUGUCUUAGCCCCCAACUUUUAAAAAGGUGUUAUACAUUGGUAAUGUGACCUCCAAAUUAUCGAUUUUUAUUCCUAUUAAUAUAAAAAAAUUUAUAGUCCCCAAAAUCUUAAGUCCGGCUUCUGGUGCUAACACUUUUUGAUUCAAAAGGGAAAAUGAAACUUAUUCAGAAAGAAAGAACACUAACAGAGAACUUCAUGAGCUUUCAUUCGUUUCUUAGGGUCUCUGAUCAGCAUCCUACGGACCAAAUCUUUUGCGCUUUCUGAUACACUAGGCCAUGGUUCUGAUACAAAGUCAAGGCCACCUUUCAAAACUUGCUCAAAGAUGCCUUGUUCCAUUUCUGACAUAUCAUAACAGUUCAAUCAGUAUAUAGUACCAUUUGAAAAUACUUCAAGCAUGAAUCAAACUCUCUUACCAUCCCAAAACGGAGGGACACCACUUAGUAAGAUGUAUAUAAUAACCCCAGCACUCCAAACAUCACAUUCAUGACUAUAACGCUUCUUCAAAACUUCUGGAGCCACAUAAUAAGGGCUCCCAACUACAUCAGUGAAUGUUUCUCCUGUUAUGACAAAGAAUCAGACACAUGAGAUUUAGAUACUAAACCUAAAGGAAGAGCUCUCCACCUGCACAAAUCUCCAUCACGACAUGAACUGCUACUGCGUCUUCAUACGCGCCAAGUGAUGCAUUAUCUGAAUCUCUCUUCUAACGUCUUCAACGUCCUCUUGGCGAUCGUUUUGCAAGCGAGUUCUUGACCUGACUUCUUGUCCACGCAAAAGAAACGUGGUCCCGAAUUGUCCUUGACCUAACUUCCUCCCCACGCUAUAGAUUUCCUUGAGAUUCACUGUUUUUCUCCCGAGCACUGAGUCUAUCUGUAGACCCGCGUUCGCCAUGCGUUUCAUGUGCGCCUAUUUCUUCGGCUUCACGUCACUUUUUGGUGCUUCUUCGCUGGCCAUUUUCACCGGAGGAGGUGGUGUUCUAGGAGUUUGUACCGCCGGUGGAGCUGGAUCCAAGGCGGAAGAAGCGUCGUUGUCUGGUUUGGUAUACUCUCUCUUGCCGUUUAAGUUUGGUUCGUUUUUUUUUUUCCUAAUCUUUUCUUAUUUACAGCACUGUAAACUCGAAAUUUGGUACAAAUGUCAAAAGUAAACUCCAAAAAACUCAACACUUAUAUGUAAAAGUUAUUCAUGUUUGGUUAAUUUAUUAGUAAUAAAUUAUCAUAAAGUAUAUCUAAUAACAUCAUAAAAAAAUCAAAUACAACUUCAUUUAAGUCUUAUCAAAGGGAAAAAAAAACUUCAAACUAUAAUUAACGUCUUUAGAAGAAUAAUUUUCUUAUCUCUUUUUCUCAUCACCAUUUUUUUAUAAUUAACUUUUGAAUAUGUUAUGAUUAUUGUGGAAGUAAACAACUAGAAACCAAUCAUUUGCAUCGUCUGCUCGUUCCAAAACAUCUUCGACUGCUUCACCAUCUCAGACCGUUCCCCCAUCAUCCUCUCCUUCCAAUACUCUUUGCUUCUAUAAAAAUAUUAUAUACAGAGAACACAAAUUUGUCAAUACUCAUAUUAAUUAAUAGAAACUAAUACUGUCUUUACAAAAAAAAAAAAAAAAAAAUUAAUUGUGGGGCUGCCUUAACGCCUUGGAAAAUCAUUACAGAAGCAGACGAGCAUGCACACGCUUUACAAAAUAUGUGACCGCACUUCAAAGCAUAGGGAUUGAAAACCGUUUCCUGCCAAAUCAAUCCACACAAAUAUAUUUAUGAUUCAGCUCAAAGUGAGAAAAUGAUUCAAACAUGUAAAACUAUUAUUAUUUUCUUUGUUACCAGACAUAUUGCGCAAACUAGAUCAAACUCAAGCUCUAUUGAGUUAGGCAGCAUGAGUUUCAUCACUGGUUGAUCUUCGUUUAGAUUUUCACAUGAGACGCGGCCAAAAGAGUUCUUGAAGUUUCCAACUUUUUCAAGACCAGAGUUGAGAUAAAAGGCUCCAAGUUCUAUAAGCCAGGGUGAGUGCAAGAGCUCUAUGCGCUCUGCUCGCAUUUUCAACUUAAAAUUCUUCCCAUUCUCUGAGCCAUGCACCUGAAAAAUCAUUUUAAACCUGUUUCACGAUCAUGUCUUUUUUCUAAAAUACAUUUUUUCAUUUAUGCAAUAAUGGUAACCUUGUCAUAUUUCUUUAGGAUUUUACGGAUGGCGAUAGCAUUCAUUGUUAUGUAUUGAAUCAAGAUAUGACCCUCAUGGAUUAAAGCUUGUUUUUCGUCCGUGAAGCAUCUGCGUAGACGCAUCAUGUAUCUUUGCAUCCCAGUGGCUACAUGAAGAUGGAGAAGAUGCCUGACUCUUGACUUGAAGCAUCCUGCUAUGUCGUAAGCUUCCUUCAUCAGUUCCUCAAAGAACAUCUGAUCACACCCUGAAUUGGAACAUAUCACCUUUUACAUUAACCAUGCACCCAAAUAAUUAUAGGAAAAAAACACUCGACACUAAGACUAGAUAAGAGUGGAAACAACCCAUCAUAAACCUUGAUCUAUAUUAAUAUGCAAUAUAUUUUAAAAUAUUUAAAUCAUACACUUCCAUUUCCAUUAUCGUAGAGUAUUCUAACAGACUAGAUAUGAGUGAAAACAACCCAUUAUAAAUUGUUUUUUUUUACGACAAGAGAGGGCAAAGAGAGAGAAGUUAUACAUACAAGGACAAGAUUGGUAUUGGCAUGAAUCAGACAAAGAGGUAGCCGAUGAGAUGAUGUGUUCAUCAUCAGAUCUUGUGGAGUUACAUGUCUUGCAUUUCUUUAGUACUUUCUUGAGUUUCUUAUAUUCAACAUAACGACAUUUUUCUAGGAACCACUCCUCUUCUCCAUGUAGAUAUUCCGUGAACGUCUCUCCAAACUUCAUCUUCUCAAUACAAAUUAACUAUUGCUUAAAAGGAUUAAGAAAAAAAUCGUCACGAGAAAAGGAGAUCUAGAUAUGUCGAAGCCAGUUAAUUAAUUACCUUUUGUCACGUUAAAAGAAGAGAUAUUUUCGGGUGAUUAAUUACAACACCAGAGUCAUGAAAAGAUCGAGAGGCUAGCUGGCUGAGGAAGACAAAAGCUCUUCCGAUUAAAGUCACUUUGAAAUUCAUUGCCAUUGGACUUCCUAUUAUUAGGGUCUUUUUACGCUUUUUCAAUGUUAUUUUUAGGGUUUUGUUAUACGACAAAUCGAAAAGCAAAGUUGCUCUGGUUACCACAUCAAUAGUUUCGUUUUAAACGGCAUGCCAAUUACGUGUGAGAAAAUGGAGUGAUCUAUAUUGGAGGAGGAAAGAGAGAGACAUAAAUGGGAGGUCGAAUAAGAACGUGACACGGUCACAUAAGGAUUUUUAACACUUAUAAAAACCGGUUCUUGCUCUUUUAUCCUUUUCCAUUUCCUUUUUUCUUUUUUUCUUUAGAACCUGCCUUAAAAGACACCAAUGGAGGUUGUCUUAAUGCUCUAAGCCUCUAACGAAUUGCAUGUGCACAAUAUUGUCCAAUUUGUUUACUCGGUGUUAACGGAUCCAAACAUGAUAUUUUACUGAGGACAUAUAACUUUAAGAUUAAUUAAUUUCCUAUUAAUAUCGAGUCUCUGAAUUUUAUUUGAGUUAAUAAAUCUUCUUGUUAUUUCUGAAAGUAUUAAAGGAGAGAUCAAUUCCAUUGAUAUUUCCCAGAUUCAUUUGUGUCCAACCGUUUUCUAUCACACAUUCAAACAUUAGUGAUAUAUUUUGGUUUUAAAUGGUGACAAUAAAAUUUUAUUUAUUUCAAACAUUCUUGGCUAAAUAGUUAUAAAUUAUUAAGAACAUAAAUAUAUUUUAAUCAUUUUAUUCAUUGAAGUAAAUAUGUAAAAAUAACAUAAUUUAUGAAAAGGGGGGAGUAUAGUGUAUUUAUUGUGAAGAAACAUUGUUUUUAAUAGCAUACUGGUGGCUAGUCGACACAUUAGAAUUCUCAAAAACAAAAGUUAAUGAUGUCAAAUAUUCAAUUUUGUCCCACUACAGACUAAAGUUUUGCUAUUGUUAGUUGAUGAAGUCCAAGCAUGCGUUUCUCAAGAACAAAAGUUAAUUUUGUCAAAUAUUCAAUUUUGUCGCACUAAAGUUUUGCCACUUGAUGAAGUUUAAGAAUGCCUUUCUACUGUGAACCCACGUACUGGUAUACUUAACAUGAUAGAAAGAAAAUUCAACAAGAGUAUAAAUGAAGUUUCAAGGAAAGCAAUAUUCCAAGUCUUUUCACUUUGCUGUAACAACAUGUCUUUCUAUAUAAAACUGUAAAAAUAUUGAGCCUAUGAGAUGUUUGGAAGAAUCAUGAAGCCACUUUACUUUUAUUUAUGUUAAACGAACCUUUUCUUUAAACAAUGGCCUUUGGUAUUGGAAGUUCCACUAAUAACAAAAUAAAUAGAUAGAUAAUAAAAACAAAAUUGGGCUUUUCUUUAUUCCCCUGCAAUCACAUGGAUGCCAACAUGAGCGGGUUUCGGACUUUGGAAUCAUGGGAGGCUAAAAGAUCAUAUUUAAUACUAAGUUUCAAUGAUGACAUUACAUUUUGACCAAAACAUUAUGGCAUGUAUGUUGUAUUAUGUCGAUAAUGUAUUCAGCGCCAUGUGGGAUAAAAUUAUAACUAUAAGAAAGUUAGAUAAUUAAUAAGAACAUACAGUAUUAUUUAAUGUAUUUAUGAAACAAAUUUAAGUAUUCAAAAUUAUAUUGUUGAAAACUAAAGUUAUUGUAACUUAGGAAGACGGAAAUAACAAAUUAAAGAACUAAAAUAAUAUAGAAAAUAUAAGUAUUCUUUAUAGAAAAGUUUGUGUUUUAUAUUCUAUAGUACUUAUAUUAGAUAUGCUGUUACAUACUACUCGGACUCUCGUCCUCAUAGCAUGGCAGUUUGCUAUUAACAAUAUUUGGAGAAAUCAAACCUUCAAAUCAUUUAUAACUCCAUCUCCUCUCCUACUCUUAGUGAUAGGUUGGUCCGAAAUCAAAUCCAGUCACUUCGUUUGAAGCUAAGUUGAAUUACUUGACAAAGUUGGAUCUCUAUGUUUGGUCAGGUUCCACGCAGGUGUAUUUUUUUUUCCAAUUUUUCAUGGGUGUUUCCACGUUUUAGAUAAAGCAAUUUAACAAAACGAAAAACGAUUGUAUAUCUAUGCCUUCUCUUGUUCUUCUUUUUUUUCUGAAACACUCAUCGAUAGAAGCUAAGUUUUUUAGCAAUAUUUUAUUUUCCUCUUUUAUUUCUUUAAAAGCUAACUUUUUUGCUUCAUUUUGCAGUCGUAAUUCAAUCAUCUCAUGACCUUUUUCCCUGCUUGUUGUACUUUCGUUUAAAAGAUCAAGGAUUUUUUUCGUUUGAUGAUAUCAAACUAUCAGCAGACAUAUUAUGAGGAUAUCCGGUUUCAACAAUUUUUGGCUCGUAAUCUACAAAUAAAAAAUAAAGAGAAUCAUUUCUUACUUCGAAAUAGUUGAUCAUAUAUGGGAGCAUUAUGGAAAUAAUUUUAUGCAAUAAUGUAAUAUUUGCUUGCAGUUUAAUAUUUAAUUAUGUACUUUUAUUUAUAAUUUUAUAUUUUAGUGUAAGAUUUUUUUUUAAUUAAUAUUUCUGUAAUAUUUAUAUAUAUGUAUUAGUUAUUUAUAGAAGUUUUAUGAAUUUACAUCAACUAUGACAAACAUAAGGAUCAUAGUGUAAAAUAUAAAUAAUUUUGAAGUUAGGUUUGAAGUUUUACUUUUGGAGAAGAACACAUUGAAACUUCAAAUAUAAAAUUUUGGAAACUUCAAAAUAGAGUUCCUUUUUGGAGAUGCUAUUAGUGAUAGGUUGGUCCGAAAUCAAAUCCAGUCACUUCGUUUGAAGCUAGUUGAAUUACUUGACAAAGUUGGAUCUCUAUGUUUGGUCAGGUUCCACGCAGGUGUAUUUUUUUUUUCCAAUUUUUCAUGGGUGUUUCCACGUUUUAGAUAAAGCAAUUUAACAAAACGAAAAACGAUUGUAUAUCUAUGCCUUCUCUUCUUCUUCUUUUUUUUUCUGAAACACUAUAUAUGCCUUCUCUUCUUUUUUUGUUUAGUGGUACAAAUUUUAAGUAUGAAUGGGAAGUGAAUAAAAAGUGGAGGAUCUGUCUCAAGUGGAUGAACCACUUUUUUUUGCUUAACUGUAAAUAUCAUAUAAUGAAUAAAGUUUACAAGCAAGAGUUUAUAAACUAGACUUUGUUAGACAUCGCAAAAAACAGGAAAAAACAUGCUAACAAAUUAGGAUUGGGAAAUUCGAAGCCGUUUAGCUAAACUAGCCAAAAGGACAUAAGAUGCUUAAAAGCUUUCCUGGUCUUGCGAGCAGAUAUAGUGUUUCUGACAUUUCUGUCAACACGUUCGAAGAGAUCGGAUGUUGUUUCCACCUAAAAGUGGAUGAACCACUUUUAUAUUCCCAUUCAACAUUUUUAUCUAGUUAGAAUUUAGACUGCUUUUUAAAUUAUUAAAUUAAUGUUGAACCACUAGUGGUUCUAUAACAUGAACAAAAAAUGAAGAACCACUAUCUACAAUAUUAGUUUCACUAGUUCUGCAGUUCAAAAAAAAAAGUUUCACUAGUUCUACUUAGGCUACUUCUCCCAGAAACAAACUUAUAAAACAUUGCAAAAUCAGGAGGCCGAAUAACUAUUAUACGUGAAAAUUCGACUCCGUCACGUCACCUUUUUGAUGCCAUGAACGGUCGAUGAAUAAGCAAUUUUGAGUUUAAGCAAAAAGUAAGGUUCUAUACGCUAAGAAAAAGUUGGGUGUGUAAACUGAACUAUUAGGCUUUUUCGCCAACCUCAGGACAUCUACACUGGCACUCUAUUUUUUUUAUGUAAUUUAUAUUAAAAUAGAAUAACUUUAUUAUAGUGUAAUUUUUGCUCCAAUAGUGUUAUCCUAUAAUAAAAUUACUAUAUUAUAGAGUAAAAUAUAGAUAAAUAUCAUAUUUACUUUAUAUUUAGAGUGAAAAAGUGACAUUUCUCUAUAUUUCACUUUAUAAUAUAUAUUUCACUUUAUAAUAAAAUAACUCUAUUAUAAAGUAACACCAUUGAAACAAAAAUUACACUAUAAUAGAAUUACUCUAUUUUGGUGUAAAUUAUAGACAGAAAAAUAGAGUCUCAUUGAAGAUGGUUUCGUACAUAAUCGUAUACGCAUAUAUAUUAUAAAGUUUAAGUAUUAUUCUUGUUGAAAACGUCGAACAAUAACUCCCAACCAUAGUAUUGUCAACUUUUCCGCCUCUAUCAGUCAUUUUCGUCGCCCUUAAUAUUCACACAACGAUUUCUCUGCCUUUCAGUUUACUAUUACAGAACAUUUUGAAUUCCAAGUCUUUUUAUUCAUUUGGAUUCAAAAAACUAAAAUUUAGUAAUAAUUUUCGUGAGUUUGGUAUUGAUAUUAUAUGCCAAGUUUGCGUGAGGUAAAGUUUUACGCCAUGUUAGAGGCUUAGAGCAAAGAGACCAUCAUUCUUCGCACAUAUGCUGCAUAGGUACGUGACGAGUUUCUCAACGUAUAAUGCAUCAUAAAGCAAUUUAAUUCCAAAGGAGAAAGUUACUGCUCUAUGAAAAACAUAGGAGGAAGACACGCCAAACGUGAUAAGUUAAGGGCAUUUUUAAUUUUAUUCCAUUUUUUCUUCAAAAUUGAGUAAAAGUGAAAAUAGAGUGAAGAUUUCUCCAAACCAACUUCAAAUCUCAUUCCAUAAUAGAGUUUACUCCAUAAAUAGAGUAAUCUAUUUUUUUUUGAUCAUCACCAUAUUAUGAAAUGAAAAAUGGAAUAAGAUUAAAGCAUUUUUACUCUAUUUUUAUUUAUUUUAGAGGAAAAAAUAAAGUAUUACAUUAGAGAUGCUCUAAGGGUUUGGCUUGGCGUCACCGGUCAUCGAUCCAUUUGCCAAGGUCGUAAGAGUUUUUUUUUCUUCUCAAAAAUAAAAUUCUCAGUACUUGUUUGAACAUCAUCUAAAUGGACUAAGAGCAUCUCCAAUGUAUUACUCCAAAAUGGUGUAACUCCAAAAUAGAGUUAGAUUUUACUUCAAUGUAUUACUCUAUUUUUUACUCCAAACAAAAGUAUUCUUUUUUCAUUUAGUUGAUAAUUGUUAUUAGUACCUUCAACUUAUAAAAAAUUAACAAUUAACCCAACUAUUUUAUGUUUACAAAAUUUCUAUAAUAAUAUAUUUUAUUUAAAUUAAAUAUUUAUCAUUAAAAAUACAACUAGAGAUUAUCUUCCAAUUUCAAUUCGUGCAGAUUUUAUCAUAUGGAAUUUUUCUAAUUCAAAAAUAUUUGUAUGCAUUUAAAGAACAUAAAGAAAAAAUAAAGUUUUGUUUUGUAAUUUGAAUUAUGUAUUGGGUCCUAUUGUUUGUUUGUGCAUAUAUCAAGUUCAACAAGUACAAAUGUUAUCAAUCAAAAUUUUGACCCACAAAAUUAAAAAACUCAUCUAUUCCGUUUGAAUAAUACUUCACCGCUUUUGGUAGUUUCGAAAACAAUUUACCGAAUUAAUUAUUAAAUUACUUAUUUAUAAUAGUUGUACAAGUAUUAUUUUGUUUAGACUUUGAAAAAUGGGCUUGGUAAUCCUUUUGGCAUUGUCCAGUAGUACAAAAUAACGUUUGAGUCAACACUUUACCAACUAAUUAUAAUUAUUUACUUGAAGGUUUUGUCAUCAGUGAUUCACUAUGUCUCCAGAACAAAACUAUUUUGUCAUCAGUGAUUUACUAUGUCUCCGGAACAAAAACAUUUUGUCAUCAGUGAUCCACUAUGUCUACGUUACAAAACGAAGAUUAUUUGGACUUAAACAAAAUUAACUGGUUAUGACUUAUGAUCAUUGUUCAAAAAUAAUUGUUGUCACUAAAUCGCAGCAACAUGUAUAAUUCAUUUAAAAUAAUCUAAAAUGAAUUAAAAUAAAUCUUUCCAAAUUACUAAAUUGAAAUAUUCCCUAUAAAUUUGUCAUUAAUAUCACCACAUGCACGCAUCCGCCUUCUCUCCUAGUUAUAUGGGCCAUAAAGAGUUGACCAUAUCCCCGUCAACUCUAUUAUUGCUGUAACCUGACAUUAAAAUUUAGAAAAGUUAUCAGCAAUUCAGAUAAUUUAGGUGUGGACUAAAUUAAAACUCACAUGAAAUUUAUUUUUUUUCCUUCUUAUCUUUACUUUUAUCAGUUUUUUUUUUAACAAACUUUUAUCAGUUUUUCUUAUUUCUCCUUUUUUUUUAUAAUUCCUAGAGUAACUAAGAUUCGCUUACAAGGUGUCCAUGUGUGAAUGCAGAUAAAUAAGUAAUUAUUACAUUUAAAAAAUCUAACAGACAUAUAAUUGACAUAAUAAUGUGUGAUUAAUUUAGUCAUAAAAAUAAUAGUGUGAUUAACUGAUUAAACCUUUCUUAAUAAAGGAUCCGUCCAAUGUGAGCGAUGGAAUUGUGGACUUAGAAGUCAGCUUUACAAGCAAUGACAUUUCAACAAAUGGACGUAGGAUGUCAAUACCAAAGACAUCACCAUUUGAUUUGUAAACUAUGUGAUGUACGUCAAGCUAUCAAUUUUAAAUUUUGUUUUCGUUGUCACGUCUUUAGCGGGAAGGAAAACGAAGGAUACAAUACUAUCGUCGGGUCCUACUAGGCUACUAAUAUAUCACUGUCAAAAUUAAAUUAAUUGAAAUGAAUUUUCACCAAAUGUCUAAAAUAUUACUAAUAAUUUAUAAGCAAUAAACAAGGUAAUGAACAUACAUUUGUUCGUUUCGUAAACAUGUUUUUGUCUUUGGGCUCACAAUCAUUAAUCGAACACUUCUUUUUUUUUACAAAAUUUGAAUAUAGAUAUCAUUUUUUACCGUGAGAGAGAUGCAUGUACGUAACUUUUACUUGAUAGACUCUGGUGAUGGUUUUUGUGACACGGAGUUUUACUGCGGCCGCUUAUUUUCAGCGGAUGCGGUGGUCUUGGAUCGUCGACCGCUAAAGUUUCGUCUAUCAGGUUGUUUUGGUUUCUAGUUCCAGAUUUCCUUUUUUUUUUUUUUGUAACACCACUUAAUUUCAUUCAUUCAACCUUGUUCUGAUACAAUACAAGAGGGAAUACUACAUCCUCUUUGCAAGAAAGCAUAAAGUACAGAGAUAGAUAAAAGUAAACCAGAUAAAUCUUCCAAAGAAGGUGACAGCGAAUUCAAAACAAAGUUUGAAUGCGUCAAAAAAGCUUUCCCGACAAAGUCGAACAGCUGGAGAAUAGUCACACAAGGCGACGUUGAGAGACAGCCCUCACCAACGAGAACAAUCAAAUUAUUCUCGAUUGUAUCUUCAGGUCCCGUACAGACCGCUCCACAAGAUAACAAACCGGUGAGUAAACUGAAGCAAAGUCUCGGUAAUAAACCCGAGAAGACAUCUCCUUUCAUAGAGAGGAGGCAUGGUUGCAAAGUACUCUUCUCGGUAGAGGAAGAGGUUGAAACCGUAAGCAAACACGGUGUAUCCACCAAAAUAAUCUUCAUAAAAGAGAGGUAUAACAAUAAUCGCAUAACAAAGACCCUAAUGAAUCCAUCAGAAAUCUUGAAGCUCUUCACACAAACCCACACAUCAGAAGUCAAUCGCAUAGUCACUUUUACAGUUCUUAUACCACAAGACUGAAAGGGCCAGGCCCAUAAACUUAGUACCCUCGGGUUGGAGACAACCAUUCGCAUUACCGGAGACGGGGAGUACCUGGGAGAUACGCCGAAAGUGGAGAUGGGUGGUGAGGAGACGGGAACGUCGAACGGUGGAGAUGGAUGCUCACCGGAGCAAGCGGUUGAAACCCAACAGAUCUUCUCGGAAACCCAGAGGAGACUGCCAAACCGGUAUACUUUCGAGAUGAAUAAGGUGGUAGCGGACCGGGGAGCGCUCAAACUUAACAGACAUCGAGAGUCCAGCGCUGAAAGCCUGGUAAACGGUGGAAUCCCAACCACACAGGACUUCAAAAUGCCGGAAACUAUGGACGAGGGAAGAGAUUGCGACGGUCGAAGGAGUGGCAUCCGGUGAAGGUCUUCGGAGCAGGAGUAGCGGGAAGAUGAGACGUGAGUAACUGGGAUGGCGGAGGCGGCAGUAGAUCUAGUCGGCGAAGCUGACGGUAGAUCUAGCCGGGAAGACAUGGAUCUAGGGAUUUGAGGUGUAGCUACUACACGCGUUGAAAAUUUCACCGUCAUUGGUCCAGAAUAGUAAACGUGGUGCGAAAGUGAGUCAUUGUGGUUGAUGUUGACAGGAACGGUAGAGCGGUGGGGAGUCCCCCAGAGAGUCACGGGUCUGGUGACACAGACACCGAAACAGAAACACAGAUCUCUUCUUCUCACGGCAAGAGACAGUCUCGGUUGAGAUUUGUCGCCUAGAGAGUCACACAAGAUAAAAGAAACAGAGCAAAACAUGGUGGAGCGAGUGGAAGAUGUAGAGGAGCGAGAGGCUGAGCAGAAAUCCUGACAGAGAUCCCGACGCCGGCGGCCGGAGGCCUCACCGGCGUCGAAAUAGUUGAUGGCCGACGGCUCCUCGAUAUUUGGACCAGAGAGAGUAUUAGGGCGAACUCGAAAUAUAGAGAGUAUAGUUCCAGAUUUCCUUAUUUUUUUCUAUUUUGUACUAAUUCGUUUAUCAGUUUGAUUUCUUAAUCAUGCCUACUAUAAGAUUGCUGGUUAAGUCCCGGCUCAGUCGGAUUAAAAAAAAUACACAAAACAACUUAUUUAGUGUAAAAAAACGCCAGAAAAGAAUCUUGAAAAUCUGUAGCACAAACAAAAUAUGUAGCUCACACAUUUGUAGGUAAUUUGUUGUGUUUAUAUGAUCUUCUGACAUAAAAUUUAGUAUGCGUUACAAUUUCAACCUAGUUUUUGUUUUUUGCUACGUAAUCGAAAGGGAUUAGCUACGUGAUUCCAAUGACCAAACUAACAUCGGAGAAUUCUGCCUCUUGAUGGAAAUUGAUAUAUGCCAUAAAAAGGACUUGUUGGAUCACGGAAAAGAAACUAACUCGCUGGGCUAAAGCAAGAUACACUUUAUAUUCCUGGAAGUGCAUUAAAGUCUCUUACUUAUUAGACUACGAAAAAAAAAGAAAAAAACAGACCAUGCCACAAGUCGUGAGCCUUACCCUGACACCCAAUAAUAUUACACUAUUAAAUACUAUUGACAUUGGAGUCUGUGUCUGUGGAUAUACAUAUGAUGCAGUUACUGCUUCUUCGCUUGUUCUAAAAGUUUCGUACAUAUCAAAAAUACUAAACAAUUUCCCACAAUUUUCUUUGGGUAUAAGUUGCGAAGAGUGUAACUGUUGUGUCAAUCUUGUCUUCUUCUUCUAAAUUAUUCUGGUCACGUCACUUGGUUUAUUUUUAUUUAAAUCAAAUAUAUUAUUAAAAUCUUUUAAGAUAGCGUGUUAUUUUUUUGAUAAUAGUUUAUGUUUCAAUUAAUUGGUAAUCUCGAAUUUGACAAGCAUAAUAUACAUUUUUAACAAGUUAUAAAACUUUGACCACGCUGCUAAUUGGAUCCAUUUUAUUAUACUAAUUAUUGUAUCCAUUUUAUUAUACUAAUUAUUGUAUCCAUUUUGUUUUUAUUUACCUGAUUUGACUAGUUUAUUUGUACUUGAAAUUUAUAUCUGCCUAGACCGUAUGCAAGGGAAUAUGUAGCUAGUGAAAUGGUGGCGAAGAGCCCAAAAUUUAAAUUAUUUCCGUUUCCCAAGCAUUUUAAAGCUCCGUAUAUGUAAAAACAAGUCAUGGUCAACUACGUGUAGGAAACAAAAACUUGCUAUUUCUUAUAAUGGAACAGCUGUUAUUUAGUUAGUAAAAGAAUAAUUACAGCAAACACAUAAGCAGCCUGUCCUAAUAAUUAAACGAAGUAAAACAUUGACCCCAACAAGAAGAUUGCGUAUACCUUUGCACUCCUCUGUGGCAGAAGCUUGUUCUGAAGAUUCUUGGAACCUACCACAUCCUAGAUCAGAAAAUGAGGUCAUACUACAUGCUUAUCUUACCACGGUUGCUCCUCCGGUCCCUACAAGCAGCGCAUACAAGUUUUUCUGGACAGUCGAUGGUAUAAAGCUCAGCAAAUUCUCAGCGCCCAAAACUUGGCAACAAUGUAGGCCGCGUGAACCUCCUAAGGAAUGGUCGAAACUGAUAUGGUUCUCAGGAUGUGUUCCAAAGCAUGCUUUCAACAUGUGGAUUGCCCAACUCGACAGGAUGCCUGUGAGAACCCGUUUGGAACGAUGGGGGGUCACCGACGCCAGUAACUGUCCUGUCUGUUUGUUUGGAAUAGAAACCCGUGAUCACAUCCUUCUCACCUGUGGCUACAGCUCUGAAAUAUGGAGGUAUGUUCUCCCAAGAUUGGAGUCUCCUAAUGUGUGCUUUAUGAACUGGACCGAACUUCUCUCAUGGAUAAAGGCACCAGCCCGAGGAAAUUUCUGCACUUUGAAGAAAAUUGUUAUCCAAUCUACUCUCUACCACAUCUGGCGUCAGAGAAAUAAUAUCCUCCAUAACCGAGUUCUUAUUCCUCCGGACACGGUUUUCAGGAUUAUUGAUCGAGAGGUGAGAAAUAUUCUCUUAGGAAGGAGGGGAAGGAGAGCAUACAACACUCUCUUGUCUUCUUGGUUUAAGUUUGAGUAAACUCUGUUCUAGAAAUCUGUAAAAUCCUCUGUAAUACUUUCUUGUUUUUCCUUUUUUUGCCUUGGAAGUGUUGUCUUUAGGAUUCUAACUUUGUAAGAUCCUUUUUUCAUUUUAUAUGAUAUUAACGUUUUAGCAAAAAAAAAAAGAAGAUGGCAUAGUAUAGGGUAACAUAUAUAUUUGCAUUAUAGGUGAAAAAAGUACAGCAAAAGAAGAAUAAGGAAAAAUACAAUACUAUAUGUAAAUGUUAGAAAAGUUCUAUAAUACUCUGAGAAAACUAAAACUUAUUUAGUAAUUUAAGUUUGCUAACAACGAAGGGGAGAUAUAUCGACUAAAGGCAAACUCAUCUAGACAUAGACCGAGACGGCGAGUCAUCGGUAGCUGUUGGCGGAGGAGAUCCUUGUCUGUGUAAGAUCACAUGUGCUAAUGCUUCAAGGUCACUGUUUCCACCACCGAGCCCUACGGUAGCGAUGAUCACCAUAUUGGUGACGUGGAUCACCGAAUCUUCGUUGUUGUGUUGCCCACGACGAAGGCAGAAGCUAAGUCGUAUGUUGAAGGUAAUGAAUGGUAAGACUGAUGCAGGUAAAUCUGUUAUGGAAAGUGGUGGAGAAGUGAAGAAGAGAGGUUGUGGUUGCGGGUGUGGUGGAGGUGGUCGUGUUUGCGGUUGAGGUAGCUCUAGGGAUGCCAAAUGGGCUUGUAAGUAAGACCAUCUCCAUUGGUUAGAUCUCUUAAUGGGUUCUUAAAAUUAAUUUAAUAAUUAGUUGUGUACGUUAUGAAGUUUAGAACCCUUAUUAAUGUAAUUAGUUCGUUGAAAAUUCAUAUAUAGACCGAAAUAUAGAUUACGUCGACGUCAAGAGACAAAAAAUAAUAGGAAAUGAAUUAUUAUUUUGAAUUUUUUUUUAGAGUUGAUAAAUUAGGAAUCAAUUAUUUGAAUACAAGUUACACAUAAUUAUAUUCAUGUCCAUAUAAUAUCGUUUACACCUUUAAAACACUUUUGACUUAAAUAUCACUUAAUUUUCUUUUAUUUGUUUUUAUAUUUUAUAAAGAGAAAAAGACUAGGAUAGCACCAAACCAAGUUUUUGUUCUCAAAGUAGCACUCAAGGCUCAAAGUCACAAAAAUAGGUUUCAUUAAAGAGGUAAAUAUACACUUAUACCCCUUGGGUUAAUUAAUUCAAACCUUAGGGUUUAGAGUUGAGGGGUGGGGUUUUGGAAUUAGGGUUUAAAAUUUUAUAAAAAAUAAAUACUAAAAUAAAAAAUAAAAUUUUUAAAAACAGUUUCAAAAAGUAUUUUUAAAUUAUAAAAAGAAAAUUUGAAAAAAGAAUAAAUAAAAAUUUCAAAAAAAAAAUUUCAAAAAAAAAAUUAUAAAAAUUUUGAAUCUGAAAACACAUAAUCUGAAACUAUAAAAAUUUUUUUUUUUUUUUAUUUUAUUUAUUUUUAUUUAUUUUUAUUUGUUUAUUUAAUUUUAAACCAAGGGUAUUAGGGAUAUUUUACCCUUUAAUGAAUAUCAUUUUUGUGACUUUCUCCUUCUAGUGCUAUUUUUGAGACAUAAAUUUUAAAAUGUGCUAUUAUUGACAAUUGCCCUUUUAUAAAUGCUUAAAAGUACGUCUAUAUAAAAAUUACUUGACGUUACUUCAUAACUUUUCUAGCAAAAUAUAAACAUGUAGUUUGCUAAUGCCUUAAAAUUGCAAGUUACCUCACUUUUGGUCAACACACCUUACUUUUUCUAUCUAACUCGAUCGACGUCAACAUACUUUAUGGCUUGUAAUUGUGAAUAUCAACGAUAUGAAAAAGCCAAAAUAAAAUCCAUAGUAAUGUUAAUCUUACAUGAAAUUCAAGCGGGUUUAACUGUUUCAUUCUAUUUGCUUUUCAAAUUGCCUAACGUAGUUCCAAGUUCGGUAACUGCUUUAAUGUUUGUAACAAACUCUUUCUUGUUUUGGACAUACAAGUAAAUGAAAGAUAUAUUUUUACUACUAUUUGAAAAUCUACAAUCAUUCAAUUAUAUAUAUGAUUACAUUUAGUAUGGUAAUAUUUAAAAUAUAUUGGUCAAGUGGUUUUUAUAAUUGAUAAAAUACAAAAAUUUGGUACAACAUUCAGAACGGUUUCUUUCUAAGUUAGACAUAUAUCCCACAUGUUUCGUUCAAUCGUUCUAUAUGAUUCAUAAGUCGAUCUUAUAACGCCCAAAUAUGUUACUAAUAUUAAGUUUUUGAUGAUGAAAUUACAGAGGUGAAGAAUAAUGGCAAGGGAUCAAUUACAAGUGCUGAAUGCACUUGAUGUAGCGAAGACACAAUGGUACCACUUUACGGCGAUUAUAAUUGCCGGAAUGGGAUUCUUCACCGAUGCUUACGAUCUCUUCUGCAUCUCUCUUGUCACGAAGCUCCUCGGCCGCAUAUACUACCACGUACCAGGCUCCCCGAAGCCUGGAACUCUCCCUCCAAACGUUGCUGCUGCCGUUAACGGCGUUGCCUUCUGUGGAACCCUCGCUGGCCAGCUCUUCUUUGGGUGGCUUGGUGAUAAGCUCGGGAGAAAGAAAGUCUAUGGUAUGACGUUGAUGGUCAUGGUCAUCUGCUCUAUAGCAUCCGGUCUCUCUUUCGGACACGAGCCAAAAGCAGUGAUGGCCACGCUCUGCUUCUUUAGGUUUUGGCUAGGGUUUGGGAUUGGUGGUGACUACCCUUUGUCCGCAACGAUCAUGUCUGAAUACGCUAAUAAAAAAACUCGUGGGGCGUUUAUCGCUGCGGUUUUCGCCAUGCAAGGGUUUGGGAUCAUGGCUGGUGGCAUCUUCGCUAUUAUUAUCUCCUCUGCUUUUGAAGCUAAGUUCCCUGCCCCGGCCUAUGCGGAUGAUGCCUUGGGGUCCACGGUAUCCCAAGCAGAUUUUGUGUGGCGUAUAAUCUUGAUGGUUGGUGCUAUCCCAGCUGCAAUGACGUAUUAUUCUAGGUCAAAGAUGCCGGAGACAGCAAGGUACACAGCUUUGGUUGCUAAAGACGCAAAGCAAGCUGCUUCAGACAUGUCUAGGGUUCUCCAAGUUGAGAUAGAGGCAGAGCAACAGAAAGUAGAAGAGAUCUCAAAGGACAAGUCCAAAGCCUUUUCCUUGUUCUCCAAGGAAUUCAUGAAACGCCAUGGACUUCAUUUGCUAGGCACAACAUCAACCUGGUUCCUCCUCGACAUCGCUUUCUACAGUCAAAACCUAUUUCAAAAAGAUAUUUUCAGCGCAAUCGGAUGGAUCCCUCCGGCGCAAACCAUGAACGCGAUUCAAGAAGUGUUCAAGAUUGCACGUGCUCAAACCCUAAUUGCCUUGUGCAGCACGGUACCAGGCUACUGGUUCACAGUUGCGUUCAUCGACGUCAUUGGAAGAUUUGCGAUUCAGCUAAUGGGAUUCUUCUUCAUGACGGUCUUUAUGUUUGCUCUGGCUAUUCCUUACAACCACUGGACUCACAAGGAAAACCGAAUCGGAUUCGUUGUCAUGUACUCGUUAACAUUCUUUUUCGCCAACUUUGGACCUAAUGCUACAACCUUCGUUGUACCGGCCGAGAUCUUCCCGGCCCGGUUCAGAUCCACGUGCCAUGGUAUCUCUGCAGCAUCAGGAAAAUUAGGUGCGAUGGUUGGUGCUUUCGGGUUCUUGUACUUGGCACAAAGUCCAGACAAGGCCAAGACAGACGCAGGAUACCCUCCAGGGAUUGGGGUCAGGAACUCGCUUAUCGUGUUAGGUGUGGUUAACUUCUUGGGCAUUCUGUUUACUUUCUUGGUGCCUGAAUCUAAAGGGAAGUCGCUUGAGGAAAUGUCCGGUGAAAAUGAGGAGAAUGAGAACAGCAACAGCGAUAGUAGAACGGUCCCAAUAGUUUAGAUGAUAAUACGCAUUUUGUUAAAAGUUAUCUUCUUGUCUUUUAGCAACUUAAGUUGUUCGUUGUGUCAUUUAUUGAUGUCAUGCCCAAAUGGUUAAAUAAUUUUAACAAUGAGUAAACUGGAAGAAAAUUGGAGUUGACUUUUACCAUCACUUCAAAUUUCAUUCAUUCUGUUAAAUCUGCUAGAUUAAUAUCCCUCGUUUUAAGCUAAAGGAUAAGGAAAUAUAUAUAUAAUGUUUAGCACACUCUGUUCUCGAAGCAUUUGCACUAGGUUUCUGAACAACUAGAACUGAUCCAUUCAUGUUCUUUUUUUUGACGAUCCAUUCAUGUUCAUGCGCAUGGAUGGCCAAUAUUGGAUGUAUAACAUAAAUUAUUUUGGCAAAUCUUAACUUUGAUUGUUUUUGGAAUAUAUACUUUUCCUCCUGGCAUUUUUGGAGUAAUAUACUUGUUGUGACAUACUCGCAUUCUAUUUUAUUAGGAAAUAUGGUAGUUUGAAGUGAAACUACAUAGAUGCGAUCUUAAGUUUUCCAAUAAAACAGAGCAUUAUAAGCUUCAAAAACAGAGUUUAUUCAGGCCAAUGUGGUUGCAAUGCAGAAGAAAGUGUUUUAACCUAAGAUUAUGGAGAAGUAUACAAAAGGAAGCUUAUCUUAGCUCAUUUCUUCUUUGUCACAUCUCACUGAUAAAUUUUUUUGGAGACUGACGUCUAUUUCUCACGUUCAGUUGAGCUUUUAAUUAUAUAUCUCGGUUUGGUUGAAAUCAAAUCUAUUCCUUCUUGUCAAGAAUUCAAGAUUCUACUUUAAUUCUCAAGAUUCAUUAAAAACAAAUGCCAGCCAAAUUAUUUUUUUGACCAGUCUGUUAGAGAUGAAACAUAAAUAUUUUAAGAUCAAAUAUAGUAUUAAUGAAAGAUUACACCAUUAUAUCUUUCAUAACAAAUAGAAACUAUUUUUUUUUAUUAUAACAUCUUUUCCUUUCUGAUCAAAGAAUAUGAAUAGAACGAUUUUUUGUUUAGGAAACUGAAUAUAUAUAUAUAUAUAUAUUAGCCCCUGAAUCUACAGAGAUUAAUACAGGGGCUUAGAUGAUGUUGUUAAGAUGAUGUUAAUUUUUAAAAAAGAAAGUAGUAUAAAAUUUCGGUUCCAUCCCGGAAUUGCAUUAAAUAUAUUGAUGAACCUUGUGUAUAUUCCGAUUAUAUAUGUUUGGUAUAGGUAUAUAGAAAAAUAUAAGUAUAUAUAUAUAUAUAUAUAUAUAUAUAUAUAUAUAAAGACCUUGGCGUCAUAACUUCAUUUCUAUUCUUUCACCAGAAAAAAAAUUAUAAUUUACAAAAAUUAGUUUCUAUUUGUAAGUGCAGUAAGGAUAUAUAUUUACUAAAAAUACUAGACAAUUCAAUAACUACAAAUAUAUUAUUAACUUAAACGUGGGCCUUGUAUGUGCAGUAAGGAUAUAUAUUUACUAUAAAUACCAGACAAUUUAAUAACUACAAAUAUAUUAUACCUUAAAUGUGGGCCGCCCAUGGUCUCUAUAAAUUGGCACAUUUUAUCUUUCAAUUGCAUAUACAUUACCUCAAAAAAAAAAAAAAAUACACGGAAACAUGAGUCGUCUCUGGUGCUUUUUGCUUAUCAUUACAUUGUGCGUGGGGUUGAAUAAUGCGGGAGUGUUGGAGAAAAACUCCGUACACUUCAAAAACUCUCUUGGUCCAAAUAAUAUUCUUAGGGUCGAUUGUUCAUCUAAAGAUGACUUUCUAGGCGUCCACGAUUUGAAGCCUGGACAAACCUUUGAUUUUAGUUUUAAUGACAGUAUAUUAAAAACCAAAUUCGAUUGUACCUUAGCGCAGGGACAGGGUUUCAUUCAUCAGGCAAGCUUUAGAGCAUAUGAAGGUGGUGGUUUCAUAGUUCAUUAUGGUAAGGAGAAUUUUUGGGAUGCUAGAGAAGAUGGAAUUUACUUUACACAUGGUAAAGAAACGCCCAAGUUAGAGUAUAAGUGGUCAUAAAAUGUCACUGUAAUCCUCAAAUGAAGUGGAAUUUAGAGUUUUUGUUUUGUUUUAUUUUAACGGCAAUUUCUCAUCUCUUGUUCUUGUAAGAACAACGUAUCGAAUAAAAUUUAUAUUGCAAUCGCAUCUGUGACUUUUGGUGGAUAUGAAAAAUUGUGUUUGUUAAGAACAAAUACAAUAGUAAGAACUUGAAUAUAUAUAUACAUAUAUAACCUACUAGUUCUAUAUUAUUUGUAGUAUUUUUUUGAUUAACAUGAGCUUAACUACUUUUUGUAUUUUUCAUAUAGAUUAGUUCUACUGAAACGUGUGUUUAGUGGAUCUCUUUCUAGAAAACUUUUAUUUUCUGUUUGUUCAAGUUAGUAACUGAUGUAUUGUAUGUAAAUGUAACAAAAUGACUUCCACGACUUAAAGAAAUCUUGGAGAAAAACUCUGUACACUUUCAGAAGCGUAUUAUAACUUUAAAAAGCGUAUUUAAUUUGCUGGAAAGUAUUUAUAGACAGUGACAGCAAGACUUACAAAACUUUAACGACCAACAUAUUUACAUAAUGAGAGGCAUUGUUGUUGUUUGUUUCUCCCUAUUACCGGAACUGUUCAAGAGUCUGGGCAGUGUUGUUGUUCAAAAGCUUCAUCAUGAAGUUAAACCUGGUGUCAGGAGAUGUCUUUGGCUGUGGCCAACUCGCUCCUUCAGGGAUCUUGAUGCUUCUGUAACCUUGAUCUUUAUAAAGUUUAGUGGCUCCCAAGUUGCUGAGCUCACAGUGAAGUCCAACAGCUCGACACCCCCAGCUCUUAGCUAAAGCCUCUGCUUUCCAUAUGAGUCUCUUUGCUAUCCCCUUGCGCCGAAAACUCUCUCGAACCGCCACGUUCGAUAUGUAAGCAACCCCCGUCCUGAAACACAAAAGGGGCAAUAUAUGAAUGAACAAAACCAACCGUUCCAACCACCACCACCAAGCAAACCUUCUCUGGCGGAGAGGACCUUUCCUUGGAAGGUAAUCCGCGACGGUAUCAACAGUCAAGAUCCCAGCUACAUAGCCUUUGCUAAGACUAAUCUUUGCAUCGAAAGCACCAAUCUUGAAACCUUGGCUACCGAUGCAGAUGGUUUCAUCAACCGAGCUACCUACCACGGCGACUAAGCAGAUCCUCUGGCACCCUGGUGGAACAGAGAACCCCAUUAUCAUCCCCAUCAGCCUAUCGACUCUCAGGACAAUAUCAAGAGGGAACGAGUGUCCAGGGAAGAAGGAGCUGCAAUGAGUCUCAGCCACUUCCCAGCAGUCCUCCAACCUCGCUUCCCGUACAACGAUCUCAGGUGAAACCGCUGGGAAAAGAUCAGCUAUUUCACUUGCAUUGCUUACUCCUACUCCUACUACACACACACAAAGAGAACAACUUUAUGAAUCAAAACACAAACAUAUCCAUUAAAGAAUCAUCCCACUGAUGAAAAAUCAAACCUUUGCUCCUAACAUAUACAUAAAGAGAGCAACUUUGAAUCAAAAACAACACAGAAACCUGAUUUUGAAGACGGAGUGUGAGAAACAGAGCCCGUCGGGGAGAGGAGGAAGAGAGACGAGUGGCUUCUCGGAGGAGAGAAGUGAGAGAUUCCUGAGGAGGAGGAGAAGCGGUUGUAGUUGAUCAAAGCCGCUGGAGAUAUCUCCGUCGUCGCCAACGGUGGUGUGCUCCGCAUUUUUUUUUCUUUCUCCCCCUACUCUCGCCCAACCCUCUCUCUCUUUUGGAAACAACAAACCGGCCGGUUCAACCGGCUAAAUCGUCACUGGAAAUAUAUAUAAUAAUCUUUUUAUCCGGUUUAUCUCGGUUCCACCAAUAAAAUCAUACUAUCAUCAUGAUGUCAACACCAACUGCCAUCUUCUAGAUUCAUGGAGAAAAUGCUCUCGCUGAUCUCUUGAUUCUUCUCUUUUAUCAAAGACACUUAUAGCCAUAUUAUCUUCGGAAUGGUUACUAGCAUCACCCACUGUGUAGGCUCCUAAGUUUCAACUGGAUUCAUGCACAAAUCAUAUGGAACUGAAAUGGUUGCAUCUCGUGAGCUAGUUUGGGAACAAAAACACGUAAUUUGAAGUCUUUUUUUUUUAACAACUAACUCGUUAUCUUAUGUAUUUAUUGUUACAUGUAAAGAAAAAAAGUAAUAUAUACUCUAUCGUUUGUUAUAUAAGUGAAUUAUGUUUGACAAAUAUUCAGUAUUAGUUGAACACAAUUAGUUGGAUAUCAUUUUUUUUCUAUUUCGGUCAUGUUUUAUUUUAAGUAAAAAUUGACUUCAUAACAGUUAUGUUUCUUUUACAAUUAUAAGCUAUUUUCUUUCACAGGUUAACCAUAUCUGCAAAUACAUUAUAAAAUAUGCUAUUUUUAUAACACAAUGAUUUUAUUUAGAUAUUUUCAAAAGUAUGUUGUAAUUUACCUUUAGUAAAAUAAAAAGAAAAGUUUUAAGAGAAAAUGAUGUUACUCCUAUUUUUUCCUAAUUAACAAGAAUAUAAACCAUGAAAAAGAAAAGAAUCAUUUGAUUUUCAAAUGCAUAAUAUAGUAUAGGUAUAAUUUUUUGUCAAAAUGUUAUACUGAAAUGAAAGAACCAUUUUUUAUUGUAUGAAAAUAUAAGGGAUAAACAAUUCAUUUACAUAUGGCAUUAUACUACAUAUUACAUGAUCACGUUGUAAAGAAUUAUAAAGAAAUUCUACGAAUUUGGACCUAGAGAAAAAUGGAAUUGAGCAUUGAAGAUUCCAAAGCUAAGCUUCUCAACAUCUCCUCCUUGGCAACAUAUUUUUUCUUUAAGGUCGAAAGAAAAAGAUACAUAUUUUCUUAUAAAAUAAACAAUACAAUUUGAUGAACCCACGAAAAAAAUGAAAAUUAUUACCACUAGCGAUUGAACUUUCUUAAGUUUCUUCUCUUUCAACACCAUUUUUCUUAGAGAUAUUUCGUCAUGAUACAUGAUUAACACUUAUCUUAUUUUAACCCACAAAUAAAGAUCUUAACAAAAAAAAAAACGAACGUUUUUACAAUGCACAAGGAAUACACUUGCUCCUCCCUUCUGAGCUGGCGAAAGAACAUGAUGGAUGUAAUGCAGUGGCUUGGCUAGAAAAUCAUACCUCACAAUCCAGUAUUGAGAUUCAAACAAGAACAUGCUAAUUGUAGUUGUAUCUAACAAUUGAUCAUAUAUAUUGAUAACUUAUGCAAUGAUAGACUUACCACUAAAAAUAUGAGGAUCAAUUGGAACAUAAACACUGCAUAACAAGAGACGACAUUUUUCUAUUGUUUUGAACUCCAAAAAGAUUUCAACUCUUUCAGCAUAGCUUACUCUUUCAAAUGUAGUACAACUAAAAAAACUCUCAAGACUUAAUGCUUCAAUUAACAUCCCCAAGACUCAAUGAGUUACUAAUUAAGUAUCUUCUUCUUUAUCAUCCUCUUUAAUUACAAAAGGAUUUCAAAUUUAUAGGAUUUCAGCCUCUCGAGUAAGCUUCUCAAAUUCUUGUUCUUUGGAAGACGGUUUUCAUGUGGGGUCAAAAGAAAAAUGUUAGUUUUCUUAUAAACAAUUGAUACAGUGUGCAUUUAUCCAAAAUAAAUUCAGCUUUGCCCUUCCAAUGAAUCUUAAUGCCAUGUCCUAAGAAAGAAAUAUCAAGUUUAUUAUAGGUAGAUCCAGAAGAAAAAAAAAACAGAACUCGAAAAGUAGAAUGAUAAAAAUGAAAUACAUACACUGUCUAACGCAAUGCCAUGGGCUCGAACUAUCCCUUUAGAUUCUAGAGAAGGAUAUUUAGCCUUUGAGAAACCCUUUUUGUUGCAUGGGCCUUUUAUGAUCUUAGAGUUGGACCGGCUGUAAGUGGAAUUCAUAUCCUUUUCCAGCUGCGAGGUUUCAUAAUAAUUAGUUGUCAAUACGACUUAUAUACAGUGAAAGAACAAAUUAGAAAUAUAACUUGUAUGACCCAUUUGAAUAGAGCUCGAUCUGUAGGAGUUCCAGUAACUUCUUGGUUAUCUUUCAAUCACAAAAAAAAAUAAUACAAAUAUUACAGUCAAUAGGAUUAUAAUAAUAAUACAAAGAAUAUAUUAUUUUAAAUUUACCUCAUAUUCACACACCCAGGACAAGAUGAGUUGUGAUAAGUGGCAUCAAGUUAUAAGAAAAUAUGAGCAUACCUUUGGCCACUGUGGUCCUCUGGGGACUCGCAUUUGCCUUGUAUUCGUCAUCAUGAAACUCUCGUUGAGUCCAUUGUGCAUGUUCACGAGUGAACUAUUACGUUUCACAUAAGCAAUGAUGGGGUCAUGACAAAUUUGGUGUACAAAUUUAGUUCAUGACAAGAUUUAAAUCCAAGCUAAUACGUUUACGGUUUUCCAAAUUUCAUUUCUAUCAUUAUAUUAUCUCCACUUGAUUAAAAAUAUUGUUUACAUUUGUCAACUUAGAAUCUUGACAAAACCUUACAUUUCAAGAUAACUUGUUUAAUAUUAGCAAUAAUGGGUUAGUCACAAACUUGUGAAUAUCUAAGAGUUCAAAAACCCAAAACCAUCAUCUUUACAAUAAAGGAACACAAAUGACAAAUAAUUUCCAACAAAUUUUUUUAGUGAAAUAUUAUUAUGAUAGAUUAGACAUUUAUCAGACAUUUUUAUGAGUGUAUUGGGAAUUUGGUUGUUCAUUUUCAUAUAUAUCAUUUAUUUUCUUUCACUUGUGAUAACAUUCUAAACGAUCCAAGGCUCGUUAAAGGUUGAAUUUCCUGGUUCAAAUUCGUGUGCUUAAUACAUUCCACAUUCAUGAUGAUACUUUGGAUUAUUGGUUCAUAAUUCAUUCAAGGUGAAAUCUUUUUAUUCAAAUUCGUGUAUUUAAUUUAUGUCCUCCUCAUAUUCUUUUUAGAUUUUCCACGUCUAAGAAAUCAGAAACUUUUUUUAAU